UUAUGCAUGAAACCUUCCCGUUUAUUCAUAUAAGAUUCCAAAGAGGAAUUCCAUGGCUUCGUUUUUAGAAUUUUGUGGAUUAACCAGCAUGCCCUAGCAUCAAAACCAGAACUGCCAUGCCCAUUCCACAAACAGACACUAGUACAGGUACCACGAGGGGCUAUCCUACUUUAGGAACAGUAAAGGACGAUCCCUUGUUCUGCACUGCAGAAAGAUCACAAAAACAAAUAACAAGUAACAGGUCUAACAUAGUCGCCACCAACGCGACCUGCAGGCAGGUCCAACGACCCCCACAGCAAAGACGGUCAAAUCUCGGGUGGCUUUCCCAGUGAACAGUUGCAUCUCUCCCGGCCGCAAACAGUAUCAUCCUUCAGUGUCUUCCCCUUCGUCAACCUCCUCGCAGUAACCUUCUCACCAGUAACCCAAACCCAGAACCGAGAUUUCGAGCAAUAGAGCCGUCAGAUCUCAGUCCCGGAGUGCUUCCCAAAACCACCAGAGGUUUCAACCACCUUAACGGCUUCAGUACUCGGGUUGGCGGUCGUUCCUCCAGUUCCCAGAGCUGGGUCCUCCACGGCCACCGUAGCCGCCACCACCACCGCCUCCGUAGCCUCCACCACGGCUUCCUCCAUAACCACUACCUUCACGGUCACCUCCUCCACGGCUUCCACCGUAACCUCCUCCAUAGCCACCUCCUCCUUGCUCUCUGCGGCCGUAGCCACCACCGCCGCCACCGCCACCACCGCCUCCACCACGAGACUGGGCUUGGUUGACGGUGAUGUUGCGACCGUCCAACUCCUGGCCGUUCAUCUCCUUGAUGGCAGCGUUCAUUGAGUUCUCAUCGGCGAAAGUAACAAACCCAAACCCGCGAGACCUUCCGGUCUCCCUGUCAGAGAUCACCUUACUCUGCACAACCUCGCCGAAGGGACGGAACGCACCCUCCAGGCGGCCGUCGGUAGUGGCCCAGGCCAACCCUCCGACAAAGCACCUGAAUUCUUCUCCACCGGCCAUCUUGGUAGAGUGAAAGCUGCGGAACAAGAAACAAGUCACAAGAGACCAGUAAAGUAACAAGAGGCGCAGGGAAGAAGGUAUCCCUGGAGGCCUCUGAGAAGAGAGCGAAGCGGACCGGGACGAAGGAAUGGGAGAGCACUACUCGAUACAUCGCAACGACGAGCUUAUGAGGGGGACGGGUGGGCGCCCCUACCGUCGGCCGACUCGCGGUCGGUCCAGCGAGUUAGUGCCAUCAGAGCCCAACAUCCGGUGGUCGCGCCUACUGCCUCUUCUGACGCGGCUGCUGCAUCGGGACCGUCAGAUGCAUCCUAUUCUGGUGGGAGAUAUUUUGUGGUCUGGACAAAAAGUUGCUCAAGGGUUUUUCGAGUUUAGGGCAGAUCCUUCCCCGGCACCGCUCCAGCCUUUGCACUUGCAUAGUAGACAGGAACUGCACACGUGGUAUCUAGGAUCCAUUUGACUAGAUAUUCGUAAAAUCUUGGCAUAAUAUACAAAUAUAUAUAUUUAUUAAACUUAUCUUGCCAACCCGCAUUGAUCCGUGAAUAUGUUUACGUGAUGAUUUCGAAAAAUGACAUUGUCCUAUUAGGUUGGCUAGAUAAAUUUAUUGGAGAUGGAAAAGAAUUGGGCUUUCCCUUUAGUAUUUUUUUAGUUUUUUAAAUCUUUUUUCCUACGAACUUGUGACUAAAUCUACAACCAAUCAUCUUGAUUGAUUCCAGAAGAAAAAAAAGUUGUAUGUGUGUGUUGAGAAAGACACCAUCAGUACAUGUCUCAAUAAAACUCCACUUUGGACAAGGAACGAAGGGAGAGUUUGUUGCAUAUGGAUGAAGCGAAGGUGGAACAUCCAAAUAACAAUGUAUAACCAUCAUCCAUCCAUGACCGUCUCGAAAACUGCACACACAGUUGAGUGAACAGUGUUCGGAUUCUAAAUUGCAAGGUGACACAAAAGCAUGGACCUACAACUAUAACAGUGCAUGAAAACUUGAUAGCGCGAUCACAUUUGCACAAGAAACCUAGAUGCUAUUUUCUUAUGAAAUUGUUGGAAACUCAUAGAUAAGUUCGAUUUUCGUCGACUCGACGGAAAUCGUUUGCUCGAUUGUUCGUUUUGUGCCGUGAGGCAAAAGACGGCAACCCGCGGCACUGAGCGGCAGACGGUGGCAAUUAUCGGGGCUCGGUCAGCCCAGGUUUUUCUCAGAUUGAUCUCCUCAUCGCGCCAUAUUUUCUCUCGCCAAUUGCUGGUCUCACAUCGUGGACGACGAUUGUAGCCUUGUUUUAGCGUCGCAGCUGCUUCGCCACCGUCUCUGCCUCACGCGUGCUGGACAACCGCAGGUGAGCCGCUUCUAUCUUUAAUUGCGAUUUUUUUAAGUGAACGAUGCAGGCAUGUGUUGGUGAUGCUGUUCCCCUCCGUGUCCUACCGAAAGUUUCACAAUCGUGUUUGUUGUAAAUGCAAAACUAUUUUGUACGGGUUGAGGAUCGUGCGUUUCUAGAACAUUGCUUCGUGUUGUGGAGGAAGAUGGUGUAGGGUGUGCUACCCUCCAGGAGCACGGAUUCUGCAGUAUUCUCUCAAGGAUACCGUUCUCUUGCUCCGUGAAUGUUGCGCUGUCUGUGUGUCGAUCGCGUUAUUAAAGUACCUCUGGUCGCUUGGUUUUUCUGUGGAGGGUUUCAACUGCAUUAGUCUAUUCUGCUGGUGGAUUCGGAGUAUUUUUGACACAUCAUGCUGAUAAUUAGGGUUUCCUCUUUUGUUGAUCGUUUUUGAACUCUCGACGAUUUGUUCUCGUCAUGUAUAGGUUAUCUUUAUUGCAGCCACACGUUUACAUGUUCCUCUUUUUCUGAGGUGGUGCGUGGCCUUCACCAAGAGGUGUUGCAGGUGAGAAGGAAAACAUGAUUUCCGCUAGAUGGAAUUUGGCCGUUGGCCCAGUUAUUAUGGUUGCUGGCGCCUUUGGAGCUGUUGUUGCAGCUACUGUAGCCAACGAGGUAUGUGCAUGUUUUUUUUUUUUUUUUUUUUUUUUUUUUUUUUGUGUACUCUGUCUCGUUUUUUUCCUAUGAGCUAGUAAUAUUUUUAAAAUGACUCUCAUGUUCCAUAAUUAAAUGGUAACAAACGUUUGUUCAUCUUUUGCAGUUUAGUGGCAGCAAGCAAGACAAAGUAUCACAAGAGAAGCCUAAAGCUUGAAACAGUGAAUGAAAGAUGUUGCCGACUAGCUGUGCAGAAACUCGGUGGCAGUUCGUGCGGAUUUUCGUCACCAGUCAUGCCUUGAGAUUUUUCCUGCACGAAAUUACGACUGCAAUAAAUCAAUAAUCUUUGCAUCUUAAUAUCUGCGUUUUGUUGCCGUUCUGACGCUUACGAAUCAUAUGUUGAGAAUCCGCGGUCUGGUUCUUUCAGAUAUGAACGGGACUUUCUGCAGUUGACCCAGAGGUGCAUGUUUUCGAUAUAUGCCUUCACAUGCACGAAUUUUUUUUUUGCACAAGUAAUAGUCUCCGCUACUCAUCAAUGAAGACCAACUUGAUCGUCAUCAUGAGCUUAUGCCUACUUUGCUCAAUCUUACGCAGCUACUGUAUUGGUCUGGUAUUGUGUCAUUUUCGCUCAAAGGGCGAUCGUCUUUUUCUGGAGGUAUUUUGACAUGGAUUUCCAUAGUCCUGUUACAUAGUUCUGUAACAGGUCGUGCAUGUGCUAGGCUUUUAUCUAUUUCUCUUUAUUUCUUUCUUCUUUCUUCACCUCUUCCGUCAAUUCUUUCUUCGUUGGUGUCCUAAUGCGCAAGAAACUUGAUUUCACCAUUUAAAUGUGAAGCAGAUUAUAAUGGACUCGGGGAGCUUAAAGUUGGUAUUUGAGUAGCUCUGUGCAAUCUGUUAGUGCCUGUUGAACUUUGAAGGCACGUUCUUGGUACUCAGCGCUUACAACUCGUUUCUCAUUACUUGGUUUGGCACUGCACGUGAGAUGCAGCUAGAACAGAUAAUGCCGCUUUGAGUACUUUACUGAUGGUGUUGUAAUUCGUCGAUUUGUUGGUCAAGUGGAUUUUGUACAUUCUAUGAUGAUAGUUCCAUCAAUAAUCACACACAGACAUACACACACCGCAAAAAACAAACAAACAAGUGAAAUACAAAUACUUGUAAAAUUUUAGAAUUUGUACUGUGCUGGAGUAACUUGGAAAUUUGUCACAUCACUCAGCCUACACUAGUUAUCAGAGCUCCUCCAAUUUACUCAUCUAGAAGUUCACAGAUUCUCCGUUAAGUGUAAACCCCUUUUGUUUAUAUAGAAUAGUAUCUUAAGACAUUACAAAUGUUGAUCUUCAUAGCUUACAGAUUGCGGAUAAACUUGCAUUGUUUUCUUGAAGAGAAAAUCUCACCAAUGCCCAUGUAGCAAUCGUAGCGAUUACAAUAUCUUUGUAUAUUGAAAUGUUGUUUUUAUUACUAAAAUGUGGUUUGAAGAAGAUUAUCUAUUAAACGUUGGCUAUUCUUUGAACAGGAGCUUUGUUGCUUCAAGUAUGUCAGGUUUUUAGCGUGUUUGUUAUUUAGUUAUGUUUUUUGAGUAAACUGAUUUUUAGCACUCAUGCUCCACACUCAUGCAUUAUUAAUAAUUGGAUGUGAAAAUGUUACUGUUCAUGAUGUAUAGAUAUGUGUUCUUCCAAACCACGUCCAACUGCUCAAAUCGACCGCUAUUUCUUCAGCCGCAAGGGAAAGAAGUAUCCAACCGGCACCCGAGCCAAUCUCGUCACCACCAUGGGUUUCUGGGAGGCAACUGGACGCGACAAACCCAUCCACACUAAGCUAAACCAGACUCUGAUCGGCAUGCGCAAAACGCUUGUAUUCUAUCAAGGCUGUGCUCCACAUGGCAUCAAGACUGACUGGAAUUUGCGCGAGUUUAGCCUUGACGACAGAUCCGAACGACCAACCCAUGUAAAUUCCUGCUCACCUUUCAAUUUCUGUACUUUUCUUAAUGUUUUUUCCGUCUUGUUUUUCAUAAGUUUGCAGUUCGUAUUCUAGGUUUUUGAUAACCUAUCAAGUUGUACACUGGGUUUUCAGGACGGUGGGUGGGUGGUCUGCUGUGUAUUCAAGAAGAACAAAAACCUGAAGAUGGAAAUGCAGCAAGAAAGAGCUACUUCUUACGAAGAGCAAAUGGGUGCGCUGCCUCCUGAAGCACUGGGCUCUCCCAACGUACUCCCUGUAGACGACCAGUUAACACUUCUUGAAAAAUCUUCCCGAAAAAUCUCCCUGAAAAAUCUUCCGGGGUCAAGCGAGAAAUCACUAACCUCGGCGACUGUCAACUCCAUCAGUCUAACGAGUAUCUGAACUCGCUUCAUCGGGAGCUUGGAUACCCCUCAAGCUUGAAUAGACCAGACGAUGUCAACUAUUUCAUGAAUUUGUAUCCAGAAACGUCAAACUCGGGCUUGUGUGAGUUUAAUGAUCCCCAGACUUCUAGUGGCAGUGACGGCACGGAGCUGAACCACGAAGAAACAAUCUCGGGAUCCUCCCACAACGACUCAUGCUUCGAAGACAGGUCGCUAUCGUUGCCCCUGGGCUCUUGGUCCAGCGCCAAAGCCAAAGCUCUAAGAGUAAUCAAAGAGCAGGCUGACGACAUGUGUUUUGAAGACGAAAUGUUGAGAUUCGGAUUCUAUGGCAUUGAUCACGACCGCGACUGCAGUGGAGAGAGCUUGAAUGGCAUGGCGGGGCAAGGAUGCUUUAAUCCCAAAUUGCAAAGCACGACGAGCCCCAAAUGGGUGAAAGUGUUGGUAAACCCCAUGACGUCGAGAAACCGGGUGUUCCCCAGCCGGUCGAAGGACGAUGUCAGGAAAAAUUGAGGCUCAAGAAAGCGGGCUGCGCGAUUUGCUUCGUCUGAUUGGGGUCGUAAAGAAGAAAACGAUGAAGUGUCACUGCAAGAGCAGCGCACUGUGUUUUCGUGGCUGCAGGUAAUUGUCAAUUCUCUCACCCCAGCAUAUGAGUACAAACGAGCUUCCUCGAUGCACGCAUGUGAUCACUUCCACGAUGCACAAUCCAGACUCAUUCAAUUUUCUCCGAUUGGGUGCGCACGAAGUGCAGCGUUGCACAAUUCCCAUAAAUAUAACCCAUUUUUGGACUUUGCUGUAAGCAGGAUGCAGACACAAGAUCACAGCUGAGGAGACGCGAGCAAAGGGACCAGCGGGUGUCGUCGUCAUCUCCUUCGCGCUAAUCCUAGCACUGAAUGUUUUUGCUGUGAACAAAUGUGAUUUCAACGCUCAAGUUUAUAUGCUCAGGGCAGCGGCGCCACUUUUGCCUGCCUUGCUUGAUCGUGUGGAAGCCUGACAGGGGACUCUGGUGUUUGGAUUUGUUUCAAAUGUAGUUGGACGUGGUUUGGGAGAACUCUGCGACUGCAGCGAGGGGGGGCAGCGGGGGAGGGGGCGUCCUGUUCGCGGGCCCCAGUUCAAACUAAAAAAACAGUAAGUAGAUAGGUUAUCACUUCGAGGGGCAUUUUUGCAAUUAUCAAUACUUGACGGGUAUUCUUGAUAUUUCGAAAAAGUUCAGUAAAAUGUGUGAUGUUUGUUCUUUUGUAAACCAUAUUUACAAUCUGUUCACAAUUUUAGGUAAUAUGUUGUCUUUAUUUGUUUACAACCAUUACUGUAGCCAACCCAUUUCCAAUAACUUAAGCAUUUUAGCAUAUCUGCUGUAAGUGUAUGAAAAAAUAAAAAUAUAUCUGUGUAGAGAAAUAGAAAUUAUGAGGAUUCCAAUUGAUUUUACUCGAUUUACUUGCCCAAAAACGGAAUUUUUAUCAAUGUUUUAGCUGAAGAUUCUCUUUGACCCAAAUUUGACAUAUAAGCCAACCUAAUUCCAACCAGUGGUUGGUUACAAAAUCAAGAAUGUUUGAUUCUAGCCAAAUUUUCUGAGUUGGCAUGAAAUUCUUAAUUUUUUACCCAAUGGCAUUAUGGAGUUGAGGCAAAAAUAUUAAUUGAGAAAUGUGAAACCACAAGGUCUCAAAACUGAUCAAUAUUGUCAUGUCAAGUUGAUCAAAAAUAUACCAUCCUAUAGGUUGGAAAUGGAGGGUGGUUGAGAAUGGGUCAACUACAUUAACAUGUAUAAUCUCUACAUUGGUUUCUCUUGCACUGAUCUUCUAUAUGGUUCCUGUUUCCAUCCAUGACUUCCAACAAGCUAUUUACAUUCAUAUUGCAGAUUCAAAAAAUAAUAAUUCCACCAUACCAACCAUCAAUUUUAAAGAACAAUUCAAUUCCUUGUACUGUUAACUCUUUAAAACAUGUACUAUUACAAUUAUAUGCAACUACAGUUGCUUGAAAUUUAGUAGCAUACACAAGCAAAGUUAGCAGUGUCAAUAUUUUAAACUCUUAAAAACUAAUUGUCAACAAAUUUCUUCCAAAUAUCCCCAAAUCAUAUGUGUCAUGUGCUUCUUGUGUUUGUAGGAUUAUAGAAAUGUUCUGUAAAAACUACCACAAUGUCAAACAAGGUAGUGAUAUAUAUAUAUAUAUAUAUUCAUUAUAUUUUUCUGUUGUAUAACUUUAAUUGUAUAAUCAUUUAAAACAUGGUACAAAAAUGAAAAGUUAUUAAAUAAUAUGGCUACUCAUUUAAAUCUCUUUGUGAUUGAUUUGUAUUAAGUUUUAAAAAUCUUUACUUUGAUUUAGCAAAAAAUUAGAAGUAAUGUAAUAUUGACUUGGAAUGAAUGUUAUCUUCAACUUCAAGUUUUUAUAAUUAUAAAAUAUGUUGCAUCAACAAAAAGCCAGAACUACAUUCCUCGCCAAAGAAAAAAUGUCUCUAUGUUCUAUAAAUACAUAAUCACAAAUCACAAUUUCAAAGUCACUGCUUCUAAACAAAUUUUGAAUUUUUUUAACUAAUAAUUUUUAUCUAUAUAUAUAUAUAUAUAUAUAUAUAAGAGCAUGAUAUAAUUAUAGAUCCAAUAUUAUGUUAUUUCUUCUGUGAAUAUAUACUUCAAAAAAAAUAAAGAACAUAAUAUUGGAAUUAUAUUGAGCUCAAAGUGUCCCAACUAUCAUAUUUUAAAUAAUGAAUAUUCACAUAUUGUCAAGGAAACCAAAUAAAAGUGGUUCUAUUAACAACAAUAAGUAUAUAUGUAUAUAACUAUCAUUAUGAUGCUACAUAUAUUUGUUUGUAUAUUUAUUGCCAUUGUAUAUGAAUAAUUUUGGGAGAGUCGAUACAUGUGAAUGUUUUUUACACCAAGUGCUCUUUUAAGAGUCUUGGUUAUGAUCCAAGAGGAUGUGGGUCCAAAUUCUACAGCUACUAUGGUGAUGAUUACAUUAUCUAAUUGUUGCAUUAUUAUUCAUUAAGUAAUGAUUUUCUUCCUUGGAUGUGAGAUAGAAUGCUUGUUGAUUGAUUCUCCCUCUACAAUACAUUUUUUUUAUCUCCAUAAAAUGUCAACAACAUUUGCCAAAAUUUUAUUUUUAUGACUUUUGUUUAUGCACACCACAAAGAAUAAGCUCGUUUCUCUAAACACUUCAUGUAGUUAUAUAAAUUUCGAACUAAAGAAAUAAUAUUCUAUAAAAUAUGUUAUAAAAAAAUAUUUAACGUAAUAUAUACUAAUGUUAAUUUAAAUCUAAUUUAUUAAAAAACACACACACACAAUGUGUAUGCAUACUCAAUUAGGUCUUUAAAUUUACACUAAUUAAUUACUCCAACAAUUGUACCAUAUAAAUUUUCUAUUAUGUAUACCUUACCCCCCCCCCUUCUCUUUCUUUAUUUCUCCCUUUGCUAAAUUGAUUUAUUUUGUUUUUUUGUUUGUUUGUUUGUUUGUUUGUUUGUUUUUUUUUUUUUUUUUUUGUAAUCACAAAACAAGAGCCCUGAGAAACUUACUAGUACAUUAAUACUUAUAAUAUUGAAUAUCUCUAACAAAGAACACAAACAUAUCCAUAUUGUUAUUUGUGUUAUAGUCCAUUCUAUCACUCCAAUUGGGUGGUGGUGGUGGUGGAAUUGUUUUCCACAAUUCUAUACAACUGGAUCAUUUCUAUCAUUUAUUUCUCAAAAAUCAUUUAAUGGAGCAUCUCUCUAACAACAGUCACUCAAGGGACAAUAAUUUUUCACCAUGCUAAUGCAAUUUCCAUUUAAUCCCAUUGUUAACCUUUUACUAACAGAAUCCUCUUUUCAUGUCCAACAUGAAAACCCCCCAAAAAAAUAGAUUCCUCACUCACAUCGGCAGUGCUAUAGAACCCAUCAGCCCUAAACAGUUCCUCGCAUUUGGCGAAUGGAUUUCAUCCCAAACCCUAAAACCUGGCGCCGAGCGCACUCGUUUCCAGUUUCCACAGACUACGGUUUCCAACUUCAAUGAACCCUUGAAUAGAAUUUUGAGACGCCCCGAGGAGCACACUCCCAUGUUUCUUAAGAAAGCAAACCACACACGGAAUCCAGGCUGUUGCAACGGCGGCGGGGACGGUGACGAGAAAUCCAAGCAAGGAAGCAGCCACAUGUAGCAACUGCAGCACCCUAUUCUUUGGACCCACGCACGACUAUUCUGCAGGCUGGUGAGUCAGGCCCCCAUAACCAUAUCUUCGGCGGAUCGCGAAGCUCCAGGGGUUUAUUGCCAUUUGAGCCCUUCGCUUCAACGCAGCACAACACAACGCCACACAUACCUGCAAAGCACGCGACUCUGUGCGUUCACACGGCGCUGUGCAUGAAACAUGGAUGGACACGGUGGCACACACACUAUGGGCCACCUAGGAUUGACCAUAGCCACGUCACAGUCUAGGGGGAUUCUUGUAACGCAUCCCUUGCCACGUCAUUAUCUCCCAGCUCAAUCUCGGCGUGGGCAUUCUCCAUCUAUUUAACUGCACUUUUCAUCCCAUUUCUUCCUCCAUCCAAUGAGUCAUCUAUUGAAAAUUAUAUCCAUCUGUCCAUUCUUCUGUUCAUUCAUUCUAUUAUUUAGAUAUUCAUCCACGUGUUGACGCAUUCAUUGAAUUUUCAUUCAUCCCCACUUGUAGGGAUUGAGUGGUGUAAGUUGUAACGAGUAGGUAUUUAGUUAGGCUUUGAUAUUAAGGAGGUGUUAGACCCAUGAUUUGCAUAUGAUAUCUUUCAGUUAAUUAUAAUAAAUAUGAAUGUAAUUUUGAUAGAAGUAGAUACAUGGUGGUGGUGGUUGAUUUUAACAAUCAUGAACUACUUGUCAUGCUUCACCAUAUUUGGGAGUUACUAUUAAGAAUGAAAUUUACUAUACAAUGUGUGUAUUUAAAAUUUAGAAUCUCCAUUGCUUCUCCAUAGGUGGGUGUAUAUCAUUUUUACUUAGUAUUAAAAUUCAUAAUCAAUGGAGGGUGAUAAAUUUCUUCUUAUUGUACACACAAAACAAAUGGGUGCAUGUGAUUGAAUGUAACCAUUAACAAGGUAUUGGAUCAAUAGGAUUGGGGUUUAACUUUGAUUAUACACUAACAAAUAAAUAAGUGGAGGAGAGAGUGUGCCUAUGCUGAAAGGCAUAAAUGGAUACAUGUUUGGAGCUUCGUAAACAUAUUAUGUCAAAUUGUAAUGAAAAAGUGAGUAAACUUACAUACUUUUGGCUAAUAUUGUAGUCAAGAUUAUACCACAGUGAUAAUAACAUUUAAAAAAAACUGGUAACUUUAUAAUAUUCUCAUGUUGAUUUUGUUCAUUUAUACAUGAUUCUGGUUAUUACACAAGAGCUUACAAGUGAAUAAGAAUCAUCUUUAAUUUUUUUCUGCUUACUAUCAAAUAUUCCCAAGAAAAACAACUAUUUUUGCAAUGAGUUAUUGACAGAGUUUUCUUGGAAUUUGAUUUACAACAAUUUGUAAUCACAGCUGAAUUUUUCAGCUUGUAAUUUCAAUAAUAGCCACAUAUUCACUAACUGAACAGUUCGAAUCUUAAAACUUGAAAAUGUGUUACUUUUGUAUUACUGACGUUUUCAAACCCUUUUUGAAAACACUGACUAUUUAAAAUGUGGUAUGCUUGAUAUAAUAAUAAUAAUAAUAAAUUGAUACAGUUUUUUUACCUUUGAAAUUAUGCCACAAACUCCAGUCAAGGUACAUUUGAAUUGACAUCAUUUUUUCUGUAGAGUAGAAAGACUGCAAUUAUGUGAAUUUUUGUGAAUCCAACAAGUGACUUAAAGUUUCAAUUCAUAUAGCUAUACUUAUACUAAUAAAAAUAUAUGAAUUCCUUUUUUUACCAUGAAAAAAAAGAUGUAAUUCAAAAUUCAACUUGAAAGUUUUGUGUUAAAAUCAUUAUGUUAGCUUUGUGGAACAAUACAAACCUUGUGAAUAUUUAACUUGUUCUGUGGUGGUUGUUUUAUUGUAUUUAAAUAAAUAUUUCUCAAAUAAGUAGUUAUGUUACAUAUUUUUAAUACUUAUAUACAUACAAACAUACAUAUAAUUUCCUUUUAGAGCAUAUGUUCUUUGUGUAUUGUCAUUGUUAUUAGAUUGUCAGCAACUCAAAAUGAAUAGCAAUUGAUUUUAAUGCAUGACAUUAUAAUUCUUGACUACAUUUAAAAAAAUAUUUCCUAUACAAUUUAAGUAUAUUUGAUUUUAUUAGGUUUAAACAAAAACCACUUGAACAUAAUUUUGUGCAGCAUAUAUAUAUAUUAAGAUUACUUUAAACAGGUAUAUUUUUAUUUCUUUUGUUUUUUCAACUUGUAGAGUGUGUUAUGAUUUGUUUUUUCACAGCACACAAACAUUACUUUGCUGCCUCUUGAUAAUUGCUAAAAAUAAAACUGAGUGUGUUUGUUCAUAUUAUGCACAUCCAAUCUGUUAUGGAACUCUUAUCUCACCAAUAAUGGAUACAGCAAAGGACAAGAAGAUGAAAUUAAUGAUAUAAAAAAACUCACACUUUAAAUGUGACAAACAAUAUAAAAUCACAAAAUCACAUCUAAAACAGCACACAUGAGGUGCUUUACACAUCACUUUACUGGACAACUUUGCACCAAAAAAGCUUGAGCUCAAGGGAAGAAGUUCCUCAAAAGUGAUAUCAAUUUAAUUUGCAUGAAAGUUCAAAAUGAUUUCAACCAUGUUCAAUUUUAAAAAUCACCAGAUUAUAGAACCCUCACUCCAGCAAAGAUUUAAUUACUUCAAUUCAAACCACAGCUAAUCCAUACCAUCUUAUUGCUUGAUGACAAAAGUUGAGAAUCUCUUUGACAUGUGAUGGGCACCUAGAUUUGCAAUCUUGGUAAUAUGACAUUAAGUAAAGAGAUUGCCUUUUUUUAAGAAACAAUUUUGGACCAAAGAGAUGGAUGGGCAACAAAUUCAAAAAUUAUAUAUUAGGAUGGAUCUAUCUCAGCCAUGUGAUAACAUGCACAACUUGCCAAAGACCACACAAAAUACUAAAACACUAAAUCCCAAAGCCCUUACAUGUUUCCCAUAAAAGAGACACUAUUUGUACGUCUUGGACUUCAACAGAUCCUCUUGAGAUUUUAUUGUUUCUUGAGUAUUGAUGUGGGUGGAAUAUUUUCCUUUGGGUGCUUUCCACACAUGGGGUUGUUAGGACCCACAAUUUAUAUGUUUAUUUUUCUUUUGAAGUGCUUCUCCUAGGACAAAUUUUUUUGGCAUCACCUGGAACACUUUUUAGGUCAAGAUACUGAAGCAAUCUGGGAUCAUGAACCCUAAUGUAGAUCCAUUUGUGCAAUGAGGCAAUGGCCUUAUUACUUUAGGGUGAAAUGAGUCUGUAUCUGUAUCAAACAUGACAUGAAAUCUCAUGUAUUUACAACCUUUUGGAAGCCAUUUUAAUAACAAGUUGGGAGGGUUUUUAUUCUUACUUGUUUUGAGUUGUGGUUGUAUGUGACAAAUAUGUGUGAUAUGUUUGAGGGAGGUGGAAAAAAAUGUAUAUAAACAUUCAUCUUGUUCAAUGUUUGUGAUGGUGGACAAUCAAUCAUUAGGUUGUUUAUUUAAUCACUCCGAGAUAUUGGUAAGUACCUUUUACAAUUACAUGACAUUUUAUUUUAUUAUAUGUAUAGGAAUGUUAAAUAGACCCAUGCAUUCCUAUACAUAUAAUAAAAUAUAAAGCAUAUUAAUCCAAUAUAGCUACUUUGAAGGCCAUGUUUUGUUCAUAAAGCAAUAGGAAUCUAAUAGUUUCACAUUAGAUUGAUAAGUAUAUACAUAUAUAUGCUAUAAAUUUGAUGAUGCUAAAAUUCGUAAAAUCCUGGAUAUGUAUGUAAAUUUGUGAUACACCAUCGUAAAUUUCCAUAUUAAGAUUUUUAUAGUACCAAAUUAAAUUAAUAUUUUUUAAUAUAUAUAUUUUUAAGGUAAGCUGUGUGGUUUCUCAAAGGACACCAGCACCAACUUGCCUCUGGAAACGAAGUUGAUACCCUCUGAAAGAAAUAUAUAUCCGGUUAGUCCAAGUGUAUACCUCUCUUAGCCUCAAUCUAUAUCCGGUUAUUCCAAGUUCAUACCCCCUAAAAAGCAACCGAUAUCCGGGUAGUCAAAGUUGAUACCCACCGAAGACUAGUUCUGAGUCGCCCAAGUUGACUCCUCCUCCGAAGGUCAGUUAGUCAGUGUGUGUGAACUUGUCCACUUUGCUUGGCUGUGAGCAACUGGAUGUUUCUGAAAACAAGGGGAGGCAGCAUUUAACUUACGUCUGCGAUGGCGUUGUCUCUGUGAGGCAGAUAGCAUGAAGCUAUGUGGAAAAAGUCUGAACCAUGCUUCUAAGGAUUGUUUUAUUGGUGUUUUCCCUAAAGCAAUAGUAACAGUGCAAAUGCCCGUUACUUCCUUUCCAAUAUGCUUACAGCAUAUUCCAUAAUCCACCCGCCAUAGCCAGGCGCGUGAGGUUUUGUUUCCCUCUCUGCUUCCGUAACUAACUCAUGCUCGUGUUUCUCCUCCAUCGUGUAUGUCACCAUUCUGUGUUUCCAGCGUGUUACCCGUCUCUGCCUCGUGGCGACGGUGUGUUAUAACACUGGCCGAGAGGAGUUGCUGAUUGAAGGACGUGUUGGAAGCGAGUUCAGUCUAUAAGUUUGCUCUGCGUGAUUUUUUUUGAAACGAGUGUGCGUUGAGUCUGAGCGGAGCAUCAGGACUUCUGUAGAUAAUUGCUAGAAUUCUCGGGGAAUCGAUCACUUCCCUCGUUACAACGAUGUAUACCGCGGUCAGAACCAUUCGCCGGAAGGCGCUUGUCGGGUUCGCUAGGCAACGGGAGCUUCAUGGAGUUUCAGCGCCUCGAGACGGAGUUCGUACCUUGGCUGAAGAAUUGUCGUCAGGUGAGAGUGGAGUUGCGUUUUUGUUUACACUUCGGGCUGUUGAUGAAUCAUGUGAUCUUGAAUUCUUGUUAUCUGAGUUGAUUAGCUAGUUCACAACAGAGAGAUUCGCGUGCUGACGAGCGUGUUCUUAACUACAGAAGAGUCGACGUGCGGGGAGAAACACUUGAAGCCAAUUUUGGUAGUGCAUUGUAGUGCAUGUGUGGAAGAAGAUUGUUUAAUGGAAGCGUUUAUGAGUUUUUGUGCUGUUUGCGUGAGUGAUGCUGGCGAAGUUAUUCUGUGUCUCGAAGCUUGUGUGUUUGCCUUACUUGAGUCGCUUCAUUUAGUACUUACUACUAUGUAAUAGGAAUUCGUCUUAUUUGAGAACCAUUGGCAGUUAUAUCAUGGUUUAACAAAUUGUGUCGAUUGUUGAAGACUUCAAGAAUCGUCACAAUAUUUCGUGUGUUAUUUAAGUUUGUCAUGCUUUUGAGAUAAUAAAUCUUCGACACCUCAUUCGCAAAGUUCUAAGUAGGCAUACUUUCGAAGUGUUGCCGCUCUUGACUCUGGCUAAUUCGAACAGGUGUAAGAGCUUCUUCAUCAAUCGUUGAUGAUACGGUGCCUUCUAAGAGAUUCUAUGUAACCGAUGCACCUGGCAAGCCGACAGUAUUUCAUGCCACGCGACAGCAGGAACGGCUUUCCAGUACUCUUGCUGGUGAAGUGCCAAAGCUGGCACCUGUCACCACUCGUAGCGAACAUUCAGCUGCGGUAGCCGUGGACGAUGAGAAGGGCUACGAAAGCUCUAGUAGUAUGGAGGAUUUCGUUGAGGUCGGACACAAGCUUGCAGACGCGGCGCGAGCAAUUACUGUCAAAUACUUCAGACGUGGCUUUCAAAUCAUUGAUAAGGAAGACUUGAGUCAGUAUUCUUCCCCUUAAUAUCAAAGAGAGUUUUGAAAUGCUCAUUUUUAGUGCAUGCCCAGAUUCUGCGGUGUAGAAUAUGUAAAUUUUCCUGUUGUUUUUCAACAAAUUGAUACUUCCAUGUUGGAAAUUCGAAAACGGGUCACCUACCAGGAGUGUGUAAGAGCUCCGGGGUUAAAUAGCUUUCUCAACUUUUCCAUCUCCGUACACUGAAUUGAUUUCAAAUUGGCGAAAUUGAUCAACAUCAGUGACACGUGUCUUCCACAUUUUUCUUGAUCGCUUUGAACGCGUGCCAACGCAAAAUUCAAAAUGACACGAUUAUUGUAUUUACCGACGUAUCUAAAUUAGGGACUUGAACGUGUCCUCUACAUUUUUUGCUGAAAAAUGUCAAUGGUGCGCAGGUCCAGUGACAGUGGCCGAUCGAGAAACUGAAGCGGCUAUGUGCUCAAUCAUAACUCGGCACUUUCCGGGUCAUGCUAUGUAAGUUCUCUCUCGCCGGCUGGUGAUUUCUAGGUUAGCUUUCAGUUUCUUUCCUAUUCGAAUCAAAAUCAUGGUGUAUGUACCACCUUCCAUAAAUAUAGAAUGUGAUAAUAAUUGCGCAUACCCAAAAUCCUCAUGUCAAAAAUAAAACCAACUACCUAGCAAGUUGUGAGGUGAGGGGAAAUUUUAUGUACUGCUUUAAGUCUUAUAUAGUGUGUAUAGUGAAGAUCCAAGAAUUGCCUGACGUGUAGACUGAAGGAACUAUAGCAAAGAACACUGAAUUCGUGCGAUCAUAAAUCUCAGUGCAUGCUUUGUUGGGGGUAUUUAAAAAGAGAGUGUGUGUGUGUGAGAGAGAGAGAGAGAGAGAGAGAGAGAGAGAGAGCAGCCUAGAGGCUAAUACCAAGAUGUGACAGAUUUGGAGAGGAAGGAGGCUUGACGAUGCCUGAAGGAGGCUCUGAUUAUGUCUGGGUCUUAGAUCCCAUUGAUGGCACUAAGAGCUUCAUCACUGGUGACUACGACAUCUUCCUUUUAUUGAUGUUGUCUACCUUCUUUUUGCACGUUAGCAUUGGGGAAAAUUUAGAUGCUUCACGAUGUCGUAUUGAAGGCAGCCUGUUCAUGGAGUUCCCCUUUAUCCGAAGUGACUCACUUUUAAGGAACGAGGAAGUAGGCGAACGAGGCCGAUGUGGCGCAGACUUUGAUACUAUGUGUAUUCAGAGCUUGAAAAGAUCUUAAGCUUGUCAUUUUCGUGUGAUCGAAGAGAAGUUGGAGGGAACAUCUUGGGAAUUGUAGCUAGAGCUCCGAGCAUUCUGAAGCGUAUAAAUCUUCCCUAAUGUGCACAGGCUACUGGAAGCAUCCUACAUAACACAACUCACCAAAUAGAAUAUCUCCUAGAAUACUGUAAUGCCUCCAUCAUCACCAACAUUUAACUAAAAUAAUAACAAUGAAGGACACGAAGGCUUAAGGGCCUGUAAACAAACCACUGAUUUUUCUUCUUAUUGGAUUGCAGGGAAGCCAGUCUUCGGAACACUCAUCUCUCUGCUUCACAAGGGCUCUCCUGUAUGUUUUAAACCUACCCUUGUUCUUUUGCACAGAAGUUUUCCAUCAUCACCCUAUUAAAUUGAGUGCCUAGAACUGUAACGGCUGUAAAUGCUCUUUUUUGAGUAUUCCUGUGGCUCACUACCGGAGUGACGCUAUCUCUGUAACUCGCCAUGUAUUAGCAAAUUCGUCAUUCUGGUUCGAUUAUUUCGAAAUCCAUAAAUUUACAGUGCACGUUGGUUCACCUGGAGGAUGUAUUUAAAGUGCUGUAACAACAGGUUCUUGGCAUUAUUGAUCAACCUGUGCUGGGGGAGCGGUGGGUCGGAGUCAAAGGUCAAGCUACUACACUGAAUGGCCGCAGGGUUAGGACACGUUCUUCUACGGCGCUGCUCAAAGACGCUUACUUGUGAGCAUUUCUUCUGAAUACUUUUAGUGCCAUGAGAUCGUGUGCAAGUCGGGAAAAAUAUGGAUAAUUGCGGGAUGAUAGUUGACGACCUAUCCAAUUUAGCAGUUUUGGAGACUUUUGUUCAAUUUAGUGAUGUGCAAUAGUGAAACUCAUCAGUAACCGUGGUUGAUGUUGGUUUAUCCAUACAGUCAUGAUUUCAUUCUUCUGGUGUACAGGUACACGACAAGUCCCCAUAUGUUUACUGGACAAACAGAAGAUGCUUUCGUGCGCGUUCGGAAUGAGGUAUCAAAUCUCAGUAUACUUUAAUCCUAUCUAAUUAUGUUCACAAUGCAAGUAGCUUGUAGUAUUUUUUUUUUUUUUUUUUUUUUUUUUUUUUCUGUUCUUUUUUCUUUUUCUCCCCUCUUUCGGUGGAGCAUAAUAUGUCAGGCACGAACGACUUAGAUAUAAAGACGAUCAUAAUUGAUCUAUGCUCAAUGGCUUGCAUCUUCAUUUGGCAGGUGAAAAUACCCUUGUAUGGCUGUGACUGCUACGCAUAUGGGCUGCUAUCAUCCGGUCACGUGGACGUUAUAAUUGAACAUGGAUUGAAGGUAUGCAGUAGACAUCUUUAGAAUUGUUAUGUUUUCCUCGUGCCACUUCGCACAACCUAUGACAUUCUGUUCACUUAGAACAAGGGCAAUUCUGUACCAGUAUUUAUUUGAUUUGAUUUGAUUUGAUUUGAUUUUUUUUUUUUUUUUUUUUUUUUUCCUUCUCAGUAUCUGCUUCUUACUUGCUUUCAAUAUGUUUCUGAUGUGAGAGUUUUCUGUCUGCUAUUUCACUCAACAGCCAUAUGAUUAUUUGGCUUUAGUGCCAGUGGUGGAGGGUGCUGGUGGGACGAUUACGAACUGGAGUGGAGAAAGUCUCAAAUGGUUACCAGAAAUCGGUACAUUUUCUUCCCUUCUUGGGAUCUGAAUGCACGACACAGGGCGGGGAUAGUUCAGAGAAUUUGACCUCUUUCUAGAACUCAACUUGCUAAAAUUGGACUCUUUUUGGAGAUAUUUCAAAAUCAGGCAUGUUUAUUGCAUGUUAUACAAUCUCCUUGUUUGCAUCUUUUGUAUCUAAUUCGGAGAGAUUUGAUCUUGUGCACAUGUCCCUCAAAAUGUUUGAAAAUAACUGGGCAUGAGUUCUUGCGAAAUUGCGAUUACCUUAUUGUUCGCAAUAGUAACAUUGUCCUCCAUGAAGCUAUAAUAGGUUUGGAUCAGUUUUGUUUAUGCCUUCUAAUCAUAAAAUCCCUCUAAUUGUGGCAGGAGAGCACAGCAUUGGAGUGCUAGCUGCUGGGACCAGAAGUUUACAUAAAUCAGCUCUUUCCCACUUGAUUGGAGUACAACAAUCAUGUGCAAUGACAUAAAUGGCAUUCAACAUUUCAAACUAUUCAAUCUGUGCGGUAUAAUCUUUUUGCGCAGUAAAUUAGUUUGACUAGCACCCUUCUCCAAGUAGACAGUAGUAUUAAAUCCUCAUUGUAUUUGCACUUUUUAUAGCAUAACUGAAGUUUUAACCCAAAAAAAAUAAAAUAAACCAUACGCAUUUAGGCAAUACUGCAGAAUACUUCAUGAAGAAAUAUAUUCCAGUACCGACAGUCAAAAAUGAUAACUAAUAUCCAGUUUGCAAUAAAAUUUAUGUACAUGUUCCUUCUCAUUACUAGCAAACAGUUCAGUAUUCAAAGUUCAGUGCUCGUCAUGCCGAUAGAGUUGCGACAUUCUCCUGAAUUAUAGUUCUAUGAAACUCCAAUCAGAUAUGUACCCUCCAUCCGCUUGGCCAUUGUACCAAUCCAUUGUAGUGUCCAGAGACGUUCCAAAUCUGCUGGGCAAGCUCCUCUUGCAAUUGGAACCAUGACCAAGCUGUGCAACCAAGAAACACCCAUACAUCCGCUUCAAUCAACUUUCCCGAUUGCAUCAAUUGAAUGAGAUCUUCCACUGACUUGGCAGAGACUCCGUAGAACACGCCCGGCAUAACUUCAUGAAAAUCAUCUAAACCAGGAACUUUUGUAAGUACAAAAAAUGGGUGGCUCUGCUCUCCUACAGGGCCACCGAAACCUAGGGGUGCCUCGUGAAGAGAGUCUUGCCCUAUGGUCUUCGCAACAUAAUCCCAAGAUAAAGGCUUGUUAAGCAUAAGGCCACGAACAUCUCCAUGUUCAUGGGCGUGAACAAUCAGUAUUACACAACCAGAGAACACCGAAGUGCCAUCCAAGAGCGGUGAUGCAAGAAGUAGAGUGCCUGCUGUAGGGUGGCGAGCGUCCACUUCUGACUUGAAAAGAGUAGGGAUUUCCAUGCCUGGUUGUUCAGCACUUCCUUCGUAAAGAUGAGCCUCUGUCAAAGGAGUUGAUAAUCCGUUUCUCACAUCAGUGGGGAUUGUUACUGUAGCAGGAAUUUUCAUGGGAGAAGGAUCCUUUGGUGUGUGAUGCAAAUCUGCCUUGCUCCUUCCUGUACCUGAUAAGCACGACCGUGAUCACACAUAAGAGAUUAUGGUUCUGAAACACAUCUGUCGCAGCGACCCAUUUCGGUUCCCCAGUUCACAAAACGAUGAUUGGAGACUUCAUAUACUUCCAACUGCGUUGUGGGCACAACCUCCAACCAUUCCCAUGCUGUAGAGAACUGAAACAGUACUCUGCAGUGGAAGUCUUACCUAAAGUGAGGGAAUUUUUCUUGUUCUGAAAGUGUCCCUUAGACUGAAAAAAGUUGUCUGUAAACCCGGAUGCCUAACUGGCAAGGAGAAUCCCUGGCUUAUACCCACCAUUGAGCUCAUUGUGACAGUACUAGGCCUGAAAACGAUCAGCUUUGUAAGGCUCAUAUUUCCAGGUAAAGAUUACCGGAUUUUCACCCGCUGAUUAAUACGUGUCUCAAACUAACAAGUGUUCUCAAGGCUAAGAAAGAUCAUUUGUAUGGUUUCUCCAUACAAAUGAUUUGAAAAGUACCUGCAACCCUGCAUGCUAACUUUGAGGACGCCAUUCCAUUUGUGGCAAUGAAGCGGUAAAGUGAUUGUAUUUCAGGAGCGCCCUCAUAGAUCACAGGAGCAUGCUUCUUCUGCGCAGGGUAAAGAACAACAGCAGGGUAGGUUUCAUCCUGUCAACACGAAAAAGUACAAAGAGAUGAGAGACUUGCAGGAUGCAAAAGUUAGGUCAGCAAAAUAUACCAGGCAAGCGAUCAGAAAUGUACAUGCCUGGUCCAGAAGAUGCCGUAAGUAAUAAUCACAAUCAUUGAGGGUGCAGUCCAUUUGCAAAAUACUUGGAAGUCCAUCAUUGCGAUGGCUGCUGUUGGCUUCAUUUGGUUCUGCUUCCUCUACAUCGGAGUCCAAAUACACUCAAUGGUCAAAACCAUUCUACAAUUACUCUACUGACUUCCAGUGUACCCAAGUGAUCUACAUAUAUUCUCAUAUCUAUGCUUCACUGACAAGCUAUCUUUGCUGUUGGAAACUAUGAAAAAGUGAAAUAAUGUCAAGCAGAAAAGGAUAGCUUUUGAAUGCGAACGCUGCAUCAGCAAUAGAGCCCUCUUGCGUUCCCAAAUAAAGCAGAGUUUGCCCGUGGGAUGUCACAAAAAACCAUCACUCUGGGCAUUCCAAGCGUUUUGCAAUGCAUCAUAUGGCUCAUGACUUCACCAUCUAAUAUUGUACGGAGCUUGAAGAGGAAUCACAUAGAAUGGGAUACAUAUUUCGCAUGGUGUACCUGAAUUGCUCGCUUGCAGGUCUGCCACACGUGCGUCUCCCAGAUCCUAAGCAAAAAACGAUAGUAAAAACUUUGAGAACCAAUUUUGUAAAGCCUAGCUGAAUUGAACAUCUGAUAGGCUUGAGUUGAAACGAAGGGUCAACCCAUGAUUUAUGCCAAUUUUAGGGCACGAUGGAACUUCGUUCAGAGCCGCAUGUAGAGAGCAGUGUUUGAAUUAUAAUACUAAACCCUUCCAUAAAACCACAUCAAAAAGACAUAAAAAAUCCAGCAAGAACCCCUCCAUACAUUCAAGAUCACGAGCCCCUCUGAAUUCCCUAGGCAACACACAUACAUGCUUACAGGUUGCUGAUAAGAGCUACAUACGCACCUCGUCAUCACAACCAUGUACAGAUGAGCCCAUAUUGUAGUUUACAGCUCUGUAAACCUCCCUGACAACAAUCUCCAUCCGCUUGCAGAACCCACACCAUGGGGUUGUAAACAACACUACGACAUCCUUCCUCCAGGCUGGGGUCACUGAGUCAGGCGCAUCCACUUCACGUUGCUUGCUCUGAGCAUCAUCUGCGAAGAGAUUUGCGUAACGUAAUCCAAGAACGUCGUAAUCAAACGUAGUAACCGUAAGCCGAGGCACCGAAUUAUGGUCAUGAAAGUCACGGUUCACAAAAGGUGGUUGAGGAACAUCCAUAAUAGGUAAUUGAGGUGUCUCUGACCGAACUGUUUCUUCACGGCGACCAGAAAAACAUUGAUUUAUGAACGCAAUAAGUGACGACUGAGUUAAAGUUUCAAUUAUUGGAUGAACAUAAUGAACCUCAUCUUUCGGAAAUAUAACUACUACUGCAGGAGUCUUUGUGGUCAUGGCAAGCUUUUCCAUCAGCGAGUCAUCACCAUCUCGAAAGAAGAAAGAUAUUCUAGGGCUGACAUUGCUGGAAAGGACGGAGUUCUUUUGGAUCUGUACUAUUGCGUGUUGAGCAGACAAAUCCUUUGAUUCGGCAUCUCCAAGUUUAUCAGCUUCAGGAAAACUAUCACUAACAUCAAGUGCUUCACCCAAGUGCACCAGCUGCACAUUUCUUGGCAUAUCAACCUCAGCAUUAGCUUUGCAAACUUUAUGGUCUCGCUCUGUUUCCUUUCCCGAGCAUUCCAAAUCCAAUCCCAAGGAAUCUGCAGGAUGUUCGUCAUAUUCAACAGUCUGAUGUCGAUCGAUACCAAAGAAGUGUUCAAGCGGAUGAGUGGAUCUUUCAAUGUCAUCGACUGAAGAUUGAACUCCUGCAUGAUCAGUUCGCAAGUCAAGAUCAUCGAAUCCUACUUCACCAUUUCUUGAGCACUCUUCGUUAAUCCCGCUAAUCCCCACUCGCCCCUUUUCAAGGGUAUGCUCAUCUGUAGUUUUUCUUGAGCAGUACCUUCCUUGACCCUCAUCGUCUGUACCCCUAGUGAAAACCGCUUUCCCUUUUAAAUGGUGGUCGAGGUUAGAAGAAGCAACAAGCUCCAUAUUAUCCUCGACCUCAUCAAUGUUAACAGCAGAAUUUUCCUUAACUUCAUCACUUGAAUGUUUGUCAUUUCCAAUCGACUCUCCUAAAACCGUGUUCGACAAACUGGUGCCUCGAGAGCUUGUACCUAAGAGAAGAUUGAAUAAAUCAGACGCACUUAGAGUAGCCUUUUGCUUUCGGUGGUUCUCAAUAAGAUCCUGUAACAGACUAUGAGAGUCUUGGUUGUGUGCAACUGCUUUCAGUUCCAUUACAAAACCUCCACUUUCACUUUGCAUUUUAACGGCCCCCGAGUUAACGCUUUUCAGAAGACUCAAGAUAUCUGAUCUAUCCACCGUAAGCGAUUGAGAAUGCUGGUGUAGGCCCUUUGGAAUAGAUGCCUCCAAGAACUCCUCGGAACUCAUUUCUUUCUCCCAUAGUGUUCCCGAAGGUUGCACUGAAGUGGCUUCUUGAUUUUCCGGAUGGAACUUAUUCAAAGUUGCAAAAUGAAAAGCUGCACCUCUAGUGGUGACAAGAGCAUCCUGACUCGCUCCUCGGACUUCGGGAGAGGCGGAACCCCUAUUAAUGAAGAGCAGAAUGGACGGUUUAUCACUUAACAAGGCAUAAGAGGCAGAUACCUGUUGGUGAUAUCCCUCCCCUUUCAGCUGCAAAAACAAGACGCCAUCAAUUAUUCAGGUUCACAAUUACUCCAAGUAGCUCUACGAGGCUUUGAGUUCUCCCCAAGCGGGAUUCGAUUUAGAAUAUGAAAAUAAAAAUACAAAACAAAACAAAGAUCGGGAAAACCUUCAAGACUGAAAAAUGGAAGCAUACAAUCAUGACGAGUGUCUUCUCGAGCGUGUUACCACAAGUUUUCAAUCCAAGCGAAGUUCGUAAUACGAACCUCUGUUACUAGAGACGGAGAUACACUAGCAAUAAAGUCUCCUACGUCACCUUCGCCCUCAUAAACAUCAGGCACUCGGAAAGGCUCUUGAACUACUCCCAUCAACUUCCAUAAUGAAGAAUCCCCUUGAUCGAUGAGCCCCGAUUCAGCUGCAACUGACUUACUUGAAAUUAGGCCGAAUUUGAUUCUGUAAGGAGUCAAUGCAUUCAUAGCAGCGGCCUGGGUGAAGUUCUCAAACACAUUCCUACAGCGUCUCUUUUCAAGCUCCGUGCAUUCUAUGCAACUAGGGUCAACUCUUGUUCCAAUUUUAGUUGCAUUUGUGGACAUGGUAUCAACUGCUGGUAGUAUGACCUCUGUCCACGUGUGCAAGCCUAUUGUCGCCUCUGACAAAUGUGGUGGAGUGUCCAACACCAACUCCUCCAGAUCGUCAACUAAUUGUGCAUUCUUCGACGCGUGAGGACUAGGACUCUUCUCAGCACGAACCGCGUUUUCGUCACCACGUGAUUUAGGUCCCAAUUCAUCAUUAUGUUUCUCCUUCGAAAUGUCAGAUAACGGUGUACCUGAUAACGGCUGAUGUCUCAUUUCUUCGUCAUCACCAAUGCAGAGACCACAGAAAUCCAAGAAAAAGAAUACUCGAUCAGACGAUCCAGCAAAGGCUAUGACAUUCUCAGAGGUUUCUAGACGUUGUACCGGAAAACCGCUCUCGCUAGACCUCAUCCCAUACCGCACACCCUCUAAAAUAUGAGAACCUAAGAGCCUUCCCUUGUAAAGGAAAGGAAUUUCCUUGUGAAAUAGGAAAACGGAUGGUGACCGAAUUGUUGGCAAUGAUUUCACUGCAGAGCGAUCCAAAUUAACAUAGACGUAUCGAUAGUGUAAUGCAGUGAACUCGUCAGGGCUGUUCUUCACUAACGUAGAUAUUUCUCUAAUCAGGCUUCUGCCCUCACCACACCCUGCCAUGACGAGUCAAAAAGGAAUUGCGUCAAAGGAGCAUUUGGGAUUUCAUGUAACAAUUAACUCCAUGAUGUCCUUACGGUUUGAAGACAAAGUAAAAUCUCAAAAAACCAGCACGGACAUCAAACUUCCGGAAAUCACGAUUUUUUACAAAUGUAAACAUUCACAUGUAGAUGCUCCUCACAUGUAGAGAUAGAUAUGAUUUGAGUUCCUUGACAAUAUGUCAAAACAACAAUAUUACCCUGCAUAUAUCACCACAACCAUUGACCAUGCUAGUUUAAAGGAUCACAAGCCUGAUUCAAUAGACUUCAGAAUUGAUGAUACGCUGCUUGUUAGUGAACGUUAGGAUAUUCGAAAUUUUCAUUACGUGACUUGAUAAGAACAUAUAAACCAAGCCCGUCGUGAUGAAACCUUUGGUAAUAGAGAAGGAACUCAGAAUUCACGAAAUACUUACAGGAUAACAUGACGAUGCAGAGAGUGAAGGCGUUGCUAUGAAUAGACGUGAAAUUCUCCUGGGUCAGCCUUUUCCAUUGGAACAGUUCCUCAUCGGCAGUGCAAACAACUCGUCUAGCUCCGAGUAACCCAACCAAAGUAAUUAUCAUGCACCAAAAAAGGUGCACUUGCCUAGCCAUUCAGCCCGUGCAACAAUCAAACGCAAUCUAAGAACCUGACUCUUGCAUAUUCUCCUUGAAAAUUGGCACCCAAAUGCUCUAGAUGAUGCCCAGAUUGGUCUUUGUUCCGGUACCCAAGUAGAGGAACAAAUGCCCACUCGAAGAAGUUGAGUUGAUACUAACCCCUGCACUCUUCUUCCAAGUGAGGCACUCCUUGCUCUAGAGCACUCAAACAAGCUCACUCCUCAAUUUUUCCAUGCCUUCACCAUUCAGUACUACUUCAAUAGAGCUUGCUGCAGCAACCAAAGAUAAACACAGGCUGCGUUCACAGACCCACACCCGAUAAAGGAUCAAGCAAAAUGAAUUCAGUGUGUUUCACAACACUGCGAUUACAUUGUCGAUUGACUAACAAUACGUCUGCAUCGGCACAUGAUAACCGCAAUUACGUGCAUUUUUCUCAACACAAUCUAAUCAACAAUCGUGAAUGGCGUGUACAGUCGGGUGAUACAACAAAAACAGCCUCCAAUUUCGUAAUGCCCGAGCCUUUUUAACACUGACCUGCUACUUUUCGGCAGUAACUGAGCUUCCAUAAGGAAGCAAAAACACAGUUAAUAAAAUUUCACAUCCGCAAAUCAAUACACUCGUUUGGAGCUUCAAAAGCCGAAUAAAAAACUGUUCCGUGAAUCAUCUGGUGGGGGAAUCUCAGAUCCGAAAGAGAGUCACAAAACUAACGAAUUCACCACAUUUCGCUUCGAUGGAACCCGCAGAAUCUUCAGCAAAUUGAGCGGAAAACUGUGACUUCAAAACCCUAAAACCCCUAUUCUCACCUUCUCUCUCACACACUCACAUACACCCUCUAUCGAUAUAUAUAUAUAUAUAUAUUAUUAUUAUCUGAUGAUAGAUGGAUGAUUUGUUCAUUUUGGAUGAUUGUGUAUAUUCAUUCAUUCAUUUGGGUGGGCAUUUUUAUUAAGAUAGUUGUGUCCAUUAAAACUAUUUAUUGCCUCCCUUUUUUUUUAAGCAAUUUGGGAGGCUUUGUUUGUAGCAUGCCUUGAAUAUUUUUUUAAAGAAAUUUGGGAGGCUUUGUUUGUAACAUGCCUUGAAUAUUUAGGGGAAUGUUAAAUAGACUCAUGCUUUUACUAAAUCGACCCAUCUUUGAUGAAGAAUAUGGUAAUCAUAAUGAAUGUGGUUGGUUUUUAUUUGUUGCAAAUCCAAUAGUGGAAAAAUGAAUCUACAAGUCAUUAUUUUUUUCAUGAUGGUUAUGAUGGGUAGGUCAAUUUAGUAAAAACUUGAGUCUAUUUAACAUUCCCCAAUAUUUUUGCCUCACAUUUUGCAUGCAGUCAAUAUUUGGUGUUAAGGGUUUCAGGUUUAGAACCCUAAAAGUUGUAGUUGACAUGGUGGGUCAAUAUAUAUUUUGUUUAAGAUUAUAUAAUAUAUUGAAAACAAUGUGGUAAUUUUUUGAACUUCACUCUUUUUUUCUUUCUUUUUUUUAAUUACUUGUUUUUAAUCUGAACAUGAGAACAUGUGAAAAAAUGAUAUAUGAAAAUGUUUAAUUUUUAAUGCAUUUUACACAACACAAUACUACAGAUGCUUUCAUAUGGUUUUUGUUGUCACUUUUUAAAAGACAAAGUUUAAUGUCAUUGUGUUGUGUAGGACUCAUUGAAGCUUGACAUGCAUCCAUAAAAGUUCUUAAAUCCUACCAAAAUAUGUAAAAGUUGAAUCUGUAAGUUUUUCUUGUUGUUCGUUUGUUUUCUUUUUUUCUUUUUUUAAUACUUGAAUUUACAUUAUAUAUAUAUUAUAUAUAUAUAUAUAUAUAUAUGUAAACUUUUAUAUUUUAAAAAAAAAUGUAUGAGACAUGGGAAAGAGAGAAAUCUCUCUCUCUCUCUCUCUCUCUCUCUCUAUAUAUAUAUAUAUAUUUAUAUAUUUCACAAUUUAUUUUUUAAAAUGUUAAUAAUGUGACUGCUUUUUCAAAGUAAUUCUUAAUGUGUACCUCACUUCCAUAAUUUGUAAGUAUUCAUUUUCAAGCAUAAGUUGUCUAUAACAAUAACUUUUUACUAAUUAUGUUUGUUUUCAAAUCAAAUGAUGUAGUUUAAAAAUCAUGCUUGUACUUCGACGUGCUUCAAUUCUUAUAAGCCAUAGAAAUCUGAUGAUUUGAUUUUAAUAAAAAAUUAAUAUUUGUAUAAAAAAAUAUUCAAAUUUUAGUUUGCAAUACUAUUUUUUUUAGGUACAAGUCAUACUUUCUAGAAAAUUCACAAAUCCAAAUAAUAAAUAUUCACUGUAUAUUUAUAGAUGUAUAGUUUAUUGUUUUUUCUGUAAUAUCUAUAGAUGUAUAUAUUUCUAUGUUCAAUAUCAAUCUUUUUCAUUUUUGUCUAUGAAUACAUACAAGGUUUGUGAAAGAUUGAAGUAAUGUCUAAAACAUAUAUUGAAUAUUUUUUUACAUCAGGAAGUUUCCGAAUACUAAAGAAAAUAUAGAACUCUAAAUUCCAAAGACAUACUUUUACUCAUCAAAUAAAAAAAUAAAUUAGUCGUUAAGUAACUGCUACAAUUUGUGAUGAGAUAUUAUAGUUUCAAGAAUACAUAUUUUAUUUUAUUGUUAUAUUGUUAUAAAAACUAAUAUUUCCGUUCAUUACUAUUCUACAUAAUUCAAAUGAGUUCUUAUUUUGAUUUUUUGCAACUUUUUUAUUACCGAAAAAAACAAUUAUCCAUGAAAAUUGGUAUGUGCACCAUUUCACAAACUUUUCCUUUUACGACCUCACAGCUUAUUCAUGUAUGAGGCAUAGAUCAAAGUGUAAAAACUUUGGGAAAUUAUGACCGUCAAAUUAUUUUUUAAAUUAUUAUUUUUUAAAUUAUUAUUUUUUAUAUAUGUAACUAUUUUUCUCAAAAAAAGAAAAAAAUCAGAUAAAAAUUAUAGUUUAUGAAAUUUAUAAAAAUAAUAAAAAAAAAAACAAGCAAAACAAAAAAACAAAAUCACCACCACCAAAAUAUGGUGUACUUAAUUGUGUACUAAUUUGUAUGUUCUCAUGGUUUUUUUAGUUCUGAAUUUUUGUAUUACUUUGAUUCAUUGGCUGCAGGAUUUUAUUUUAUUUUAUUUUUCAAGUGGUUUUAUUUUUAGAAUAUGCACAAAAAUGCUCAAAAAAUAUGUCUUUCUUUCAAUAAUAUAAUAAAAUGACUAACUAUUGUAUGUAUUUGAAUAUUAUAUGGAAUGACAUGUCACCAUAGUUGAUUUUGCCAUUGUAUGACAUGCAAAUUUGUAGGUUUAAGUUCAAUUUCAAUUUGUAAGUUUUAUAAUUAAUUUAUAGAAAAAUUUGAAGAAUGAUUUUGUGGACAUAAUUAUUGCAAAUAGAAAUUAAAUAGUUAAUGUUAUUUUUACCCAAUUAGAAUCAUCACUGGACUGUAUACUCUAUCUUAAUUAAUAUCCAACUAUACUCAAACAGUUCGAAUGCAACAAUCCAAAAUAAAAAGAAACUUACCCAUUUGUAUAUUUAAAUGUGACAUAAAAAUAAAAUCAAAACCAAAACCAAAAAGUUGUUCUAUUACCACCUACCUUUAACAACCUCAAAGAUCAUCUUUUUCUUCUUUUACUCCUCUCUCUCUAUGUUCCUUUGUGGUAUGAGAUGAAAAAGUAUUGAACAUCAAAUCCUUACAUACUUUUUUCCAAGAAAAAAAUGUCUAUAAGAAUGGAAGAGAGUUGAAGAGUUUGACUUAUAAAUGGAGUUGUUGGCAAAGGGAGAGGGUGGUCUCGGACGGACAAUAUGGGCAUUUGAAAGUCCGUGUGGGGGCUUUAGCAAGUUUUUGAAUGGAUUGCCGACAAAGCACAUGGCCGCAAGGGAGGAGCAUGGGAGGGUUCUCAUUUGUGCUUUGGUCCCGCGAUACCGGACAUGCAAAGAUGGAGUGGAAUUGUAAUCCCUUUUCAAGCUCUAUCUCCAUUGGCAAUUGGGCCAUGGAUUGCCACUCGUGCUUCUUACCACCCAUCACAGCUGCUACUUUCAAUAGUGUUGGAAGUGCCUAUUUUUAGUUUAAAAAUCAACACACUUUGUAACAAGAAUAUUUCACUCUCCUUGUUGAAUUCACAAACUAAUCAAGAGAAAAAAAAAAUAUAUAUAUAUAUAUAUAUACAUGAUUAUAUAUAUAUUUUAUAUUUAUUUAUCUAUGAAAGUCAUAAUUGCUAGAUUCUAAAAAAUAGAUAGAUAAAUAAACAACAUUCUUACUUGAGAGCCGGCACAAAGGGUGACAAAUAAGGGGCUAUUGUAGGAUUGCCCCAACAUGGCACAACACUCAUGCAUGAAUUCAAAAGCUAUUGCAUCCCAAUCCAUAUUUGACAAAAUAUCUACAUAUGGUGACAUUUGUAGCCUCCCGGCCCACAACAAACUACCCAUCAAUCUUUGUAUCUCAUGCAUGUGGUUGUUUGCAAAACCUCCAAAUGAGCUUCUUGCAUGUUCUAGAGCCAACGCCUUUUUCCCUUCUACCAAAUAUUGCACAAAUUGAAGCCGUUGAAGCCGAAACUCUAAAGAAGAUUUCCUUUGUUGUAAAGCAAUGUGGUGUUCUUGUGCCCAUGCAAGAGCUCCGCUCAAAUCUCCCGCUUGCAAUUGUGCCAAAAUUUGGUGACUCUCCCAAAAUUGGGUUCUCAUUGACAAAGCACUUUCUCCAUGGGAUUCAGCCACAAAACAAUCACCGACAUCAAAAAGACCUUGCCGAUAAAAAUGCAAGGCCACAAGUUGGUUCACAAGUCCGUGGUUGAACUCCACGUUUCUAUACACUUUGCCAAGGUUGCGGUUAAAGCACUUGUCAAUCAAUUUCCCACACUUUGUCAUUGCAUUGUUUAUUUCUUUUAGGGGAGCCUCUGUAAAGCUUUGGGCUCCAAUCUCUUUUAGCCUUGCCUACAGACAAUUGAUUAAUCAAUCAAUUAAUGAGUAAAAGUAACGUCACAACUGUUAUGGACUCUCAAUGAAUCCUAGCACUACAGAAUGUGUGACUGGCCUAGGCAGGAUUUAAUUGAUGUAUGAGUUGGUGAACUCAUUUAUUUAUUUUUAUUUUUAUUUUUCAAAUCGAUUGUGACAUUGCAAAUUAGCAUCAAUAAUAAUAAUAAUAAUAAUAAUAUAUGCAUUUAUUUGUUUAUAAAUUAGUUUUUAAAAAGAUAAAACUAUUGUUUUUUAGGGUAGUUUUUGAACGUUUAAUUAAACACGACAAGACCAUGUUUUUUUAUAAAGCAUCCAUUUUUAUAAAAUUAUCACAAUUUUGCAAACAUUUUGUAAUACAUGGUGUAUUUGUGUGCAAAGGUGAAAAUUUUACUUCAAAAAAAUUCCAUUCCAUGAAUCACACAAUUUUGCAUUUCCAAAACAUAUUUUUGAAUUUCAAACUUUUUAGCUUAUGAUUUUAGAAUUUGGAAUGUAUGAUAUUGAAUAGAUAAAUUACAAAAAUUGUUUUCUACUUGUAACACUUCCAUGACCAAUUUUUGAUGAACUCCAGCAGGAGCCUCCUCAGGGACUAUGGAAAGUUCAAUAAUUGCAUUGGUUAUGACUUCCAAAACCUUAUCAAUAUCUUCUUGAGUCUUGCCAUACCAUGUCUUUUGUUUCUUUGAAGCCCGAUUGAAUGCAUUUCUCACAGGAAAUAAGUCCAUUGUUUGUUUGUGUUUGUGUGUACAAUGAUUUGUUAAAUUUGCAUCAUUUGCAUAUAAAAGUAUUAUGUGAUUUAAUGUCUUUUAUAUUUUAUUUAUUUUCCUAAACAAUAUUGGAAACAACAGAUUUAAGUAUUUUUUUUACUUAUUUUUCUACACUACCAAGUUCUUUAUGGCAAGGCUGUGAGCAAAAUAAACAGGAUAGAAAUGAAAAUGAAGACACUAUUUGCACAUACUGAAGAGCAGAUAUGUGAAUACUUAUUGAAAUUGAAGUAUCAAAACUGAUCACCUAUUAUGUGCCGUGGCAUUUGAAUCUAAACUAUGAAGAUGUAGUUUAUUUGGUUUUGAUAAUUAGAGAUCAUUUUCGACAACAUGUUAUUGAUUUCCAUUACAUCUUCAAAUGUAUUCUUGUGAUAUACUGUAAUGAAUUUUUAUUGCUCUUAAAAACGGCAAUUACUGAUUUUCAUUGUUUCAGAGAACAUCACUGGAUGCCUGUAAUAACCACCAAUCAAAACACUUGACACUACUUCUUUGUGGAAUUCAGCAUUUUUUUUUUUUUUUUUAAUCUUAUGAGUCAUGGUAAGAUAGCUGUUAUGAUAGCAUAUAAUUAUCUAUAUAUACACACAUAUAUAUAUAUAUAUAUAUAUAUAUAUCAGUUUGAAAUUUAACUCAUUCUACAAGUAACACGUUAAAGCUGUCCAUGUUUUAUACCUAAAAAUAUCAUUAUAAAUGAUUCUAGAAUUGAUUCAUCUUUUGAAAGAAGUUCUUCAAAAAAUUUAAAUAUAAUUUUGAAGAUGGGAAAUACUUUUAAAACUAUUUCUAAGAUUUAGAAUAUAUAAUAUAUCCUUUUAUUUGUUAAAAAGAUCAUAAUCGUCACAAAAAUAAUGAUGAUGAAAACAUUGAUAUUUGUUUGAGGUUAAUUUGACCAUUUUUAAAGAAGUUAAUAAAAAAACUAAAAAAUAUACAUGACUUAAAAUUUUAAUUCUUAGUAUUGACAUUGUAAUUGAAAUUCAUUUGUCUCAGAGUGAUUAAUUCGUGUAUUAAUGUAGUAGUUAUUCUAUGUUUUAUUGUCUUCUAAAAUAAAAUAAUCCAACAUAAUCCAUUUACAAAAAAAAUUCAAAUUUUCAGUAAAAAAUUCUACAUAAUAUUUUUAGAAAUAUUUAGGCAAAAAAUGUUCUUUUUCUUUACUUAGUCAAAAGGUGUUUUUAUCUACUUCUAUUUGGUUUAUUUACACAAAUUUAUAAACUAAGUUUCUACUAUCUAAGAAUAUCAAAUAAAUAGACAAAAAUAUUAGAAAAUGGAAAUGAAGACCAAAACAGAUUAUCUACAAGGAUUCUUUAAAUUAUUUGAUUAUAUUAUAUUUUAUUUUGUGUUUCUAUGAGAUACAAUAAACAUUCAAUUUUUUAUAUUGUAAAAUACAUAAUGUAUAAUUACAAUAGAUUCUCAGAUUUUAUAAAUACAAUUGAAUUAAAUUAUGUAAAAAAUAAUCAUGAUCAAUUAGUACCAUCUAUAUGUAUUUGAAAUUAAAAAAAUAAAAAUAAAUAAAUCCCAAACUUGAGGAAUUAACCAAAGAAUUGUUCUCAGACUAACAAGAGCAAGAUUAUGUAAAUACAGUUGAAAUAAUAUUUAAACCAAAUUUUUGUGCAUCAAUUAAAUAAAAAUAGAAAAAAAUUCAUCAAUGUCUUUUUAGUACAUACCAUUAAAUUUAAAACAUGUGGUCUUUUACGGAAAAACAUUAACAAAUAAAUAUAAUGAUAAUAAGUCAACUCUUAACCUUGGUGGUAAAUUAGUAGAUGAUUAAGAUGUUUUCUGAAAUCAAAACUUAAGACCUAAAAAACAUUAAAUUUUAUUUGAAUCAUAAAAUUGAAAAAAUAUUAUUAUAAACAUAUUUAAGAUGGUUACAAACAUUAAACAGAAAAAAAUUACCUUUGUACAUAGUAUAUUGGAAAUCCAAAAAGAUAUAGUUUCCUUUUUGAUUAUAUAUGUAUAUAUGUAUAUAUAUAUAUAUAUAUAUAUGUGUGUGUGUGUGUGUGUGUGUGUAUGAACAGGUACCAUAUCGUGUUUGAUUAUUAUUAUAUCUUGCAAGGAUUCAUUAAAUGACACUAAAUCCUUAUAACAACAAAAUAAUAAAAUUCAAAGCAAUAAAAGUUGCCAUUGAAAAUGUAUUUAAAAUAUGUUUUUUUUUUAAAAUGAAACAAACCACUUUACAAAUAGAUGGGGUUUUAUUUUUGUUUUAUUAUAUUUAAGUAAAAAUAUAAUUUUUUUUUUUUAUAAAUAUGUACUAGAUUGUAAUAUUAUCAUUAUUACCAUUAUCAUUUAAACGAUUUUACAACAGCAUGUAAAUAUCUAUACAUGAUACAAUUGAAUUAAUAAUGAUUUGAGGAGUUUAAAAUAUUUCAAUUUCAUAUAAACUUAAUAUUUAAUUUUUAUCAUAGAAGAUAUACAAUACCUUCUAUAUUUGAUAUUUUAUUCAGUAUCCAAGAAAAUUGAUAAAAGUUUUUAAAAUAAAAGCCACUUCCAUAUAUAUAUAUAUAUAUAUAUAUAUAGGUUUUAUAAAAUAUUAUUUUUAUUUGGUUUAUCUAUGAAUAUAAAUUAUCAUUUUUUUGGUUUAAAGAAAUAAGAUUAAAGACAUUAUUUGUAUUUCUUUUCAAUGCCCAAAAUUUUGACAACACACAAAGAUAUAAAAAAAUAAAAAUUAUAAGAAACAUUUCCAAAAUAUAUAUUUAAAAUUAAAAAAUAAAAUAAAAAUAUAUAUAUAUAUAUGUAUAUAUAUAUAUUAAUAUUUUAUUACAAAUUAGAGAUGGUUCAAGCUGUAAUUAAAUUCUAUUUAUAUCAACUUUAAUGUUUAAAUAAUAUAUUUUGAUUAUUUUAAAAUAAACAAAUAAUUUUUACUAACACUAAAUAGUGGUGAUGAUGGUAUCAAGAAGUUAUCAGUUUCAGAAAAUACUUUUAAAAGAAUUGCUUGUUUAUUUUGGUGCUAAUUAUAUAAAUGAGAAUUCAACAGAAUAUCAUAAUAGAUUAAAAUUUAACAAUGUAUCUUUGUUUAAAUUGGAACUAAAACUUAGGCGUCUUAUGUUAUUUAUAUGAAGUAAUGUUCUACUUGACUUAAUUGUUAGAAGACUUGUGUAGUAAGUAUAUUAUCAAAAUAAACAUAUUGGCACAACAUCAUACAAUACAACUGAAAUUCCUUCAAAUAAUAGCUUUACUUCUAUUGUUACUAAAACAAAUUAAAUAUUUUUAUUUUGACAAAAGCUACAUUUGUACUUGUCAGCGCCAUGCAUGAUGUCAAUAGUUUUUAGCAAAAGUUCCAACAUUGAAGGAUGUUGAUAUAAUAAAAAGAUUGAGUAAAGACAUAAUAAUAGAAACUACUAGUCCCUAGUUGAAGAAUUAUUGUGAUUUUACAAUAGAAGCAAUGAUUGUGAAACUUUUAGACAUUAUCAACACCUUUCAAGGGAUAUUUUUGGUGGUGUUAUGUAGAAUUAUUAUAUCAAAGGAAGUGUUUACAUCUUGGACACAUUAGUAUAUUUCUGUUAUUGUUCUAUAAUGCAUUAUUAAUCAACACAACCUAUUGACAAAUAUUUUGGCAACCAUCUUAGGGAUGGUCAUUUAAUUCAAGACAAUAUAGGUAGUGAGUGACAACAUGGCUAUUUGCUUAGAGGUACAACUUAACAAACAAUAUGUACUAAGGAGUAUGGAUCCAAAAGAAGACAACUCCUCAAGGGAAGAUAGUUAAGGCAAAUUAUCUCAUGAACUUAUAAAAAUAUUCAAAGAAAGCUUAGAAGAAGAAGAAGAGUCUACAAAGGAUCUCUUGAAAUAAAUAAAAUACCAAGUUUUGGUUAUGAAUGCUAGAAAUGAAGAAAUAGAUGUAAGGAUCCAAAAACUUGAACAUAAACUCAAAAUAUUAUUGUAUUAAAAGAAACUUCUAUAGUCACUAUAUAAUCAUCUCUAAUAAAACUAACCACAAGAAGAACUCACAUGCUUAUAAUUGCACUAAUUAUUACACUAGUUACAAUAGAAAUAACAAUGAUAUUUAUUAAGUUAAAAGAUGCAAUUUAAUAUCUACUAUUUCGAAUAAGUAAUGAUUUAGAUUAAUACCUUUGAUAUUUCAAAAAUAUUAUUAGAAUCAAUAUAGUCAUUAAUUCAAUAGAAUUAUAAAUAGAAAUUUAUAAUUGAUUGGACUUAUAGUUUUGAAAAAUAAAAUCUUGUUGUGUCUUGGAAAGAAAUGAAAAAAUUAAGAAGUAUUACGAGCAUUGAAGGUGAUUAAGCAAUACCCAAAUAAACUAGUAGAUUUUUUUUACCAUCAAUUUAAGAAAAUAUUGGACAAACCAAAAACACCAAUCAAUGAUUCUUUAAAAUAUAAUUGGUUUGAAAAGGAUUUAUAUACUUCACUUUAACAAAGAUAAAUUUAUAUAGAAAUCACCUUAUUACAUGAAAUAGUAGAUGUGGCCAUACAAACUUCUAAAAAAAUUAGUGAUAUUAUUAGUUGUAACAUAUCACCACCAAGAUUGAUACAAUACCUGCCUAUGCAUAAUAUAUUUAAUUAUUGGCAUCCAUUGUCCUACAAAUGAGAUUCUUAAAAUCCAAAAAAUUAUCUUGUAAAACAAAUACUAAACAAAAUAAUAGUAUUAAAACCAAAUGUGGUCCAUUGCGAUACAUUUUAAUUAAAUUAGUAGCUACAAAUAUAUGAUAAUUAUUGAAACUAAGGAUUCAUUCAAUAUUAUUGUUGAAAUUGUCUAACAUAUUAACCAUGAUGGCUACCAUUUCUAGUAGGGGGCCAAGAUUUUAGAAACAAUGUUAUGAUUUUUAGAUUGAAGGAUAUACACAUAAGUGUUUCAAUCAAUUUUGCAAUAAUAAUCUAAUUACAAAAAAUCCAAAAUUUGAAAAUCAUACAACAUUAGGUAGAACUCUAAAAAAACAUUUCUCUACAAAAUUAUAAGAGAUAAUUCAACUUUAGAAUGGCAAUACAAGAAGAACUCAAAACAAUAGAGUUGGAUCCUUGAAAUUGGCACAAUAUCUUGGAUACUACAAAAGUUAUUAUAAUAUUAGAUAAAUGAUUGGAAUUGAGUCUGGACUUCCAAAUGUAUUCACAACAACUAUGCAAACCAACUAUUAUGAGUCCAUAAAUUAUUAACAUUUAUGUUAGAAGCAUAGAUUCAGAUACUAUGGUAAUUCAUAUUUAGUUAGGAUAAUAUAAAUUAAUUAAUAUUUUAGUUGUUAGAGGUUACAAAGUAAAAAUUAUAGCUAACUACAUUCAAUAAUAUCUUUAGCUUCUAAAACAAAAAAAAAUCAUUUAUAAUUUUCAUGAUAAAUGUUGUCCACGUAAUUCCAUUAAAAAUUCUCAUUGAUGUAUGAAUUUUUAUACACGAUAUGCUUAUACUAGCUACUUUUGCAAUUAUUGAGAUGCCAUGCAACAAUAAUUAUCUUGUCAUUAUUAUAUUAAAAAAAUCUUCAUUACAAGACAUAAGUACUAUUCAUGAUUGGAGUAAAUAUUACUUAAUUUUAAUUAAGAGACAUAGAUACAUAAUAAAUCCUAUAGAUAAUUGUGUUAUAUAUUAGAAAAUAGUAAUUAUAAGCCUCAGAGAUUAACAAUAGACUAAGAAGUAUUUUUAUUACAUAUCGACAAAAAUCUAGUCUCAUUAGUAAAAAUCUAUUAAAUUGCAUUAUUGAUUCAAGUUGAAGAACGUUUAAAUAUUUUGUUGCAUUUUUCAAAAGAAAUCUUAAGCAUAAUUAUAUUAAAUAAGGCUUUGGCCUACUUAGUACUAUGAGAUAUAUCAGUUAUGAAAGAUUAUAUAACAUCAUUGAAUAUGGUCAAUUUGAAAACUAUAGAAGAAUCAAAGAAUGUCAAAAUCAAUGUAGAUAUAUUGAUUUGAAAAAUUAUUUCAAUAUUGAUAUAUUUUGGAAAGAAUGGUAUAUUAUAGAUGAAUUGUAGUGAAUAAUGAUACAUGGUUUGUAUAGAAAAUAAAGUACUCUUUUACAACUUCCAAAUGAUCCUAGGUUGAAAAGAAUCCAUUUAGUAAUUGUGGAAUUAUGACCAAUCUAAUUUAGAAUAGUAUUGAAACAAUUUUUUAAGUGUGAUGUCUAAUUUUUGGAUUCUAUCAAUUACUCAAUAUUACAACAUUCUAUCAUUAUCAAAUUUACUAUGAUAGUAUUAUUAUUAAUCUAAUGACAUAAUUUAUGCUUAUUAAUAGCUAUAAAAGCAUCAUUCUUAAUUACAAUUUCUAGUACAAAUAUAUUCUAAAUUAUCACAUUUUAGAAUCUUUUAGAAUCUUUUAUAAAUUUUUGAAACCUUCUAGAUACUUAUAGAAUCUUUAAUAAUCUUUUAGAAAGUUCUAUAGGCUUUUAGAAGCCUCUUUAGACUUUUAGACGUUUCUUUAGACUUCUAGAAACUCCCAUAGAAAGUACCAUAGAUUUCUUUAACUUUCAUUGUAGUAUAAAUAGGAGUCUAUGGAACCACUUUUGCUAUCAAUUUUAUUCUUUGUUUUUAAUCUUGAUAUAUUUUUUUGUCAAAUUCUUGUGUCAUUAACAACUUCUUGAAUAAUUAUGAGACCCAUUUCCUACUUUCUCUAAGACAACAUCACCUCUGCUCUUCUUCAUUCUUAAAAAUCUUAUGGCCAAAUUGCUUUUGAACUUAGUUGUAAUAAAGCUAUUAUCUCCAGGCUAACAAAAAAAAUCACUAUUAAUAGGAAAAACCUUAUAUUGGAUAGACCAAAGAAGCUCACUAUAGAAGAUGAAAGAACAAUUAUUUGCCAAAUCAAUACUAAGAAGACUGAAAAUUUUGUUGAGGUUGCUAAAAAUCUUAAUAAUAUUAUGAGUGAUCCUGUGUCAAUCCAAACCAUUCAAAAUAUUCUCAAGAAAUGGAAUAUGAAAGCUGUGGUGAAGAAAAGAAAGACACUAUUAUCCACCCGUCAUUAGAAACAAUGCUUGAAUUUUGCUAUGAAAUACAAAGAAUGGACUGUGGAAGAUUGGAGGAGGGUUAUUUGGUCAAAUGAGACAAAGAUCAACAGAUUUGGAUUAAUGGCAAAAAGUGGGUAUGGAAACAAAAAGAUCAAUUCUUGCUUGACAAGAAGAUGCAAAAAAUAGUUUUGUAUAGAGGUAGAAAUAUAAUGAUAUAGAGUUGUAUGGAAUGGAAUGGAAUUGAAAGGAUGGCAGAGGUUGAAGAAAGGAUGGAUGCUAAGAAAUUCAUGGAAAUUCUUGAAAAAAAACCUACUUCCUAGUAUUAAAGAAUCUAGCAUUUUUAAAGAGGAGGUGAUUUUUCAGCAAGAUAAUGACUCCAAGCAUAACUCAAAACUAGCAUAAAAGUGGUUUAAUCAUCAUGGAAUUAAAGUAAUGGAUUGGCAUGCUUAGUGUCUUGAUCUUAAUUCCAUUGAACAACUUUGGAAGUACCUCAAACUCCAGCUCAACACUUGGAAGAUAAAACCAAAAGGAGCUUGAAAAUUAAAGGAAAGAAUACCUAUAGAAUAGAAUAAUAUUGAAGCAAUUUUGUACCAAAAGUUAAUAGAAAGUAUGCCUAGGAAGUUGGAAGCAAUUAUCAAGGCUAAAGAAGGUCUUAUAAAGUACUGAUAUGUAAUUGGAUUUCCAAAAAAAUGUUUCAAUAUUGUUCAAAAUUUGAUUGGUCAUAGCUUUACAAUUACUUGAUGGAUUCUUUUUAACCUAGACUUAUUUGAUAGCUAUAAAAGAAUACUUUUUUUGCUAUAUAAACUAAGUGUCAUUAUUCACUACAAUUUAUUUGUAAUAUAUUAUUCUUUCUAAAAUAUGUUUAUAUUGAAAUAGUUUUUGGAUUCACUAUACAUCUAAAGAACUAAAAACAUCUUUUUUAUUCAAAAAAUUCAAACAUAUCUUUUCUUGGUCAUACAAAGACCUUAAAGAUAUCUCCAUAAUAAUUUCUAAACACACCAUUUAUCUAUUACUAGACAUAACUCCAAUUUAACAACAAUGUUAUUGUAUUAAUUUUAAUUAUGUCACAACAAUAUACAUAGAAUUAGACAAAAUAUUAAAAGAUAAAUUCAUAUUUUCUAUUUAUUUACUAUUGUAGCUCUUAUUAAUAAUAAUCAUUUCUAAAAAAAUAACAAAUUGUACAUUUGUAUCAACUUUAGGAAAUUCAAUGUUGCAAUACGAAAGGACUAUUAUUUAUUUUUUUAUGUACAAAGGAUAAUUAAUGAAGUUGCAAAAGAUGAAAUAUAUUCUUUUAUGGAUUAAUUUUUAGGAUAUUAUGAAGUAGCAAUGGUGGAGGCCAAUAAAAGUGAAAUGACAUUGUCAAUAAAGUGAAAACCUUUCCAAUACAAAAAAAUAUUGUUUGGAGUGAAGAAUAUAUUAAGGACUUUUCAACAAGUAAUAGAAUUUAUAUUUUGAUCUUUUUUGAAGAAUUUCUUUUGGAUAUUUUAUGACGAUAAAAUAAUAUAUAAUAAUGUCAUUGCCCACAUCCAAUACUUAUAAAGUAUUUUUCAAGCAUAUUGUAUCUAUGGUCUCAACUUCAAUGUGGAUAAAUGUAUGAUCUUAUUCUUUACAAGAAUAAUAGUAUAUUAUAUUAUAUAUAAAUAAGGUAAAUUAUCCAAUCUUUUCAAAAUCAAAGACAUCUUUAAUAUGCAACUCUUUUAAAAACAAAAGGAGAUGUAAUUUUUUUUGGUAUGGCUAAAUUCAAUUGUAUCUACAUCAAAUAAUUUAUACAUAUUAUUAUAUUCAUUAGUGCUCUAAAUUAUAUAGACUAUCAUUACCAAUUCAUUGGAUUGCAAAGGACUAAUAAGCUUUUAAAGCCAUCAAAAAGGUGUAUACUAACAUAUUAAUAUUAUUAGCCUGGAAUUGAUCCUUAUAAUUUAGAAUCCAUAUAAACAUUUCUAAUGUCACAAUUAGAAUCAUACUUGUUCAGAAUUCUACUAAAAAGGUUCAUCAAUUGAUAGCAUAUGUAAGUCAAUUAUUAAAUUAUGUAAAACAUAAUUAUUUGAUAAUUGAAUUGAAAACACUUGCUAUGAUAUAUACAAUUAUAAAAAAAUCUAUUAUUUAUUAGGAGAAAUAAUUCAAUUUUUCCUAAAUUAUUCCAAAUUAUUGAAUUUAAUAAAUUAGUUAUUAAUCAUUAGCCAUAUUGCAUAAUAGAUCAUGAUAUCAAAAACAUGAAUCUUAAAAAACUAAAAGAUCAAUAUAUUCUUAUAUUACUUAAAAAGAGUAUAUAAUCACUCAAAGAAAGUAUAAUAUUAAACUAAAAUGGCUAUUAUCAAAGGCAAGAAGUCUAAAGACUCUUGAGAUGAGACUAAAGAUUAAAAAGAAAUUGAUAAAAUUAAAGAAGGCUUCAAUCUUGCCUCCUAUAUCAUAAGCUAUCAAUAUGUGUGACAUGUAACUAAUUUAUUGGCCAAGUUUCUAACCUAAAAAUCAACUUUAAACAUAUCAUAGUCAAAUUUGUAUCUAUAAAGCUUAUAAAAAGCUUGAAUAUAAGAUAUUAUGAAAUCUAUUUAUAUUUAUCUUCUAUUCAAUACUUCAUAUAUAAGUAAAUAUGUAUGUUUGUGACACAUGAUCUUUUUGGUAUAUGACUUUGAAAUAGUCCAUGUUUAAAAUAAAAACUAUGUAGUCACUACUUAUUUAUGCCAUGAUACAACCACCAUUGAAGUAAUAAGCAUUAACAAUAUCUUUAAUGAUAUGUAUAUUCAAACAUCUAUUAUUUAGCUUGUAACAAUUAAUAUUGAUUAGCGUUCUCUAUAUAGAACAUAUCUCAUAAUUGGAUAGAAACCACAAAGAUUUACAUGUAUGCAUUACAUUAUCUUCAUCUAUCAAGCCUUAUCAUAUACUUAUAUAAACCAAUUCCUUUAUAAAUGCAAUAUAGAUAACAUGGUGCAACUAUGCAUUUUUUAGGAACAACAUCAAGGUAUUAUCAAAGAACCACAAAAAGAUAUGAUAAGAGAGCACUAAAGACCAAAAAUAUCUAUUCAAAAAAUCUUUAUAACAUGAUAUUGGUUGCCAAUUCUAUACAACAACAGAUACCAUUAUAUUAAGCAUUGCUAUAUAUGUCAAAUAUCUACUUCAAAUUUUGCAUAUCAAAGAAAGGUUCCAUUAUGUUCUUUUCUGGGACUUGAAUUAUUCAUGCAUUAUGGAUUGAAUUUCAUUGGUCUUAUAAAAUCAAAAAUAUCUCAAAUACAUAAAUAUAUCUUAGCAUCUAUAAACUAUAUAAUCAAAUGAAUAGAGGAUAAGGCUUUACACACCAAUUUAGUCAUCAUUACAAUGAUCUUUUUUCUAAAAAUAAAUUAUUAUUUAUUUUGGAUGCCUUCUAGAAAUUUUAUUUUAUUAAGGUACACACUUUGUUAACUAGAUUAUUGACAAUUUCAUCUGGGAUCACAUUAUCAAAUAUUGUACCUCUAUUGUAUAUUAUCUAUAAAAUAAUAAAUUAGUAAAAUCCAUCAACAAGAUGUUAUUGACAAUGUUAAAAAAAAUCAUUAUUACAAACCAGAUCAAUUGGAAUAUAUGUUUAUCAACAAUCCUAUAGGCCUAUUAAGUUGCAUAUAAGAACACAAUAAAAACCAAACCCUUUGAAUUGAUAUGUGAUAUACAUCUAUUAUUUCUAAUCAUAUAUAUUACUUCAAUAUUUCAAUCACUCACUUUAUGGAAGAAUACACUACAAAAGAUAUUGAUGAUUUGAUUGGUAGAUAUCCACUACAUUAAUAUAAUGAUGUUAUUCAAUUAAUAACUUGUAAUGAAGAAUAGUAUACUUGUAUUAUUGAGAGAAUCAAGGUGAAAUAUACACCUCAAUACUUGCAUCUUUUCUUUGGCUAGAAAUUUUAAGGCAUAGGCAUGUAAGACAAGGCUGUUUGUAAACAUCUUUAUUGAGAUGUCAAAUACUUUGUGAAAGAAGUAUAACAAGACAACUACAAGUAUGAUAUUUUUUUAGAUUAAAUAAAAGCAUUCAAAGCCAUAUUUAGAUAAUUAUGUAACAUAUUGAAUACCAUUUUCUUUUAUAAUAAUUAUAAAUGCAUUCAAGGGUAUCACUUAUAGAUGUACUUAAUAGUAUAUAUAAUAGCAAAAUAGAAAUUAAAACAUGAUUAUUGAAAAACACCUUUGUAUUGAAUUUUUCCACCUUAAUUGUAAUUUAUAUGCCAAUAAUUCCAUUGAUUCAUUGUUAAACUUGUAUAUCUGUCUUUACAUAAUAGACUAUGGUAAAUAUAAUGUCCCACCUUGAUUAAGGUCUAUAACUAAGGUAUUGAAGAAAUUAUAUUAGAUCUGUGAUCAACAUAAGCAAAGUACAGAGAAAUUAGAUAAACAUAAAAGAAUUAUGCUAGAUCUAUGAACAAUGUAAGCAAUAAAUGGAGACAUUAAAUCAAUUCAAAGUAAAGAAAUCCAAGAUGGUUUAGAUGUAUGAGAUCCACAUUAAGCCAUUGUCCAAAUGAUAACUUCAAAUGACUUGCUAUUUUUAAGAAUAUAUAUAUAUAUAUAUAUAUACAUCAUAAAUAUCCAAAAUAACAACCUACUUGAUAUCUUUUAUUGAAUACAACAAAGAUUGUGUAGUGACAAAUAAGACUAUGGAGCAAUGUUUCUAAAGUAUGGUGGAUUGCACUUCAAAAAUUUCCAUAUUGUGUAUUUGGAUUGAGAUGCAACAUCAUACCAUAAAUUAACACAAAUAUACUAUCUAUGACCUUCAAGAAUCUUUAGCUAAUACUAAAAUUAUGCUUGAAAUGACCUAAGCUACAAUUUUUGGAUGUAAAGCUAUCUUCCACAUCGCAUAUGAAUAGGUUAUAAUAUUAAAAAUUGCCAACAAAACAAUUAGACAAUGAAUCAACAAACUUUUUGCUACAAAUACUUAGUUGUGAUAAAAUAUAUAUGAGGUUGAAGAAUAAGAAAAGAUAACUAUCAAAGAAUUAAAACAAAGGACUGAAUGGAUGGGAGAAGAAUGCCUUGUUAUGGAAGCAGUCCUAUAAAAUUUUAAAGCCAAUCUUGCCAAUUGUAUUUAGGAGGUAUUAUGUAUUUUUGUCCUUAAUGCAAUAUGGUUGGAAAACAAAGUUCUAAUAUUGAGCAAGCAAAAAAAGAGAUGUUUAUACAAUAAUAUAUAAUAGACGGAAUGAAUACGUUAAAAUUAUUAGACAAAGAUAAAGGAUGAGAACUAAACAAUAUAAGGAUUGAAAAAAAAAGAUGUGAGUAUAUUAAAGAACUAAUCAAAGUAUGUACAUAAGAACUCUAGAAUCUCCAAGAUACAUCCUAGAGUCUAUGUUUCUAUUCUCCUAGCUACAAAUUCUAAUAUCAAAAACUCAAACAGAUACAUGAGAUGGAAAAACAAAUAUCAUCUCUAUAUUUUUACUCCAUAGUUUUUCAACAUAUAGUUAACUACCACUAAAAAGAGUUGUAGAUAUUAGACACAAAAUUUUAAGGAGAAAAAAAUGACAAGAAAAGUGAGGCCAUAUAUUAAGAAAAUGAAAAUUCUAUGGUAUUAGCAUACUUUUAAAACAAUUUGGACUAUGCUUAUUUGUAUGAAGAUUUAUGUGCAGAUGCAGAAUGCCUAUUAUAUAAUUGGUUGUUGGAAAAAAUGAUUUUUGAUAUAUAUAUAUAUAUAUAUAUAAGCAUUCAUCAAAACCAAAGACAAAAAUUAUUGCAUAUAUUAUAGUAUUGUCAAAGAUAUCAUUAAAUAUACAAAAAAAAAUCAUCUCCUUAAUACUUAAUAAAAUGUUCUACUAAGUUUUAAAAAUUCUAUUCUUCAACCAAUAGACACUUUCAAAAGUAAGAAAGAAUAAUACAUCAAUACAUUUGAGGACAAAAUGUAAGUUUACAAACAAGGAUAAAAUGCCAACGCCAUUAAUAACGUUAACAUUUUUUAGCAAAAGCAACAAUAUUGAAGUAUGUCCAUACAAUAAGAAGAAUGGAUAAAGAGGCGACAAUAGAAACUACUAGUAAGUAAUUAUAGCAUUAUUGCAAAUUUAAAAUAAAAGCAAUGAUUAGGAAACUUUUAGGCAUUACAAAUACCCUUAGAGGGACAUAUUUUCUUUCUUUUUCCUUCAAAAUUUGGAUGUUUAUCAAUUAGAGUUAUAAAAAUAGCAAGCUCGUUUGUCAUGUUUUGUAAGUAUUCUGGCUGGGUAGAACUAUGUAAUGUUUUAUAUUCAAAUGAAUAAAAGAGAGAGUAUAGAAGUAUUACAUCAAAGGAAUUAUUUACGUCUUGGAUGCAUCAGUAUAUCACUGUUACUAUUGCAUGGUGCACCAUUGACCAACACAAUUCAUGGGCAAAUUUUAAUGAAAAUAAAUAAAUUGUAAGGCCAAUCAUUGCAAGAUGCAAGUUUAGGACUUUAAACCUCAAUAUUUAUCUAUGACCAAUUGCAUGUAGCUCCAUUCUAAUACACAUUUUUAAAGUGCAUGAAGAUCAUUUAUCCGAAUAAUAUAUAUAUAUAUAUAUAUAUAUAUAGAUUUCUACCUACCUGACUACCUACCUGCCUCACGAAGAGAAGAGCCAACUGAGAGGGGAGGAGCCAGCCCAACUGAAGGGAGAGGGAAGAGGGACACGGGCACAGGGAGGGGGAACAUUGUGCCCGUGUCCCUGUCCCCAGUUUCCUCCCCUCCCCUCCCUUCCCUUCCCUCCUCCACGGUGACCAGCACAGACAGACGCACACACACUCCCACACACACACCUGGUCGCCGUCGUCUCCAUCCAUCCGCAGACCGUGACGAAGAAGAAGAAGAGCAUGAAUCCGCGGUGGAGGGGGGGUGGUGGCGGUGUGAAAGGGGAACAGGGGAACACUGAGAACAACAACAGCAUCCCCCCCCACUUCCCUUUCCCCUUCCCUUAGUCUGCACCAGACGAGGCGAGACGAAACGAGACCACUCCCACAAGACGAAGGGAAAAGGGAGCACAGGAGGAGGACGAGGAGGAGGGAGAGGGAGAGGAAAGGAAAAGGGAGGGAAGGGACAGGGAAAGCGGGAGAAGUAACUUGCCUUCCCCCUCCUUCCCUUCUUCCUUCUUUCCUUCUCAUUCCUUCAUUGCCCUGUCUUUCCGUCUUCUUCUUCUGCUUCGUCGUCGUCAGCACCACAAAUACUACACCCAACUCCCGCUUCGGAUUGGACCUUUGCACCCACCCACCCAGACACCCAUCCAGCAGCAGUAGUAGUAGUUGCAGUAGUAGUAUCGCAGGAGGAGGAGGAGGAGUCAGUGGGGGAAGGAGGAGAGGGAGGAAGCAGCAUUCGGGGGCACAUUUAGGUUAUAUUGCGUUAGUCGCGGCGUGUGGCGAGGAAGGGAUAAAGCGAGAGAGAGAGAUAGAAAGCCAGGGGCUUUGAAGGAAAGGAAAGAAAGGAAAGGGUAGGGACAUAUAGGGAAGAAGACCAACGGACGGAGUUUGGCAUGCGGAUCACCACGGCAGGGCAGAUUCUCAGGUACCUGAAGAAGAAGAGCUCUGGAAGAGUUUGAUUGACGUUGGGUCUUAGAGAGAAAAGGAGUGGCAGAGAAGAGUGAGAGGAAGGGAGCGAAGAAAGUGAAGGAAGGGAGCGAAGAAAGUGAAGGAAGGAGAAGAAGAAGGGAAAGUGCUCGGGGGUAGAGGGAGUCUGAGAAGAGUACCAGGUUUUUGGUUCUACCUAGUCUUGAGGUGUUUGUGGGUUCGACGUUCUUGAGGUGCUCUUGGGCGAGUUCCUUUCAGAGGGCUAAUUCGGGCUGGUACAAAGCAAGCCAUUGAGAUGGUGUAAGCUUUACUUCGAGUUUCUGUGACUGUCUUCAAGUGUCGUUGCGAGUCUUCCCGUAAGCCGAGGGUUUGCGACGAACGUGCAAGUCUUCUGCUUGAAGCAGAGUAGUAAAUGGUAGGCGAAACAUGUAAGCUUGAAUGAUGGACUUGUUGUAGUGCCUUUUUGCUCAUUAUUUGCUUUGGUCGCAUGUGUGUGUCUUCAUAUUUGCUGACUAUUGGGAGUUUGAGUGUGUUCUUUAAUCAACACCUUCUCGGUGGUCGACUAAACGGGCAUAACUACGGUGUAUUGAAAAUUCGGUUUCUCAUUGUUACUUUGUGAUUCGUUACUAAUGCAACGUUUUGAUUUCAACUUCUGUCGGAGGAUACGACCUUUGAGCUUCGGUAUUGUUAAUAGUUUGGCAACUGCAUGUUUACCUCGCCUCUCGUGAUUUUGAGGUGGUUGCGUAGGUUGUGAGCUGUAGACUAGGAUCUUGUUGGAGCUUACUAUUGACAGACUUCUUGGUAACAAAUUCUGGUUGUUCUGUUAGGUCAAGGUCAGCCUGCUUGCUAUGUGGCCAUCAAGAUGCUGGUUUUUGAAAUCGGAUCAUUUGGGAAGGUCCAAUGCAAAUGGGAGAACUACAUCAAUACUGUCGUUGUAACUAGUAAACCGCUUCAUGCCUUGCAAUUAAGGUGAAAUUAGAAGUUAAAAGAGUAAGUUUUGCUGCCAGUGCCGUCUUUUAGUUCUUUGUCCCAUUUCGUGCUAUUUUCGACGACCGCACAGAGUCCAGCAAAUGUCGGGUUCAAAGUAUCCGUGGUUUAAUGUUUUAUCUUUAUCCCGGCCGCAUUUGUUAAAGAGUAGUGGUAUCACAUCUAUGCAUAGAUUUACAUUCUUAGUCACUACUGGCCUUACACAUUAAGACGCUACUGUAGAAAUUCUGUUAGUCCCCUAAUAUUCCAAAGUCGUAAGGCAUCCUCAGUUUCCCUUGGCCACUCAGUAAGUUCUUCGAGUUGCAGUAGGUGAAUUUUGUAGCUGCUGCGUAUUCUCAAAAAAUUGGAGGUUUUGGCUGGGGUUCAUUUGUCAUGGGUAGAGCUUCAACUAAACAGAAAAUUUUAUCUAGUUACGUGGGAAGUUCUUCUUAUCAGAAGAGGGUAUGUUUGAGUGCCAUACAGCUGAAUUGCAGCUAGGAUGUCUGAGGCUUACAACAUCAUGAAGGUCUAAGUAUUUAUAAUUUCGGUCAUAGUAAUCAUAUAGAAUUCUUUUAGAAAAAUAUUGUAAAGUUAUAUAGUCGCCGGAGGCGUACAACAAUUACAUCGCUAGGCAUGCUGAAGGAAAGGGUAAAAAACAUGCGUAACGGGUCGGAGAUGAGGCUGGAUACGAGUGCUCUUCAAUAUCCAGACCUAUGUAAGGUCUCGAGGCGUCUGCUUGAUCGGGACUUACUUGCAUCUUUCGAUCAGGUGUGCUCCCACGUAAUAGAUCAUGUCUAUGUGGGCAGUGGCACUGUAGCCAGGAGUCGCGAGAUACUGAUGGAAAAUGGAAUCACGCAUAUUCUCAAUAGUGCCGGCUUUGCUUGCCCCGAGUAUUUUCCCGAUGAAUUUACUUACAAGACCUUGUGGCUCAAGGAUAGUCCUUCGGAAGACAUCACUAGUGUCUUGUACAUCGUUUUCGACUUCAUUGAGGCGGUCAGACAGCAGGGCGGUCGUGUAUUCGUGCACUGUUGCAAAGGAGUUUCUCGGUCUACAUCUUUGGUGAUUGCCUACCUGACAUGGUUGCAGAGGUGCACCUUUCAAGAUGCAUUUAACUUCAUCAAGGCUGCUCGAGCAGUGACCAACCCUAAUCUCGGAUUUGCUUGUCAGCUGCUGCAAUUUCAGAAACAGUUGCAAAAUGCACCUGCUCUGAACAACAAGCUUCGUGUAUAUCGCAUGGCUCCCCAUUCUUCCCACGACCCGCUGCUUUUGGUGCCUAAAAAGGUCACUGGUCCAGAUAUUCUCACAUUCGACUCUCGGGGUGUAUUUGUAAUCCACGGACAGAACAACCUGUACGUGUGGCAUGGACAAGUUUGUGAUGCGCGUAUGGCCAAGGCCGGGCAUGAAUUCGCACUUCAGCUAAUCCGGUAUGAGCAGGUAGAGGGUCCUCCUGUAAAUAUCAACGAGGAUGAUGAACCUGCCGAUUUUUGGGAGCUUCUCCGAACAGGCGUCUUUAGUAGAACUAGUAGUGACGUCUCGUCUUUUGGAUCUGAUCUGCCCCAGAGAUCAGCUGAAGAAUCGUCGUCGAGUGCGAGUCCUCACGUAGUAGAUGGGGAUGUGCUUUUCAGGCGUCUGCAAGGGUUGUGCCCCGGUGAAGAUAAUGCUUCAUGUACUACGAAUGCAAGAGGAUGUGAAGACUCUGAUGGUGAUUCUUCUGUUGACGGUAGUAGCACUGGUCAACAUGAUCAGAGUGUUUCUGGUGCAAGGACUCUCGGUCAAGUUUGCAGGCCAUUGAAGACACUUUCGAUAUAUGACAAAGAUUUUGAGUUGUUUGAAUCUGCUAAGGAUUUGCCUGUAAAGAAUGAGCCAUCACCUGUAUCUAAGGACAUUUACGGAUGGAGGCGGUUGAGAGGAAAGUUCUUUUCAGGACCGGACAGUAUUGAAUCUGUUCCAUCUGGAAAUGAAGGGAUUGUGGCGGCGAUACCUUCCCCCUGAGUAAGUCGCACGAAGAAUCAUGUGUGAGCAAGGACUUCUAUUACAUGAUUUGCAGACGAACCACGAUUACUCAGCUGGCCAGCCCCCUCUCUUCCUCUCCCUCCCUCCCUCUCUCUCUUCCUUUCUCUGGCAUUGUCAAGCUAUUUCUGCACUUUUCUACUCCGUAAUAGAUAAUUCCAUUCGACUCUUCACAGUCUGACAAAGACGUGGUUUAGACAAACCGGCCUUCAUUUGGUCACGGUUUCUACACAAACCAGGUGGCACAUUUCGUUUGGUGUCAUCCCAGCAAGUUGGUCGUCUUUCUUAAGGGAGGAGCAGCUUUUUGUCCUUAAGAAUCCUGUCUCGACGAGGGAUGCUUCAAUGAGCUCAUGACCAACGAGGGGUUAACAAUGCUGUAGUCAAGAUCCAAUUAUCAGGUGCAGAGGGAUUGCUACAUCGAUUCAAUAGGUCUGGCCUAAUUUUGAAACCUACACUCUUCUGGAGAUUGAAGCUACAUCAAAAUUUGGCAUACCAGGUGCAACCUAUUGAUAUACCAUUAGAUCAACUUUCUUAAUGCAACCAUUCUUUGAAGCACAACCGUAAAUUCAGAAGUAAUCUGAGUUGCUGCUUGCUUGCAGAUUAUUUUCCUUUUCACCAGUUAUGUAAACCUUUUCACCUUAAAUUCCGUGUGGCUCUCAUUGGAGUUGGGACAUUCAGUGAUCUCUUGUCUUGAAGUUCAAUAUGGUUGAUAGCUUUCAAUUCACGUGAAGUAUGUGAUUACUACAUGCAUUUACCCUCCGAUUGACCAAUUUAUCUUAGAGUAUGCGGUUGAAUGUUAAUGAUGUCGUCGACGAAAAAUGUUUGCAAUCCAAACAAUGUAUGUUUUUGUUAGACUUUGUGUGGCUUGACAUAACAUGUUUUCCUUGAGAUUAUUAUUGUGAAUGUCUCCGAGUAAUAUGAGUAAAGAGCAAAACUUUAGGUUGUGAAUGGAGUACCUUAUCAAAUUUUGUCACAUUAUUCCCAUCGCAAUAUAAAAAUUGCUUGUGAGUGGUGCUGUUGUUGAAGUCAAUCUUUAUUCAUUCUUGUAUUAUCCCUACACGUUUUUGAAGAUGGGAUUCUUACUUUUUAAUUGUGUGUUGAAUGGGUGGGUGGUUAAUUUAGGAAGUUUUAACAAUACCAAUUUGAAGCAUUUUUCCAUUUCAAACUUCAUAAUACAUCUUUCUCCCCUACUCUGCUAAUCUAAAGGUAUUAACCAGGGCUAACCUUGAUUGUUAAUUCUGAAAGCACCGACUUCUUGAAUUCAGUUGGUAUCAGUUCAGAGUACAUACCACUGUUUUUGUGAAAUGUAAAAUUUUCAGAGAGAAAAUGGACAAUUUUAAUAAUAAAUCCAGCAUCAUGCUUCUCUUUAAGACAUAACGUACACCAUAUUCUUGACACUGCCAACAGUAUGAUUGUUACUCAGGCUGAAGAAUACCUGGAUCUACUGCAGUUAAUUCUAAUUUGAAUUUAUCAUACAAAAUUCUAAAACAAAUGAGUUGGGCACUGACUUUGAGACCUCGAAUGAUCGAUCACUAUCUAUAUAAAAACAUUAGUACACUCACUGAAGCUCGGAUUCAAGUUGUCUGACAAAUCCGGGUUGAACUAGGUCCCGAAACCCAUCACCCAAUUUAGGGUUUAAGGUCAAAUCCAGAAACGGGACAAAACCAUACUUGUUUGUGCGUCUUGUGAAGAUCGAUCAAGUGACGGUGUAGAGUGUGGACCAUCCGUGGAAUUUCAAAGGCGGGAUGGCUCUCUCCCGCCUGCAGUAUGUGACCGUUGUGGCUGGAUUCUCCGCCUUGUCUGCAUGGUAAACUUCGCCGUUUUCCAGUUCUCCCCGUCUCAGAUUAGGGUUCAAUUGUAUGCGCCUAAUUGCGCAAACUUGAAGUAAUUCGUGGUUGCUAGUGACACUCGAGGGGCCGCACCUGUAGAUUUUUCUCACUGAUAGGGUGUAUUGAGACAGCAGCCGUGAAAACGCAAAGUUCUGAUGGCACUUUUGUGGUCGUCACUCAGGUAUGGCUUCAUGUUUGGCAAGGAGUCGGCACGAAAGGAGCUGGCGGACAAAGUGAGCGAUUUGAAAGCUACGAUUCAGAAGCUUGAGAGCCACGAUAAUGCUUGAGUAAUUGAAUGUCGAUGUGUUCGACGACAUAUUCCGGGACUUGUAGUGGGUGUCGCAAAAUCUUUUGCGAAGUCUAUCCAGAUUCAGGUUUGUUGAUUACCACACUGAAGAAUGUGGGCGAUGAAUAUUGCUCUGCCCUUGAUGGUGAAGGAACUUGACUACCAUUAUCGCAGGUUAAUGUUCAAACCCUGCUUAACACAAAGCUUCAACACAUAUCCCGAACAGGGCGGUGCUACGGCGUAGAACGAUCUAGUAGCUUCCGGAGAUAAGAUGUUGUCAAUCAUAUUCAUUGAAAAAGCGCAACUCCUUCCAGUAAUUGUUCCAGUUUGCGUAUUUGAUGUUGUAGCUUUCUUUGCGUUGUUAUUUUUUUUAUUUUUUAUUUUUUAUUUUUUUUGUCCUCGUCAAUUUGUUCAGAUGGUCGUAUUGGGAUGUCGCCAACUCGAGCGGAGUUGGUAAUUGCAUACUAUUGAUUGUUGAAUCACUACUUAGUACAGGGUUGAUGAAAAUGAUCCGAGUUCAGGAGUUGCCGUGGCACGGGGUCUUUCUCCAAUUACCAUAGUUUAUGCAGGGGUUCUGCAGUUGAGCAAUGAUCUUGAGAUAUUACUUAUUUUCUUUAUUUGCCACUAGGUUAUUCCAAGGCCACAACAUUUUUAUAGUCGGGAAGUGUAUUCUAGAGUCGACAGUUGCGUCUAGAGCUGCUGUAUUUCUCUAAUAGUAGAAGAAGUAGAGGCAAGCAAGUGUACCAAUGCCUUCUGCCAGAUGUCUAGUCCGUCGUGUGCAUCUAAUUCAGCUGAAGGUUGCAGUUGUUCUAGCAACUUUUCUGUGAUGCUGUCAAGCAUUAUCAUGAUCUGGGAUGUCCAAGCAUUGGGUCUACCUUCUAGCGUGCUCUUACAAUGGAAAUGGCUUGUUACCCAUUCCUCCAGAAUUUCUGUCAAGCCAAUGGAUAAGUUAAGUCUUAAAAUAAAGGAAACAAGAACUAACAAUUGGUAACGAACUUAAGUAAGCAUAAAGUAACACUAUCAUGUAGGUAUCCGGGUAGUGCGCAUACCUUGUUCGAUAUUGUUUCCAUCCUUCCAGGACUUCAAGUGUGCUGAUACUAGUGUUUCAAUCAGCUGUAUCCUGUAAAUUGCAUCGAUUUCACAUAUUGGAUACCUUAAGCGAUUAAAAUAGCAUUUCUGCUUGUUUCUGAAAAGACAAAAGUAAACAGUGGCCUGCAGAUUUUUAAAAAUCGUGCUUCUGGAAAGAACUGGAAAAGGUUUUCAAUGGCGUCUCAGAUACGGUAGCAUGGUCCAGUUUUUAGCCGAGCUCGUAAGUCGUCUGAGUAUACUUACACGUAGAAAAGAUUCUCGUAUGCUUGAGAGAACCCCUCGUCAAAUGGGUCCGUGCACUGAAGUCUCUCCAACACCAUCGUCAUCUGUUGUGAUGAAGUCAAAAGCAUUCGAUGUCCUAUGUAUGCAUACUCCGCAAGUCUCAGCAUGACUACGAGCGUCUCCUCCUGGUCAUCUCCUUGACUAUCAUCUGGAGAAUGUGUUCCGUGAAAACUGAUUGUGAGCAUGAUAAUACUUGGAUUACCGUAGUGUAACCGGAAGUAGCUUUUAGUGGUAGGAUUAAGAAUUGACUGUUCAUAAAAUGUAUCGUUCAGUAAUGGUAAAGUAUCAAAUUUUAUCAAAGCAAUAAUUCUUGCUGGAAAGGCUUGGCACAGAAUUUUUACCUUGGCAGCUGGGCGUGAAGUUGAGCAAAUUUCCCACUAGAUCCAGGGCCAGUUUCUUCACGAGGUUGUUGACAACUAGAAGUUGACUCUCCUCGCAUUGUUCUCGACGUAACAAGGGAAUUGUGUCUGCACAGUCAAAAGAAUUGUAGCAAGAACACAAGCGACAAGUCCGACGCGUUUACAUUCCUGGAUGAUUUUAUUUCAUCAGAACCACAAAGAACAAAUAACUCAACACCUUCGAAGGUAUAGAAAAUCAAACGGAACCCUCCAGGAGGGAGCUUCAAGGUAAGCUUGACCUUUAAUGAAGUCCACAGCAUGAUGAAUGUAUGCCUCGGAGUACCUUCCUUUCAAGUGAAUCUGUCAAUAAUCAGCUUCAUUGAGCAUCCAAGCCUCACACAGAUUGGAAAGAGGUGUGAUGUACUCCCAACGUCACGUAAACAUGGACAUUCAUAAAAUGCUAUACUAAGUCGGUACCUUCUCACUCCGAGCUUCAAUUUUUUACAACCUAUUUGUUUUGUGUAAAUUAAUUGAUUAGAACAUCUAAUAUUUUCCGCAAAUAAAAACCGCAUGAUUCCCACAUAUCUUUUUGGAUUGGAUACUCACUGAUUUUGCCUGGCAGCUCAGUAACUCGAUGACGAAAUCAAUCACUAUGGCCAAAUUCCCUUGCAUUUCAUCUGUACAGUUAAAGGCCGCGAAGCUCCUAAACGUCACGAUCCUCUCAGAAAUUAUCUGCAUCACUUAGUAUUUCUCAAAAAGAUUCAUCAUCAAAGAUGCUUGAGGCCAUAUUACCAGAAUUGUCGUCUACGCUCUGCAGCUUCAACUUCCGCAGAACUCUCACUGCCACAAUAACGCAAUGAUCAACCUUAUUCCAACAAAAUAAUGCACAUUUUAUUGACUUGUUUACAUGUUUAUUUAUUAGUAUCAUCAAUUUUUUACUACUCAUAUCUCUCUAACUUGCAGCGAAGGGUUAGGAAGGAUGAAAAUUACCAUUUCUCAAGAAGAUUUGAACCGCGCUUUGCCUAAUGUAAUCACCGUAGCUGUUUCGACCCUCAUUCUGUUCAUUACCAGCCGACUUUAAAAAGUGACACUUGCAAGGGGCAAGCAAUGGUAGUCGAUCCAGCACAACUGCACCUGCCCCACAUUACAUCCAUCACUGUCAGAUAAUCAACAUGUGAAUUCUUUUUGUAAGUCCUUAGAGUUGUUUUGAAACUUGAUGGUUAGGUAAUGGACCUUGCAACUCCUCCAACUGCUUCGUCACGACGAUGUACUUCUCUUCCAAUACUUCGGCCUGCAACUUCGAGACACAGUUACGAAAAUUUCCGAGUCUCACUGAACGAUUCAGUAAAAGAGAAAUGUGUAAAAAGUUCAACCCGAUAAUGGCCUCACCAUUUGCAUGAUAAGCACAGAAUCCAAUUCCAGUUCAAUAUGGCACCGUUGAGCUAUGCAUUGUAAGGACCGCAAGAAAGAUACUCAAGUGUCAUUCAAUAGACACACAAGGUGAUCAACUGCUCUCAACAAGAGUGACAGGAUUAGUGCCACAGCAUCAAGUGGACCACGCAAAGAAAUUACCACUGCUCAACGUGAUCACCAACCUUUCUUCUCCACUGAUUCUCUUCUGCUCCAGGAUUCGAGCGAAUUGAAGUUUUCCACAUUGCAAGAGCCACCGCAAGCUUCAUUCUCAUUUCGUCUUUUCUGCUCUUGGAGAUCGUCAUUGAAACCGGAGUGAGGCAACAUUCAAAUUGACGGAUUCAACUGUGAAAUGCACGCAGAAAAACAUGAAAUGAUGUGACAAAUCCCUGCAGCUGGUGAUGUUGCUCUGGUCGAGGAAAACUCGACGGAUGGAUGAAAUCCGCAAGAAUGUGGUCAGUCAUUGAAGCAAUGUGAAGUGGCGGGGUGGAUUUCGAAGCAGCAGGUGAAGCGAAAGCGACGGAUAUGGACGAUAUCUAUCGAGUGAAGAUGUUUGAAUUUAUUCUGUGAAUCUGGUUUUUUAUGCUGAUAUUUUCGCCGAAUUCGGCGAUGGUGAUUCAGAGCGAGCAGCUUUGAUAGGAAUCCGCAGGGCGUCGCUGAUGCUGGCGUGGCAGCAUCAGUCGCUGUUCUAGCCUCGCAAUUGAAACCUGCUAUCGAAGAGAAAUUUGUUAUGAUCUUGUUGUGCGUCGGGAGGAUCUCGAGGAGCGAUUGAAUCUACGAGGAUUAAUCCAUUGGAAAUUGUUGGAGGGCAAGAGGUGAAAGGGGAAGGGGACGGGUUUAAUUUGUGAAAGUUCCGGAGGAAGUGAAGUGCGUUAAUUUGGUUGAGAAUAGAAUGGUGUUAGCAAUUUCACUUGUAUCAUUAAGUGUGGCCCUGACAACUCAGUCAACCUGCAUCGCAAGAUCUUGGACCGUAGGACUGUAGCUGGUUUGAUCACCGCAUAUCUUCUUGUGGUUUUGUCAACAGCGUUGUAAAUUAAUGGAAUCGUGGCAAGUUGAUAGUCAAAUCUGGUCAUAGGAAUCUCAUAAUGUUCGCUGUUGAUGUAUAUUGAACCCUGCAUGUGCUCAGGGCGUUCAAAGAAUCAGUAUCGCGUAGGCAUACAAUUGUUGUAGCGCAGUUACUAGUUAAUUGAUAUGUGCGACAUGUUUGGUGUGGCUCGUAUUGAACCUGCAGUCCCAGACAUAUGUAAUGUUUUAUACCCAUCAAAUCCUGUGAAGUGUAUGCUUUUAUGAAUCUAAGUGCUGGAGGGAUGUUCUCGUCAUGCUGCAUUUCAUACACCACAAAACAUCGCCACUUUUUCCUAAUAUAUGAGAGCAUACCAAUAAAAUCAGACGCGAUGUGGACCCAUGUAGCUCGUGAACUACGUCAAAAGUGGUCUAUGGUGUGGCAGUGAACAUGAGUUGCUAUGGUCUCGACGAUCCAAAUACACUGGACCAGACGGCAUUUGAAGAUCGAUGUUCUCAGAGCUCAACAAAAGCGCUUGGUUGACAAAAAUAAUGGUGAAGUCUUUUUCCAGAGCGGAAGCAGCACUAAACUCGAACAUGAUGUACAACUCCGGCAUGAAUUCAUGGCCACGUAAAAUUCAAACAGCUUCCAAGAUAUCCUUACUUUGACACGUCGUCCAGAAGUGAUCUACAAAAUGAAAAUUGAUAAUGAUAAAAGGUGGAAUCGGGCACGCAUGAGACAGCAGCUGCAAAAUGAAAUUAAGCAGCCUUCCGAGUCUUAGGCUUCUUGCUUAGCUUGUAAACGACCAUCCGCGCAAUCUUAUAGAACCAUAGUAAGCUAACCACUUGGAUUCCAACAGCUCCAACCUGCACCAGACGGAGGUGAUGAAGACUUUUUGUUUAAGUUCACUAGUGCAAACAGGGCCGACAGUAAAGAACUUUCAUCAAAACAGCAAUUCAAAAUACAUCAAGGAUAAAGAGCAUGCUAAUAAGGGAGAAAAACCUUGACAGCGAAAGGGGUGGUAGAUGAUAAUAGACACUUGUACACGACAAUAGGUCCAAUGAAGACUCUAGCAACGGUAAAAAUCAGGGCAAAAACAACCUGCACAAGAACCGAAUGUCACACGAAUAAGUGGAUGAUCGAUUCUUCACAGACAAAUUGAAUCAUUGAGAGCAAAAUUGAGCCAGAGUAAUCUCAUAGCUCAAGUUGGUAGAUAGGUAUGAGGAUAUUACGGUAGUUCUUCCUUUUUAAUCAUACACAAAUUGAAGAGAGAAAAAUGAAGUGGAACAAUUGUGCGAUAACAAAUGGAAAUUAAUGAGGCGUUGCGUGUGUUGAAGAUGCUAAUUGGAAAGAAACACAUACAUCAUUCGCAAGGUUCAUCGAUGAAUCUUUCAGGUUCAGCUCUUUGAGAAGCUCUCGAGCAUGCAUGAAGGGGUUUGAUACUUCCAUGAGCAUCAGGCAUGCCACCAGCUCUGUCCCACUCUACAGGAAAAAUAAUAAUAGAAGAAUUAAAAUAAUCGGUUCAUGAUUAUCGAGGCAUGGGACAUCAAACGAAACAUAUGAAAAGUCCAUACAAUACAUUGAAUACAAGCGAACUUUCGGACAAGGAAACUUCAAAUACAAACGAGGAGAAAAACAUAUCUGAGCAAUAGCUGCGUAGAGUUAGAAGUAAGACUUACAAUUUGACGCUCGUAUCCAAACCCAAGCCCUAGGAUAGUGAGAACAUGGUGCAUAAACACAUCCAAACUGAAUGGGAGCUCCACUAAGCAGCAAAGGGUAUCGUAAGUGAAGUAGGCCAGACUUACUGUUAACGCCAGCAUCUGCAACAUUCGACAGACGAUAUUAGCAAUUAAGCGGAGCUCAUAAUAUCAAAAAAAAAUCACUUCAAAUACACUCCGCUAAUGUGGAGAAUCCAAAACCCCCUAUGACAGAAUUCUGGAAUAUGGAAUGCUGUAACGGCACCCAAUUUUCAGAGGGUAUUCAGGCCUGACCACACAUUGCAAACACGAAGCCUGGGAAUGCUGCACGCUUGUACUACUAAAAGCAUCCGAUUAAGGGAUUAAAAAAAAGAAAAGAAAAGAAAAGAAAAGUCCCUUAAGCAAUGAGAUGAGUAAUGCUAGCAUUUGUGCACUAAAUGUAGACAAGACCAUUAAGGCUUCCUCAACCGAAGCUUCGAUAAUAACUAGAAGAUCUCUCACACACAGAAAAGGCGUCAAGUCACUUGCAACUAAACCGAAAGUAAAAUAACACAUUGUAUCAAACACGAGCAUUCUGAUCAUCAAUAUGAAGGAGGACCUCAGACAAACCUAGAAGUCUGACCUGGGGAUAUGUGGAGGCUGCGCCGACACCGUCCAAUGGGCGAGACCAAUCGGCAACCGACUUGGAACAGAAAUAACAGGACACAAACACAUGGAUGAGUGAGACGAUGCGAUUGCAAAAAUCCUUGGAGCGUGCCGGGAAUAACACACGCGACAGCACGUAGACGAAAGUCCACGCUGCAGUCAUGGCCGACAUUGUCACCGGCCCAAGGUCUAGCUCCUGUGUUGCGCCCCCCAUUGCUUCCCUUCCACUCGUGCGCAGUUCCUUCUUCCUGCCCUCGAAGACUGUCCAAGCAACAACACUGUCUCGCCGCAAGCAAUAAAAAUAACAAAAAGUAUCCUAAUGCUCAAGAGCUUCACCCUUCGUUCUUUCCGCCGUGAGGCCUUCAACAGAUCCACGGAGAUGAGUUCGUGUGUGACUCUCGUGAGAUCCCCUCUCUGUCUUAGGUGCUCUUGGCCAUGGUCCACGUUCGGUACACGGUCUUAGGAGCUCCAGGCUCGGUCCACGUUAUGUGCACGGUCUCAGGGGCUUCUGUUGCAUUUCCACUGCCCUCGAGCCCCCUCUCCUGUUUUCAAUGCCUUAGUCGCACUUAACACGACUUGUUUGUUUGGAUAUAAUAAAGGAUAUAUAUAUAUAUAUAUAUAUAUAAAUUCUCUCAAAAAAAUAUGAUAAAAUGUGAAUAAAAAAUUUAUGAGAUAUUAUAGAUGUGUGCAUUUAUAUAUAUAUAUAUAUAUGUGUGUGUGUGUGUGUGUGUAUUAUUGCUUAUAUGAAAGGAAAAAUAUCACACAUGCCCUUGGAUUUUUCUAAAAUACUAAGAAUACACCUCAAUUCUUGAUAAUAUCAAAUCUAUCCCUACCUUUUGUGAUAAUUGCAAAAAUGCCCCUCACAGAAAUAAUCUAUCUAAUUCUAGUUUUUUUUAGUUUGAACUAAGGCUUAAAACAACAAUUUUUUGCAUUGUUUGGGCCCCAUGCAAACCGGACACUCCCUCCUCCGCUACACUUGCAUAUUUUUUGGCAAUGUACUAAAGAAAGGGACUUGCUUGGAAUUGAAGAGAGUUGUGUGAAGAGCUUGGAGAAUCGCCAUGAGUACCUAUUCGAUUUUGGCACUACUAGAAUUAGUUGUGCAAUUCCAUAGCUUAAUGUCAAAAAAAUCAAAAGAAUAUUGAUAUCAAUAAUCAUGUCUUAAUUUGGUGAUAAUAUGCUUUUACAUUACUGUAGCUAUGUUCGUAAGAGCCAAUUAGCUUAGAAACAACCUUUUCUCUUCCAUGCCAUGUCGUCAAGUAGGAUAUUGUAAUGCCUUCAUUAUAUCAAAUAUCCUUUGGAUAUCUACAUUUCUAUAUUGAGAUAUGUCUUCCAACUUGUUCUUUACAUUGCUUGCUACUCAACUUGUAUUAGCAUGUUGAUUGCUCAAGUAGUUAGUACCAAUGUAUGUCUGUUCACAAACAAAUGUCCAAAUAACGAAUUCACUUAUAUUUGCCAAUUGAAAUAGUGAUGCAUGCAAUUUCUAUUUGCAAUUGUUGUUGGAACACUUCACAAUAUAUCUUGUUGGAUUAGACUUGAUAAUAGAUGUUUCAUAAUACUUAUUAAUUAUAUUAUAAGAAAUAGCUUCUUUUCAUUUUUGAAUAGUACUAAAAACAAUACUCACAAUAAAAAAAAGUUGUUAUUUAAAAAUAUGAUUUUUGCUAAAAAAGUUCUUAAAAAGACAAACUUGUCAAAAAUCUAGAUUUUAUUGACCAUGCACAAUAUUCAAAAGCAUGUUAUUUUUUUCGGAUAUGGUGCAAAGCUUCUUUUUACACUUUGCAUAAGCAAAGUAUACUAAAUAGUAGAAGAUGUGGAACAAAACAAAAUAUAGAUUGAAAUCAAUAUAGUCUUUUUCAAAUGAUCACAGUAGAAAUAUGUUGAAUAACUUUUCAUAAGCAAUUUUGUCUUCAACAAUAAUGUCAAUCAUCUCAUCAAAUGGCUCUACUAUAACAUGCAACAACAAUUAAAUUCCAAAUCAAUCAAAGGCUAUUACUAUAGUGUGGAUAUGGCUUGUUUAUCUCAACAUGCUCUAAGAUUGCUAGUUUGAUUGCCUUGGAAUACUAUGGUCCAAUAAAGAGAAAUAAGAGAGGUGGAAGGGAGGGGAGGAUGAAUGGAUUAAAAAAAAAUUAAGAUUUGAUAAGAUGAGAUCACAAAUUCCCUUAUAUUUGGCAAAUAAGAAAGUUUGAAAAGGAGCAAUAAGAAUCAACAAUGCAAAUUAGCUUGAGUUUGUGCUUAGUAUAUUUAAUUGCUACAUCAUAAGCCAUCACAUUAAUGGACACCACAAUUUCGUUGUUGAUAUGGAAAUUUACCAAAACUAUAAAAAAAAAAAAAUAUAUAUAUAUAUAUAUAUAUAUAUGAGACAAAUGAUACUAAUAAGAAAUAAUGGUAAACAAUCUUAUUUAGUUUAUUCCAUAGUGUUGUGUAGUAAUGUAGCCAUUAGAUGAAAGAAAAAAAAAUUGUUUUAUUAUAGAAGAGCCUAAUUUAAAAUAUAUAAUAAAAAAACAUAGACAAAUGAUAGGCAAGUAGUAAAAUCUAUUAGUAUUAGAACUACUUUUAUAAAAAUAGAUUCUAUUUACUUUGUAGAACCAUAAAUAAAGAAAAAUAAAAUAGAUUAAAAAAAUAAAUCAUUUAGACAUAUAUAAGAAAGAAUUAAGAAUUGAUUUUAGCAAAAAUUACUUCAAGAAGAUAAUAAUUGAUAUUCAAAGAGGACCAAUUGCCAAAAAAAGUCAAAAUCAGAUCCCAAGCCAUAAAACCAAGCACAUACAAUGAUUCUAGGAUUCUUUUGCAAAUUAAAGAGUGAAAUUUGAGAGCAUACUUGAGGAAAGAUUUUUGAGUACUAGUUUCAUAUCAUUUGAAUUAAUAUUGAGAUUUUUAAAGAUUUUUUAAGUUAGUAAUAUACUUAGUGGAUUUAUAUUUUAAAAAAUAAAAAUACAUUUAUAAAUUUGAAGGUUUUUGAGUUUCAUAGUAUGUGUAUAAGUAAAAAUUGGGCAGUUUGUUAUUAUGCUUAUUAUAAAUGUUAUGAAAUUUUAAUUUGCUAUAGAAUUACUAAGAUUUUUUUAUGAUGUAAAAAUUGAUUAAAUAUUGAUUAGAAUUGAUUUAGGGUCUAGGAUUUGGUUAGAAUUUGAUUAGGGCUUAAUUAAGAUUUAAGACUUGUCUAAGGUUUGGUUACAACUUAGGAUUUUAUUUGGAUUUGAUUAUGAUUUGAUUAAGAUUUUUCUACAAUUUGAUUAGGAUUUUACUAGGAUUCAUUAGAAUUAGUCUAGGAUUUAGGGUUUCAUUAGGAUUUUACUAGGAUUGAUUUAUAAUUUAGGAUUUUAUUAGAAUUUGACUCAAGAUUUUUUUAAGAUUCAUUAGGAUUUUAAUUAAGAUUUGAUUUAAAAUUUAAUUAAAUUUUAUUAAGAUUUUAAUUAGAAUUAAAUUAAGAUUUAAUUUGGAUUUAUUUAGGAUUUAUUUAAGAUUUCUAUUUUAAAUGUUUUUUUAGGAUUCUUUCUUGUUUCUUUAAAACAUUUUAUUUCUAGUAUUUCUUUAAAAAAAUUAUUAUUUAAAGGUUUAUUUUAAUAUUUUUUUAAUAUUUCUUUGUUAUUUUUCUUUAAGAUUAAUUUAGGACUUAUUUGUGUUUCUUUUGUAACUUCUUUUAAAUUUAUUUUGGAUUGAUCAAAGUUUGAUUAAGGUUAUUAAAGAUUACUUAAAAUUUAUUUAAGAUUCUAUUAGACUUGAUAGGAUUAUUGUUACAUUUCUACUUACCUCUUGUAGUUAGGUGCCCGAUGCAUUUUCAAGCAAGAACAUAUGGAAUACAAUAACGACACUGAAAAUGGCAACUGAAAGCACAAUAAGAGACCAAACUAUUCAAAUCGAUAAGACAAAAACCAAUGUUAGAACCUAUAAUUUUACUAAUUACCAUGAGAAGCACAUCAUCAAAGCUUUGACAAUAGUGAGUACUUCUUUGAAGACUUCAUAUAUAUAUAUAUAUAUAUCCAAUCAAACUCACAUGACUAGAAUAACAACCACGACACAUCACAACACUCAAACUCCCAUUAAAAAAAUCAAUGCAUUAAAAAAAGAAGAAAUUCACAAAAGAAAUACAAAACAUGAAUGAGAAUAUGUUGCAAUGUAGCAACACUUUUGGAAGAGAUGGAGACUUGAUAAAAUCAAAUUAUAACUUGUUUACAAUGUCCUACAUUCUAAUCAUACAAAGACCAUGCACACAAAAUCCCACAAGAUCCAAAAAAAGCAAGCAAUAUGGCUUAUUAGAAUCCAUAAAAGGAUACAUCUAGAAUUAUCAAACUACACUACUCCAUUUUUUUUGGUUAAAGACUGAUUAGGCAUGCCAAAUUCCAAAUUAGUUGGCUAUUACACGACAAUCUAUAAACAAUUACAAGAACUCAUUAAAUCAAACCAAAAAAAUUGUAAGAUCAUACAGGCAGAAUUGAAGUGGAAAGAACUAUGCAAACAACAAUGCCUAACUUUCAAUCAAACUAGCUUACAAGGCCAACAACUUGCAAAAAACAGUAGCUUACAGAAACAUUGAAUUAUGCCAAUGUCUAAGAAAGAAGAGACAUAAAAUUUACAAGAGAGAGUUGAGCAAUUUAUAGCAUCCACAUUGAGAGGCAGUGUCUAUUUUGGGAGGUGCCCAAGAAGUGAGUAAAAAGUGCCAUGCCAAAUUUGCACGACACGUGCUCCUGGCCCUAGUUCAAACUGAACAAAAUUGGAAGUAAAUAGAUUAUCAUUCCAAGGGGCAUUUUUGCAAUUAUCACAAAAAGAGUAGAUUUGAUAUUAACAAGAAUUGGGGUGUAUGCUUGAUAUUUCUAGAAAAUUCAAGGGCAUUUGUGAUAUUUUUUUUAUAUAAAUCUAUAAAAAAUAGUAAGAUUCUUUUAUAAAAUAAGAUAAGACUUAUAACUAUAGAAGUUUUUAAAUAAUAAAUACAUGUGAAUACUUUUCUAUUUUUUAAAAUUUAUUAAGAUGAUUUUUUUUUUCAAAUAAUAUAUAUAUAUAUAUAUAUAUAUAUAUAUACAUAUGUCAACAAAUCUCCACACACAAGAUUUUAAAAUAUCUUUCAAACUUAUAUACAUAGAUGUAUGUAUGUAUAUAUGUAUACAUACAUACAUACAUACAUACAUACAUACAUAUAUAUAUAUAUAUAUAUAUAUAUAUAUAUAUAAAUGAAUUAGAAAGAUAGAACUUGUGGUAUGAUAUUAUAGUUUGUGAAAUUGUAUGGCAUAUAGGAGGUAUUUAUGUAAUAACUGGUGCUGCUGCCCGAAGAAAAAGAUUGAUUUUAUGCACAAAUUUAUUUAUAAAACUUUAAUUGUUGAUCUGUUUCUUAAAGAAUGGUAUAUCUAUGUUGCUUUUUAAUUUUUUUUCAUUUUUGGGGUUUCAUAAUUGUAAAAAUCAAGUUUCAAAAAGAUUGAAAAUAAUAUUAUUGCAUGAAUAAAUACAAAAUAAAUAAAUAAAUGUUUGUACUUCUUUGUUAUAUUGAAUUGUACAUAUCAUAAUUGCUUUCAAUGUCAAAAUUGUAAGAAACAUAAAGAUAUAAAAUAAAAAAAUAUUAAAGAAUUGUAUAUGGUUUAUUUCCUUAUUUUUAAUAAUUAUCAUAUCAUCCUUGUAAAUGAGGGAUGGGAUGUUAAAUCCUAGAACUGAAUUCUUGUUUACAUGCUUUAAAGUUCUGCCCAGCUAUAAUAAACACUAAAUGAAAGAAACAAAGUACCACAUUCAAAAUAAAUUAAAACAAGUGUGUUUCUUAUCUUGAAAAUACUCAUGUUUAAUUGAUGGGUUCAAGGAGUGGAAUUCUGACAUGGUUUUUUUAGGAAAACAUACAAAUAUCUGUAAAACAAAAUUUAAAAAAUAAACAUGACUCCAUUCAUUUAUGUUCAAUAGAAAAGGAAUUGUGAGAUUGAGUGUACAAUAUAAGUUCUUUCAAUAAUGCAUUCAAAAGAAAAAAAAAAGCAUAUAUAUAUAUAUAUAUAUAUAUAAAUGCAUACAUACACGCAUACAUUCAUCAAAACAGAAAAUCCCUCAGACGAUUAUUUAUAUAUAUAUAUAUAUAUAUAUAGAUAAUACUGUGCUAUGUUGCUAUAGUUGUUGAGGAUAGAAUGAUUUUUGAACAUCACUCAAGGUUUAUGAAGGUCCAUGCCAAGGUAUGUAUAAACGAGACAUGAUACCAGACCUAACAAUAUUGGAAUUAGAACACCAAGUCUCUUUCACAUUAUGUCCAUUCUUGGUGUGAUUCAUUGUAAAAUCAUAGAAUUCACUUACACCAUUGUCUUUCUUUGUAAUCAUUUUGGCAACUUAAUAAAUGAUGGGAAUAAAAAAUAAAUACAUAAAUAAAAAAACAAUCCAAAAUGAAUUACAAGAUUAUUAAUGACAUUUUAAAUAAAAACCCAUACAAUACUUUUUCUUUUAUAUAUGAUGCUUUUAGGUGCAUGUGUAUAUACACACACAUUCCUCUAUAUAUAUAUAUAUAUAUAUACAUGCUGAAUCUUAGAACCUUAAUAACAUUCAGAAUUGCAAUCUUAUCCAUAAAUUUUAUUGUUAAUAUUAAUAUUAAUUUUUAAUUUCUAAAAAUGAAAAGGUUAUUUUCUUUGUCUAAAAAUGAAGGAAUCAAGGAAUCAACGAGUUGGACUGACAUCACUGUUCAAUGCAUUUCUUAGUUUCCUCAUAAUUCCCGCUCGCUUUUGGGAUUAUGCCACAAGUCUAAUAUCUUGUUGUAAAUUGGAUUGAAGUUUUUGGUUACAUGAUCAAUAUCCACUUUAAAGUACUGCUUAAAGUUUUACAAUGUUUUUGUGUAUUUUACCCAUGUUAAUUGGUAUAGUUGUGUAGGCAUCUACAAAAAUACUUAUUUAACAUAAUUAAAUAAUAGAAAAUGAGAGUGAGGAAAUCCAAAUUUGUUCUCCUUUCUAAUAAAACUAUGAAAUAUCUGGCUUGGGCAACUUUAGUAGUUUUGGUACUUGAAGUCAAAACCAACUUUGAUUGAACUGGGGUGAUAUUCCAUCAUUAACAUCCUUUCCCAAACCCUAAAUCCUUAAGCAUGGAUGCAGAAGAGCAGUUUCCCACUUUCAGUAAAGGAAAACAAGACAAUGAAGGAUAUUGAACUCGUCCAAUUCACAAUCCAUAUGGCUGGCAUUGAACAUGCCCAAACUUAGACUGGAGUAAAAGUAGUACGAUAUCUUAACUGACAUAGUUUAAUGAUGCUCAUAAAAACCAACGUCAAGCUUAAGUGUACAAGAGAGGAAAAAAAUAAAAAUAAAAAUGAUGUACAAAGUUAUAGUGAAUAUGGCUGCCAGCUAAAAUCCUUACAUCACUACAACUGGAAACCUGCCUGAUCAAACUGAGCUUCAAACUCUAAAUGAUAAAAAUAUUCAAUGAGCUCUGAGAGCUGAAACCUGAGCAUCUGAGGCAAUGCUACACAUGUAGAAUGAUUGUGUCAUAACGUCUUGAUGUACCUCUUUAUCACUUGGUGAUAAGAUAUCUGCCGCUGGCUUCGCAUAAAUAUCUGGCAUACAGGUUGAAGAAUGAACCUUCGUUGUGUGCCGGAACUUCAUGAUCCAUCACAUUGUUUUACGACAUAAAGUGAGGGACUUUGAAGUACAAUAAGGCAAUUGACCGAACACCCAGUGGCAGAAAGCAAUGCUCCACAUGUAGAACGAUUUCUGCCACAUGAUACUCUGAUCCACAGCGUCGAGCAAAAGCCACAGCUUCCUUCCUUCCUUCCUUCCUUACUUCAAUUUGUUGACCUCUGAUUCCGAUCGCUGCUAACAAAAGAACCAAAGGCUCCACGAUCUAAUGCACGACCUUGCAAGCCUUCGUAUUGUUUCUGGGGGGAAGUGGCUCUCAGGGCUUCCCUCAUGCUGAUUUCUGCAGCAUUUUCUAAGUUUCCAUUCAUUUCUGGAUUGUCAUGCCACAGCAAGCUUGCCGCUUUGGAUGUCUUCUCGUGUGCAAGGAAGUCUAAUUGUUCUGAGCAUUCGCAUGGCGUGUUCCACGCCGGUGUAGGACAUAUACAACCAGGGAUGCUAAAGCACCUCGAACUGGGUCUGAGUUCUUCACCAUGUACCGGGUUACAAUCAGAGAUUGUCAACCUUUCUAGAUAUGCACUAGCCGAUUUGCGCAUUUUUGGCUGCUGUGGAUUACCGGAUUCCGGCUCGUCAGGUGAUGAACCGUUAUCAUCAAUUCGUGCAGACUCGUUUCCAGCUCCGGUCCCAAGCAUGUUACCACUUCCUACCGCCUCCCAGAUCUUAUUUUUCCGGUUGCCGCUUCGAAACUCCCCGCUGCCGGGUCGGUGCAAUUUGUUAACCGGCAUCAACUUAUUUGCGUCCGAUUCGUCUCCACUUUCGUGACCUCCUUUGGGCUCCUGGGGAGUUGUGGCAGGUGUGGUAGCCAUUGCAGAAUCUGCUUCUCCAUCAUAGUACAUCACAAAUUUGGCUGCUGACGCCGUCCGCAUGAGAGGCCCACCUGCUCUCGUCCACGACUGCUGGUACAGGUCCAGAUUAUCAUCGCUAUCACUACCGUCAUGCGUGAUACGUACCGGUCUAAGGGUCCGCAGGGUGGGACCUCCCCACGGCCCCCCUUGUUGCGCUCCAUCAUGAAAGCUCUCAUCAUCUAGAGAGCCGCAAGAAUUUUCUCGAGCCAUGUUGUUCCAAGAAGGAAUACGCUUUGUUCCAGAUAACCCUCGCAUGCCACCAUGACUAUUCUGCAUUGCAUUGCUUCGCUCUAUCUCCCGCAAGGCUUUACGACGACGGUUCAGUUCCGAGACACACUCGUCUAGCAUCAGUUCUAUGCCACAGUUGGCUUGAAUGGCUGAUAGCUUAGCCCAAGUACAGCGUCGGCCUUGCAUCACUGCCUUGCGAAGAUCUAUGGGUGUUGGAUUCGUAAUAAUCUUGGCAAACUGGAAGAAAUUAUUCGUGUUAGUAAUUGCUGAAAAAGAGAUCAUCGACGAAGGAGAGACACGCUUAUGAAAUGUUUCAUACAGGAUAGAGGCAAAAUCUGUUCAGACCGGCCAUGAUUGCAUGGAUUCAUAUAAGCAGCGAGCUGCUCACCUGGGCAAAAGUAGCUGGCAUAACAAUCGUGACAUCUCCUUCCCAAUCUUGUGCGAACAACUUGGCAAGCCCAAAGACCUCAAAUCCCAUCUCCAUCACCUGCUUGCAUCGGUGCUUAACCUCCAUUUCCGCUAAGUGUGCCAACUGCACACGCACGGAAAAAAUCCAUCUCCACUAAUAAACAUCCAAUACAAUGAAAAAUAUAUAGGAAAAACAAAAUAAAAACAAAAGUAGGUUAAUUUAAUUCAAUUUAAUUUAAUUUUAAACAAAUUCGCUUAGAUACUCUUGAGUUUCCUCAUACUAACGGUUCCAAGAUGCUUAGAAGCUGACAGCGUCAAGAAUGCUCAAUUCAUUUCAAUUUGAAGUUGUACAAGAAAUCUGCAUGCUCACUUUUCCAGCAAAAUCUCCUCCAUAUGCACGAACAAAAUCCUUGAACCUCAGAAAAGGGGUAAUAUGUGGAUUCGCCUGGCUGACAAUAAAAUGGUUUACGUUGAACAGUUCCUUCAACUGCAUCAUCGGCAAAUCACUUUCAAGGCUGCCAUCUCGCCAUCGUCGAUUCCCAAUAUCCUUUUCCAUGUUCUUGUCCCCCGGACCAACCUAGAACAGCCAGGGCAGCACCACAAGCUCAACUUCAAGAAACAAAAGCAAGACAUUUUCAAAUCUCUUCUUUGUAUCAUGUUACAAAGUCUCAACAACUACCGAUGCUGAUGAAACCUUCUGACUACUGAGUUGACUAUUAAUAAAGAGUUUUUAAGAAAUGAACCUGAGGUGGUGUAUGAUAGGGCACGAGGUGCCCAGUUCGAUCCUUAGCCAUUAGCUCUUGCGCUUCAAACAGCCCUGGAAAUGCACAUGAUGCAGUGACUGCGCUCCAAAUGACUACAUGAGGGGAAGUUAAAUAAUUCAAACAUCUCGGGGGCUCAAGUUUCCGAGGUGAACAUACAGAUAUUCCAAGCACACGACCAGAUAGAUCGUAAGCCUCCUGGAAAGUUAAAUCCCCAAUGAGCUGUCUCAUUUUCCUUUGCAGCAUACCAAUUUCAUGCACAGCACCCCGGGUCAGAAGCCUGUGCGCAGUAGCAAAGAUGCUCCCCAUGUUUUCAAAAAAGUGCAUGGGAGGCAUGGGGUCAUCGAAAAAACUCUGGAGCUCUGUCCAUGUGCGCGUUGCAGCAAAUGAGCAUAUGAUAGAUCCUACACUAGCUCCUGCAAUCACUCGGGGAAGUAGACGAUGCUCGAUGAGAGUUCGUACAACCCCAAGAUGAAACGCUCCGAGAGCUGCUCCACCACUAAGAAGAAGUGCAGUGCGACCAAAACCAUGGCGGGUUUCGUGAAUGAAAGCAAUUUUUUCGUCAAGUGUAAAGCUGUCCGAGUCACUCCCACACACGGCUCGAAGGUGGUACCUGGCACAUGUCAUGACGAAUCAAUAAAAAUUAGAGCCAUAUUUUGGAGGUAUCUGCGAUCGAACUGCAGUUUACUGUUAUGUUUAAGGGAAACGAUCCAAACAUGAAAAAAUCAAUUCUCAUCAUUAUAAAUACUACAUGAUGAGAAAGAACAUGUAUUCGAGUAAACACCUCACUUCGUUGAUAUACUCCUGAAUAAGGCGGGGAGUUUGUAGCCGGCCCUUGUGCAGUUCAGGGUUGCACAUAUUCCCCAAAUUGCGCACUAAAUCAGCCCGAAUGCAGAAGAGAAUAUCCUCAACACCACCUUCCAAACGACGCAAUCGAAGCUCGUUAAGCUUUGACCGCACCAAAUCCUCAUCGUACAAAUCUGAAUCCUUCCUCCGAGUUUGCUCCUUCUCAAGCAUCCGCGCAGCAUGAGCCCACUCCUCGUAUGUCAAAGCGGUCUUCAUCAAAUUGGACCAGAACUUCCGUCUGUAAGCACGCUCUGCUCUUUGUGAUCCUAGCUUUGCUCUUUUCAAAAGUAUGGUCGCUACGACAGCUGCUAACAAAAGGACACUCGGGUUUCGAGGGUUUAACCACGAUCCCACACCCCUGAACCACAAAUACAAGAGCCGCUUCCACACCUUCCAUAUCCGCAGUGCCUUCGUUGCGAUCACGAUACGAACCUUUUUCACCCAUCGAAAAAACAGGAUGCGAAAGGCAACAACUUUCUGCGCAAGAGUUAGAGGUGCAAUGGCGAAGUGCUCCAACGCAGCGUCGGCGUCAUCGUCCCUAUAAUCCAUUAUACACAACCUCUCUACCUCGUUGCUCGAUACGAAAAUCCAACUUCUGUUACCUACCCUAACAAACCAUGGCAUAAGAAACAACCAUUCCAACUCCAGAGCUACGCACCCAAACCAGCGUCGAUUCGUUUUUUCUUCCUCUGUUUUUUCUUUCUUUAUUUCCUUAAAUCUACCUCCAGUCCUCAGUGUUCUAAGCGCAAUUAUUCACAUUGCCGACUCACGAAACCUCUGACGAAAACUAAUGGGUCAUCCUAUCUUCACCUCGACCUCCAGAAGCUACAACUACACAAUCUGACAUGAUUAUUGUACCCCGCCUCGCAACAGUUCUACUCUUCGAAGAUCACAUCACAACACCAUCAAGUCUACGCGAUGCUAAACCCCCUCGCAUCCCUCGCAGUCCAUAGAUCUCUGUCCUGAGCAAGACCAAUACCUACAACCCUAAGCGUCCGCAAUCACACCCCCUGCCGACGCCUUUCUUUUUUUUCUUUUUUUUUUUUUUUUUUUUUUUUUUUCUUCUUCUUCUUCUUCGUUUGCUUCACCACACGCCCCCACACGUUAAAUUCAGAAUCAAUUUCAUGUUGACGAAACGUAGAUUCUACGCAAAAGUAAUACUCAGCACCAUAGCAGGCAAUCCCGCAGCUCCGUUCCAAUUCCCCAAGAACACUAAAUUCAAUUAUAAUGUAGUUACUCCAGCAGGCCACCCAAAACGAUACACGCUACACGGAGUCUCUCUUGUCAGCAACAUUGGACUGAUACGAUCUAAAGCUGCACGUAAUUCAAUCAGAAAAUGCUGCAGACAAUGACGAUGACUAGACAUGAUUUCCCAAAGUGGAAAAAACAAAGCAAUUCGGUGAUUCGGAACACCAAGUUUACAAGGUUUAAAAGCAACGAUCAUGGCAUGUGUGAGACCUGUCAGCUGAUAGCCCCACCGAAGCAUAUCAUGACGAUAAUCCAUAUCUUGUUUACUGCCACCUCAAACGAAUUUCACAAGUGGAUAAGCACCGCAUCCGGAACUUUCGCCACAAUAUUUCCUCGAAAAGCUCGGUCAAUCCUCUCCCCGUCCCUCCUGCUUUCCACUUUCCCCAGAGAAUCAAACAUAUUCUCUCCCUACAACGAUGGAACCAUAGGAGCAAUUGGGUUCAAAGAGCCAGGCGGUUACUGCAUCACCAAUCACGAGCUACUCUUGAGCUGCUGUAGCUCCAAAAUCAUCGCAACUGCACCGAAACGGUCGCAUGAGCGACAGGUGCGGAAACCCUAGGUUUCCCGAUGAAGACACAGAGCUGCAAUGGAAAGCUGUAAGAAUACGACACAAUCAGUGUCCUCCUGAUACGGCUUUGAAAAUUUUAUAACUGGCAGGAAGGGGAUUCGAGAAGCAAACAAGGGGGGACCACAAUUCACCGCAUAGCAGACAUUAGGUUCGUUGGUUGGUGGGUUGGUUGUCAGGGUAAGCGUGGCAUUACCACUGCACCCCAACUCAACUCAACUCAUCAUCAACACCACCACCAACAUCAACAACAGUGUCAUUCCAUUCAUUCUGUCGCUAGCCAGCCAUCCACCGAGGAAGAAAGAAAGGAAAUAUGGAUGAGGAAGAAGACGAUGAAGACGAUGAAGGAAGGAAGGUGAUGAAGCUUCGAAGGCACUGAGAACACCAGAUUAACCUAAAUGUACUUAAUUAAGUAUUAUUUUGUUUAUGCAGUAUGGUGCCAUUCGUUUGAGGUGGCAAAUUUGAGGAAGAAUUCUUGUUUGCUACUGAAUUUUGAUAUGUAUCCUAUCUGCUAACAUGUUUUUGGCCAUGUGCAAAUUAUUCCAGAACUCAAGUACAAUAUCACAAUUCUCUAAUUGACAACCUUUUUUUUUUUUUUUAUUUCUAAUUUGUAAAUCAUUCCAUACAAAAUAUUUUAAAAUAAAAUUAUCCCAUUGGAUCUAUAUUAAUUAAAUAUAAAUUUUCUUGGAAGAGAGGCCAUAUAAUACUAAAGUAUUUAAAAUUAAAAAAUAGUUUGCAAGAAAAAAUACUUUAUUGCAAAGUGAAUGCUUUUCAUCAACCAAAGUGUCCUAGGCUUCAUACUAAUUUGUACAUAGAUGCUUUGUUUGAAUACAUGUAGAAUUUUUUUGGAUGUUUGAUACAUGCAUAAGGCAUAAUUAAGGAUUACGUUAUAAUUGAUUUUUGCUUUUUUUACAUUUGUAGCAACACCAUAGAAUCAAAUUAACUAUAUAAGUAUUUUUUUAUUUUUAGCUCUUGACUUAAACUACAUAUUUUUUAAUUGAAUAAUAAUUUUUGUAAUAAUUUAUUUACCACUUUUGAAUCUUGCAAAUUCCAUACAUUGUCCUUAAACUUAAGAAGUUUUUUUUUUUUUUUUUUUUUUUUUUAUCAAAAUUAAUAUUGUAUGUCAAAAAAUUAGAUAUUAACAUCUAAUAGUAUUUGAGUAGAUUAAAACAUAGUUUAUCUAUUGGUCUAUAACAUAAUUUUAUUAGUUAUUUUCAUUUAUGAAUUUUAUGCCUUCAAUAUUUUAAUUUAGCAAAUCACACUGCUAUGACAUAACAUUCAAUGGAUUGGGAUACAUUUGUAAUUUGAAUAAAGAAUAUAUAACUGUUUUUUUAAUUUUAUUAAAGUUUAAUUUUAUAAAAAUAGAUGUUUUUAUGAAAAAAAUAUUUAUUUAAAAAAAUUAUGAUUGAAAAAAAAAUCAUCUAUGUUUUUACACAAAUCAAAACAGCAACAACAAUAUUGAGUCUUAUCAUGAUAAAUUAAAAUUAAAAUUAUACAAUUAUACAAUUAAAUUAUAAAGAAAAAUAUUUAAUUUUAAUUUUUUUAUUAUCUUUUGUACAUAUUAUAUUAAUGUUGACCUAUUAGGCAUAAGUUCAAGACUUGUCAAAUAAUGGUCUCUGCAUUUGAAAUAUCAUAAUGCUUCUAUCAAAGUGUUUGUUUUGCUAGUUAUUAGCUUCUUGUAAAAAUAUGGUUGUAACUCAAGAGGUGGAGUUUGUGACUUUAAUGGAUGUAUCAGUUGUAAAAGCCCAAACCAUAUCUAAUCAUGAUGUGAUUAUCAAAGACUACUUCUAUAAGUCUGGCUACUAUCUUUGCUAACUUUAUUGUUGCUAUUUUUAGUUUUCAUUUUGUCAAGAAAGCGAGCAAAGAAAAAAAGCUAAUAAAAAUAUGAACUUGUUAUCUUUGCUGAUUUGGAGUAUUCCAUCCAAACUUAACUCCUUUGGCCACCUUGCUUUAUAAAAAUUGUUACUUGUAAUGGUGACUCAAUCAUAUGAAAGAAAAAGAUCUUUAAUUAUAGAUGCAUCUCUCAAUAAAAUCAAAUAUGAAAUAGGUGUCUAAACCCUUUGUUUUAAAGUAUCACCAACUUUACUAUUAGAAUCCUUCAAAUUCAUAAUGAUGUGGCUUGCUGCAGUAUUAUAUAGAUCAUUGCGAUCCAAAAUUGAGUUCUUUGCAUAUUUAAGAAGGUUUUGAAGAUGGGUUUUAAAUUUGCUUUUGUCACCUUAUUUGUUUAGGUUGAUCUAAUAAAGAAUACAAUCAAAAUGGUUGAAAUUGUUGUUGUAAGAGUUGAAGCUAGUUCUUUGCAAACAAAUAAGGAGGUGGUAUUGUUGUUUGUAGCAUUUGAGCCAUGAUUAUAAGAAAUCUUUUUAAAUGGCAACAAAAUCCAAGGAAGGUAAGAGAUUAUAUAUAUAUAUAUAUAUAUAUAUAUAUAUAUAUAUUGCCGAUUUUUAUGAGAUUUUAUUCACACAAAUAUAUAAAACGGCUUUCUUCAUCAAUAUGUUGUGAUAUGUUUAAUAGGUAGAAUAUUUGUUCACUUGUUCAAAAAUAAUUUGUGUCAAUCUUAUAAUUUUUUUAGUGCUGGUUGCCUUAAUUUUCUUGUCCAUUUUACAACUUUCUCGCAAAAGAUGUUUUGAGUCAAUUGCUCCUGAUUUUUCAACUUAUUAUUAUGGUUUUUGAUCUAGUGGCUUUUAAGAAUCCUUCUUCAAAGAUUGUCUUUAUAGCAUGUAACUUGGUAGAUAUUAUUUCUAGAUUGCUCUCAUUAUAGGAGCAACAAAUGAAAGUGUUCUUUGAUUCAACAGGUUAAAGAUCUGCGACAUUAAUGCUUGUGUCAGGGACAAGAACUCGAUGAAAGCUAAAGAGUAAGUGAGACUUUUCUCAAAAAGAAAUAGGACAAAAUAGAAAUAUGUAUAUUAAGAAAGAAACUGGAAUGGCUAUUGCCAAAAUACAAGAAAACUAGAGAUCCUUGAAACUAGACUAGAAGCAAGAAAGGAGUUGACAAGAGUGAAGAGGGCUUCACUCUUGCCUCUAUAUAUACUAUCUAACUAGAAGCCACGUGGCGAUGUUCUAUAAGACCUCCAAUAUAUGUUGACUUUCUAGGCCACAUGCCUUUGCUUGCAAGGCAAGUUUUCUAUAGAUAGACCACGUAGUUAGCUUGUUCUUUAAGCUUCCAACAUGCGUGGCACAUGGCUAACUUGUUGACCAAGUUUCUAACCUAAAAGUCAACUAUAGACUCCUAUAAAGUCAAAGCAGCGUCUAUGAAGCUUCUAAGAAGCUUCUCUAGAAGAUAUUACACAAUUAACCUACUUUUACAUACUUUUAUCUAUUCAUAUAGGUAAUUAUAUGUAUGUCCGUGACAGCUUGUCGCAUUGAAGGUUUUGAAUAAUAUAUAUAUAUAUAUAUAUAUGCUUCUAUAGUAUGAAAUUAAUUGAUAACUAAUAUCACUUGAAGUAAUAACUAUGUAUGAUUUUUCAAAAGAAUAUAUUUAAUAACCCUAAAUUCUAAACCUUAAACCAAAUUCUGAACAAAUCCUAAAUCCUAAAUCAAACUCUAAAUCCUAGACAAAUCUUAAAUCUUAAAUUAAAUCCUAAAUAAAUCCCAAAUCCUAAAUCAAAUCCUAGACAAACUCUAAAUCUUAAAUCAAACCCUAGAUAAAUCCUAAAUCCUAAACCAAACCUUAGACAAACCCUAAAUCCUAAAUCAAAUCUUAAGUAAAAUCUAAUUAACUCUAAGGUAGAUUAGAAUUCCAAUACAUAUUAAUUAAACCAUUGAUUUUGCUUAAAAAUUUACACAUCUCUUAACAUUUUAGUUAAAAAUAAACAUAAUAAAUUUGAAGAUAAUCGCACUUACGAAAUGGAAGAAAAAUCCUAAAAUUUGCUUAGGUAUUGGCCAGCCUUCUAUUCCAAUUUGAAUGUUGAACUUCUAGCUCUAAUAUCUUCCAUUUGAAUAAUUGAUUUUCUUCCAAAAUUUACUUAAAUUAUUGGAAAUAAAGUCUAGUCUCUAUGUAUAAAAAAGAUCACUUCAAUUCAAUUGAAAAAUUGCUAAAGAUCUAAAAAAUACUCAUUGACCCUCAAACCCCAAUUUUUGAGCUCUUAAUCUACAAAAACUUUGACUCACUUUGAUCUAACUAUUUGAUUGAACUUGUAUUCUCAACCUAUAUCAAGUACAAUUACAUUCACCAACCUAUGCAAUUACACUUAUAGAUCUGCUACAAAACUCCCAAAAUUGCUCAAAACGUCAAUCCUACUUUAUUUCACAAAAAUUCUGUCAUCUAAAACUACCUUAACUUUGUAGAGCUCUAACAAAGUCAUUACAAAUCCAAAUCACAAAAAACCAAUUUUUAAAGAAACCUUAUCAAGUUUUCUUUGAAAUCCCAUUCUUUAAUCUACCAAAAAACCCCAAAGUUACCAUAGGUGCAUGGUUUUGUGCCUCAAGGUCUGAUUUUAACCCAAGUUGACAACCGAUCUUCUUUGGAUAUCAAUUUUUGGCUUCUUGAGGUAAAUUUCACUAAAAUAUACUCUUAAUUCCUUCCUACACAUGCUUAUAUCAUUUUAUUUCUCAAUCUACUUUGUUUUGCCUUAUUUAUGGUCCUACAAAGUAGGUAGAAGCCUAUUUUGUAAAAAGACAAUAUUAAUACGCUUUAGUUUUACUAUCUUUUUGACUAUUACUUUUUUUCUAAGAUAAUUUGCUAUAAUAUUUUAAAGUAAGAUCUUCUAUAAUAUAAUAUUUUCUUCUCUCUUUCAUUCAUUAGCCAUAUUACAUCACAACAAUAUAAGGCAACAACUAUACUUUUUAGUAGAAUGUCUAUAGUUAGAAAUUAUGAAGUUCAUUCUUUUUUGGCUAGUUGUAACUGGCAAGAAAAUUGAUGGCCUAAAAUAGAAGAAGUAGCUCCAUAUUUAUAAAGAGCAUUUUAUACAAUCAAAUUCCAUUGAGUAUUAUUGUACAAACAAUGAGCAAACAAUGCAAAUAGACAUCCUAUCAAACAACUUGCAUUAUUUUGUUUGUGAGUAUGACAAUUUCAAUCAUAGUAAAUCUUUCUUCUAUUACACUUGUAAUCAAUGUGACUUUUGUUAGAAUAUCAUUUGCAUACAACAUAGCCUUAAUUGUGUAUAAAUUCAUCAAUACUACGUUUCAUUUCUUGUAUAUAUUCAAAAUAUUUCUUUAGUGGUGCAUAUAAAAAUCCCUCUUUUUCUAUUGCAAAAUACAAAAAAACUAUAGAAUGUAUAAUUUUUUUCUUUUUCUACUACACACAAUCUAAAAAAGAGUAUGUACUAAAAUAAGAUGAAGUAAAUUUAGUACACACAUAUUUAUAGGGCAAGUAUGAGGAGAGUAAUAAAAAGACGUUAUUACUAGCUAUUGGAAACUAUUGAGAAUUGUUGAAAAUUAUAUCCAAAUAAUAAUUCUAUUUAUCCAAAUAUAGAUUGUAGUCUUAAUGAUGAAGAAGAUUUAUACUAUCUAUAUAUAAAAUUAUGAUGAUGGAUAAAUUACUUUAGUAAAAAUUUGGAUUGCUUUAUUAUUAUCCAUAAAGUAUUAUAUUAAUAUUAAAAUAUAUAUAUAUAUAUAUAUAUAUAUAUAUAUAAGCAUCUAUUCCAAAGGUAUAAUUAUACUUAUGUAUUAAGUUUAUUUAUUUAUUUUUAUAUUAAAACCAUAAUAAAAUUUAUUAUAUUAAUUUUAAAAAAUUAAUAAUUAAUUGAUAUCUUUUAUAAAUUAUACCAAUGAUAUAAUUUUUAUUAGUAAUAUAUUUAUUACUUUAUCAAUCAUAUAUUUAAUACAUUAAAUCUUUUACAUUUUUUUUAAUAAUAUAUAUAUAUAUAUAUAUAUAUAUAUAUAUAUAUUAUUUUUGUUUUAAUAUAUAAAUAUAUUUAUGUAUCUUAUUUUUAUAAAAAUUUAUUGAAAUAACAUAGUAAUAUAAUUUUUAAAAUUAAAAAUAAAAUAUAACUUCUAAAAUCUAUUCAAAUAUUUAUACUUUAUUCUCAAAUAUUAUAUAAUAAUAAAAUAUUUUAUUUAUUUUUUAAUUAUAUGAUAUUAUUUAUGAAGCUUUUAGUUAAAUUUCAAAAUAUUCUAUAACUUUAUUUGAAAGUUAUUUUAUGUUUUGAAAUUUCUAUUAUUGCAUAAUGAUAUCCAUGGGCUAGUUAGGAAUAGGAUUUGAUAAAGUAGUAGGUUGAACUUAGACAAGGUAUAACUACCAAAGUAGAUAAGCUCACCCAUGCUCGUUGAGAUAAAAAGUGAGAUACAUUGGUAUGUUCAAGUAGCAUGUGCAAACAAUGUUGAAUAGAUGUAGAGAUUGAUGGCCUCUUUAAUAAACAUACAUUUUUUUAUAGAAUAAGUUAUAAGUUUGAAGAAUCUUUUACUUGGCUCAAUUUUAGAAAGAUAGGUUAUCUUUGUUAUAGAUAUUAGAACCACAAUACCUCAACUAAUUGCACUUUCAAGAAAAUAUAUAUUAUAAAAAUAUUCAUGAUUUUUAAAAGAGUUAUAUAUUAUAUUUAUAUUUAUAUUAUUAUUUUAAAAUCUCUCACUUUUUAUUAAUUUUAAUUAUAUAUGUUACUCAUGUAAUUUAGAGCUUAUUUAUAUUACAAAUCUUAUUACAUGCUUUUGAUUUUUUUUCCAACUUAGUUAACUAAAAUCAUUAGUCAAAUUUCUAUUCAUUAUUAAUUUUUUAUUAUAAUCAAUGCAAUUGAGCUCUUAGCUAUAGUACCUAUAAAAAUAAAAAUCAAAAUCAAAUAUUUAUUUUUAAUUUAAAACUUUCAAAUUCUAUAUAUUUAUAAUUGUUUUUUUAAAAUUUAUAUUCUUAAAAAUAUAAUAAUCCUAUAAAAUAAAAGAUGUUGUAAUUUAAAUAAAAAAAUGUUAAAUAGACCAAAAACUUUGCUAAAAAAACCCACCCAUCCUAACCAUCAUGAAAAAAAAUAAUAACCUCUAGAUUCAUUUUGCCACUAUUGGAUAUGCCAUCAAUAAAAACCAACCACAUUUAACAUUCGUUAUGAUUACCAUAUUCUUCAUCAAAGGUGGGUCUAUUUUACAAAAACAUGGGUCUAUUUAACAUUCACAUUUAAAUAUUAUACAUUUAAAUAUUUAACAUUCACAUUUAAAUACUGUUUUAGUCACAAAUGAGGUUUUUCUGGAUGCCUCAAUCUAUCACACAUUUCGAAUAAUUGACUUUUUGAGUAGUGAAUGUUUUCAAUAUCUCAGUGUCCAAUGAAGGUCAACUCUUUCCACUCAAAAAGCUUUCAAUAACUGUUUGGUUGCAAAAUCUGUUCGUGGUCUCCAUAUCUGCUAUUUUGUUUGCAACAUAUACAUUAAGACUAUUGGUAGAUGCUUGGCAGGAGGCCCUGAGUAGCUUUCAGAAAUAGAGUAUAACUGUACCACUAAUCAUCUGCUCACCAAUGUGCGCAGAUGAUUACCUACGAAAUUACUGACUUCUACAUUAGAUUUUGUGUUGUGAUAGAUAGCAACACAUUAUCUGUGGUGACGUUGCAGAAAAACAGUUAGACUCACAGUCGUAGGGAAUUAGAUUAGCAUCGACGUAGAUCUGGUGGUUGCAAAUGGCCUAAGUCAUUUUAGUGCGAUGCUGUAGGGGCUGCAGAUUGAAGUGGUAGAAGUUUUCACCACCGACUGGUUAAAACUACGCUGUCACUCUACAUGUAAAUUUCUUUCAUGGAAAGAAGUACAAUACAGAGCUUCAAACAAACAUUUCAUGGAAAGAAGUACAGUAAUAAGCUUCUGUAUGCAGUAGACUCUACAAGCUCAGAGGUUUUGAAAAUACACACGUUUAUCUAUAUAUAUAUAUAUAUAUAUAUAUAUAUAUAUGUGUGUGUGUGUAUGUGUGUGUGUAUACAAUUGAGUGAUUGAUAGAAAUUAAAAUGAAGUUUGAUGUAAUAUCCAAAAAUUUGAAGAGGUUUCAGCUUGUUAACUGUGUCAGUACAAAUUUCAGAGCAGAAUUCUUCAUAGCGGUAAUUUACCAUUACCCUAUGUAUACCUCCAAACCCGAUCCGUAAGCCAGUGUGUAGGAAAAUUCACUCAAAUCAGUCUUCACCAACUUAGAACAUCAAUUUCUCCUUCUUAAGAUAUCUUCAAAACAUUGAAUUAUUGACAUUGCCAUGAACACGCUUCUCUCCAAAGAAGUGUGAGAUUUAUCGCUAAGCAAUGGGCAGACACCCUGAAGCAAUAGAGGGAGUGAAGAAAGGAAAGCUCAAAACACUGCGAGGAAGACCAUGCUUACAAUGUAACACACCCAAUUUCAUUGAACUGAAAAACUGCCGCAAAUCUGCUGCAUUCGUAGUGUAUGUACAUGCUCAUCACCACAAUUUAUUCUCCAAUUCUACACAAUUCGACAAUCUUCACAGUUCAGAUCCAACAAAUGAACAACAUAGAUCAACACUAUUCAACAUCCGUCCUGGAUUCAACGAAUCGCAGGCGAAUCCUCUAAUCCUCUAAUCAAGGUAACUCGCGGCGAUGACACCCUGACAGCCCUUGGGAUAGAAGCCUCCGGGCUUGGAAGCAUCUCCGGUCCCGUAAACAGUUUCGAACACCUGCUCGGCAGUACGAGGGUAGGAGAGAGAGUCGUUGUCAGCAGACAAUAUGUUACCAGUCACCAUCAUUUCAGCACCCAGCUCAUUUGGCACCACCAAUCCUUCGUCAACGAAAGCGUGGGACAAGUUGUUCCUCAAGUUGGAAAUGGCGUUGCUGAAAUCCGCCACGGUGUACUUGUACGGGCUGACCUUCUUGUUCUUCUGGCGGUACAUUUCGGUGCGAAUGAUAGCGUCUUGACCCGACUCCACACCCAGCAAACCAGCCACAAGCUGCAACACCCAACGAACAAUGUAAGAUCCUUAAAAAUAGCUCCAAUAGCCAUCAACAACGAGAUUAAGAAUGUGGCCUUCGCAAGCUUUACCUUCUUGGCAUUGUAUCCCUUCAACUCGGGGUUAGCGCCGACGUAUCCCGUCAACCCAACGUAGGGAAUGGUGUACGUGGAGAUGAGGUACUUCAAGCUGUCUUCAUAAGGAUCAUAGGGAGGGUUCAGCUUCUCGCCGAAAGUCUGCAGGAACGCCUUGUCCAUCGUAUCGGCCCAGGUCUUUUUGCUAAUGUCCAGCUGAGUGCGAGGGAAUGCACACCUGGGAGGAUCACCCAAAGCUCUCUUGAUCGCCCUGAGAUGUCCAACUUCCUGAAGCCCCAUCUGAAUGUAGAUAUCGGUAUAGUAAGCGUCCAAAUUGGCCUUCUGAGCACCAAUGGGGGGGGGACCGCCAUCGACCAAGUAGGGAGCAAUCUUGUCCAAACCAUAGCCGUAAGCUCCCCACAAGAAAUACUCCGCUUCGAAAUACUCCAAGUUCAGAGCAACCUGCGUGAGCUCCUUGUCCUUGGUGGUGGUAUAGUUCCCGGGCCGGCACUUGUAGUCGAUGUCCAGCCCCCCGAUCAUCAGCUCAUGGUUGUCGUCAUGUUUACUGCCGCUAGCUGCAGCAAAGCUCAGCACAAGAAACAACCCAACAGCAAAAACCAACACGUUCCGAGUACCCAUCAUAACAACAACACUGUGUUCACACCCUGAAGGAAUCCGCUCCUGAUUUUUCAAGGUGAGGGAGAGUGAUAGUCACACAUCGAACUCAUUGCAUCUAAGUACUUAUUACAUGCGGUGGCGAGGCGCAAACGCGACCAUGAUCGACUGGUGACGAAGCCAAUUCGACCGUGAGGGCCACCACCUGCAUGCAUGAAGUCCCGGUGGCCAGUCAUCGUGGCGUGCGGAUAUCAAGGCCACGAGACUGAUUAACCCGCCAACAAGCCCUCCUCCGGGUAUACUUCCUUCCAGCAUGAUGAUGAUUCUCGCAUGGUUUCUACCUCUCAAAUAUUAUUAUAAUUUCUCUCUCUCUCUCACUCUCACUUCGUUUUUUGCAACGGCAAAAAAACUAUAGCUUAUAACAACAUAUCCGGACGACUGUGCAGUGAAAUAUUAUAUGACCCAUUGUUUCAUUUCAAGCCAAAAUUAGAUCUCUUUUUCUUCUUCUGUAGAGUUUCUUUUUGGGAUGAGUAAUGAGUUGCAUGUUGAGUUUUCUCUACUGCGUGGGUUUCAAUGCAGGAACUUCAAUAAUGUUUUGGCUCCAUAUUUUUAAAUUAAUAGGAUAUUAAUUUUAAAAACUAGUAAAUAUAUAUAUAUAUAUAAUAUUAAAAUAUAUCUUUUAAUUGUACUAUGUCAUAAUAUUCUUUGAUGGCAUAUUCAAGUCAACCACUUAAUGUACAUGCUUAUAUUAUCAAAUUGUUAAAUAUUUAUAUUUAAUUUAGUAUAUCAUAUAUAAGAUAAAAAUAAUUAAUAAUAAAUAUAUAAUCUAUAAUAAAAAAAUUUAAUAAAUUAUUUGUAAGAGAAAAAGAUGUUUUUAGCAAAUAUUUUCAUUAAAAUCUUUAAAUUUAAAAAUUUUCCAUUUAAUAUAAUAAAUUGGAAGAUUUUGAUAAAUAUUUGUAAUUUAAAAGUAUAUCUUUAUAGUACAAAGUGAUUUCAAGCUAUCAAAUAAUAACAAAUUAAUGAACUAAAUAAAUUGGAAAAAUUAAAUUCUAACAACAUUGUUAGAUAAAAAUAAAACAAGAUCAUUCUAAUUGUUAAAAAAAGAAAGGAAAAAAAGAAAACCAAAUAUACAUUGACAAGUAUAAAUGCUUUGUGAAAGUUUUCAAUGGCGACUCACAUAAUUCUCUAGAAAAAAUCACUUUACAUUCCAAAAGCCAAAUUGCUUGCAUGUAACACUAAUAUCUAGAAUGGAAAAGGAACACUUUUUGUGUAGAAUAGCAAAACAAAGGUGUUGAAAGGCUCUCCACAAACGUGAUCCGUGAGACCCCCAUUGACAUAAUAAAAGGCAAAAAGGAAGGUUCAAUGAGGAGCUUCACCACUUACGAAGCAAAAUGUGGGUGCAUUUCUAUUCUUCAAAUUCAAAGAGUGCCUAACAGCAAAAGGCCUUUCAACAGUUUCAAAACCCACCAUAGUUUUCGAAGAUGAAAACCUGUAAAACAAAUGAAAUAAAAACAAAACAAAACAACAAAAACACUCUAAAUCACUAUAGCGGGAAAUCAGACUUGUCUGCCGAUCUACCAGAACUGACUCAACCUUGCGUGGCUACUUCAUAGAUACGCAUCUUUGAAAACAUUCUCGCAUGCGAAAGCCAAAACGCGAUGGAAAAGUGUGAGAUUCCGGAGGGGAGGACUCUCACGUCAUUGUUUAUUCGAGUCAAAGACAUGAGCAAUUUGACGCCGUCGCAUGCUUGAAUGCAUUCAAAACGCGCGAUGGGUCCGGAGCUCUAAAAUGGGGUCACAUAUGCACAUCGCACGCCACGACCACUUGCCGAGGUUGUCCGCUUGCCAGACGAGAUACAGAAACCAGCACUAUCAUGCAAUUCUUCCUUUUUUGCAUGGCAUGGUAUGGCUGGCCUGUGCCGCGACCUCAUCCGGAAGCCGUGACAGUCCAGUUCUUGAGAAUAAAGCUACUUCGAAGCUACAAAGGACCCAGUUCAACAAGCAGCUGGCUCAGUCUCGGGGUCUCGGUGGUCGGGACCGCCGGAUGCUCCACGUCGCGAUUCGGACAGUCGUCGCGUAUGCGGGGAUUGAUGCAUCCACAUCCGAACCUUCUUCUUCAUCGCCAUGCAUUCCACAACCAUGGCUGGUUUGCUGUUGUGACGCCAUGCAAUCGCAGUUCCGCAAGCGACAGGUUACGAUCCCGGAGACUACAGCACGGCGUCAUCCAUUUCCUUUUUGGAGCUUUCACGAGCAGAUGAAUUAGCAUUCGCCACGCUCGCCACAAUGCGUCGCCAUCGCGAUUGCUCUAUUCUGCUACUCUCGAGGAGCUUUCCACACCAUAAGUACUCAUGAAAACGACUCUUUUGUCCCACUAUUUUAAGUUGAUAUAUUUGUUUUUUUCUAUCGUUUUCUUGGUGCUUGUUGUGUUUUUGCAGAACGCCUUGUUGUACAUAGCCUUGUUUGGCCAGGUGGGGUAAUUGCAAAGCAUUCCAUCUUUUGUUUCUUAAUAGUCAUGUAUUUGUUAAACAUAGCCUUGUUUGGCCAGGUGGGGUGAUUGCAAAGCAUUCCAUCUUUUGUUUCUUAAUAGUCAUGUAUUUAUUAUACAUAGCCUUGUUUGGCCAAGUGGGGUGAUUGCGAAGCAUUCCAUCUUUUGUUUCUUAAUAGUCAUGUAUUUGUUAUACAUAGCCUUGUUUGGCCAGGUGGGGUGAUUGCAAAGCAUUCCAUCUUUUGUUUCGUAAUAGUCAUGUAUUUGUUAAAGUAGUGCAAUUCCUUAGCAAUAUAUCUUCAACCUUUGGAUCAUAGUUGGUUGGUAGAAAGGACAAGUUUCAUCCACAUUUUUAAUUUGGGUUUUGUGAAUGAACAUCAAAGUCAAUGAUUGUUUUCAUUUACUUUAGAAUGUAUAGAAUUGUUGUUAUUUUUGGAAUUCUAAUUUUUUUUUGUUUAUUUGUUUGUUUGUUUGUUUUUUUAUUUUGUUUUUUUUCACACAUUUGGGAUAUAUUAGAUCUAUUCAUUAAGAAAAUAAAAUAUGACUUCAAAAUCUUUAGAUCCAAAAAUUGAGCAGCAAAUAUAUUACUACUACUACUAGAUAUUAUGGUAUAUUUGUUGUUAAGCUAGUAUGUAUAAUUCAACUCAAAUAGUUGAAGAAGAGGGAGUGGAGAGAUCUAGCAAUGGCAUUGAUUUGUUUUCAAAUAGGUUUAGUCAUGCCAUUAGAAGAUGCUUAGCAUUGCAUCACACAUCUUUUUUAUUAGUAUUUAAAGUCGAUUAAGUGGAUAUAAUUUGCAAGAUUAAUACUCAUCUAUCAUACUAAUUAAAAUAUCUUUUGGAGUCAUAAUCUUCACCUUAUUUUGAACUUGAGAUCUAAAUGACAUCACAAUAGAGCACUACAUCUUUGACAAUGGAAUAGCUCCCAUGCAUACUACAUAACUUCAACAAUCUAAAAGAAAUGUGAGUUCCAUUCUUUUUAGAUAUGAUCUAAAGAUUAAUAGCAUCUACCAUUUGCUUAUACAUUUGGAUGCUCAAGGCCCUACAGUUAGAAAAUAUAUAUAGCUUAGUUAAAAUAUAAUUUGAUAUUCUUCAAGUGAUCCAUCAUAGAAACCAUCCGGAAUAAAACCAUGCAAUUUAUAGUAAUUGACAAUGUUAUAGAAAAAAACUCCAAAUAACUUAUGUUGAAAGAAUAGAUAGUUACUAAUCUACAUUGAUCAAUAUAAUCUUAUUUACUAGUAGAAAGUGGAUUCUUUGAAGUUAAAUUCUUGUCAUCUAAAGAUAUGCACUAUACCCUCUACUCAGUUCUAAAAUAUGAAAAGAAAGAAAUAUCCUUCAUUUCUUAGAAUUUCUUUUUUUUUGUAGAAAAUAAAGACUCUUAUAAAUAUUAAGCAUACUUAGUCUAAAUUUAGUUUUUAAAUUUGAGCCAAUAUCUUUGCUAUAAGAAUUAUCCAAAUAUUAUCACUUUUUUAUUAAACAAAGUCUUAUAGGUUGAAGAUGCAUCAUCUUAUACAAGUAAGACAUCAAGACAUAGAAUCAAAAUUCAAGUUCAUGAUGUCACCAAAAUACUAGAUAAAAAAAACCUUCCAUGCUAGACUUUAGACAUAUUAUUUCUAUACAUGAUUGUUAUCUCAAGGCACCUAAAUCAAUGCACCAGAUGCCAAGAUUUUGAAUACAUUAUUAGUAUAUAUAAAUAAUAGAUAUAGGACCUCUAUACUUCUUGGAAUCAAGACUAUCUAUUCUUUUAAGGCCCGAUAUUAAAACCUUAAAUAUACUCCAAAUUUAUGAGCAAAAAUACUAAACAAUGACUUUAUCCAUAUUAGCAACAUCUAGAACUCUAAGGUUUGGAUCAAAACUCCUCUAACCAUUGAUAACUUGAAGAUAUACAAAACCAUCUACCCUCCUUCAAGAACAUUCUCCCAUCAUAACUACCUUCACCAAUAAGUAAUUACAAUUGGAUCACAAAUCCAAAGAACACAAAGAUUUCCUUCAAACCAACACUUCUUUAAUUGAAGUUUGAGAUUAGUCAAGGCUUAGUUUAUUUAAGGCUCAAUUCUCUACAAACUUCAAUGCAACUAAUGAUAUUUGAAGUAAUAUGAGGAAGAAUAGUAUCUCAGAUGCUAAAUAAUUUUUACACAACAUGCUCUAUACCAUUAAGAUACAUUAGCAAUUCGAUAGAUAUUACCUUGGAAUUACCUAUCGUUCAAAAAAAAUAUACACUUUGCCUCUUCUUCCUUCUUUUCUUUUUUUCUCUUUCUAUCUUAAUGUACCACAAUACUUGAAAUUCCUCUAAUAUUGAGAAGCAUACAAAAUAUUGUUUAAUCUUCUCUCAAGAAUAAGUUCCAAUUCAUAUUAAAAAAAACAUAAGUCCAAAGAUAUUCUACUAACCAACUCAAGUUAUAAUAAUUCUAUCAAACAAAACCAUUGCAUCAUUUUUUUUUUUUUUACAAUCUUUAUACAAACAAUAUCUUUUAUCUCCUCUCAUAACAGAUACGUAUUUUAAUACAAAAUCUUUUUAAUCCACUAUACUAUAUUAAAAAAUCUAUUAAAAUAUUAUUACUAUACUAUUUUAGUAAAAUUAAGUAUAAAAGGUCAACAAUCAAUCACCUUUUGUUAAGUAUUUUUAUUCAAAGAUCAAACAAAAUGAUUGUUUCAAGAAGAAAAGAUGCUUAUAUUGAACAAAAUAAUUUUAGAACUCUCUAAGGUAAUUGUGAAUAAACAUAUUACUAAAAAUUUCUUCCACAAGUAUAACGACCUAAUUUGAAGAUAUAAAUAAAAAAUAAUUGAUGAUAGAAAUAAUUAUUGUAUAUGUGUGGCAUUUAUCUUAAUACUACUUUACAACCUUAAAUUUCAAAAAUCAAAGUGUCAUCUAUAGAUAUCUUUUAAUACAAUGCUUAGAGCUUUCUUAUUGUUAAGCUCCAUAGAAAUACUAUAUCUACUCCUAUAUCAAGCCAAAUUUAUAGUAAAAGGUCUGAUAAGCAAGAACAAAUACAAAAAUAAUCUUUUUCCUUUAAGACCACUUUAGCAAAAAACUAAAGUGGUUACAAAUCAAGAACUCCACCACUUAAACUGCAAAAUUGGUAAUUCUAUUGACAAUCAUAAAAACCAUAAAUUUUGAUAUAAUUUCUUCUCCUCAAAUGAAUGUAAUAAAUAUAUUCAUUACUUUUUUUUGAUGUUUAAUCAUUAGGCCAAGACAUCUAAGAUGUUUGCAAGUAAAUAAAAUUCUAUAAUCUAAUCUAGAAAGCAUAUUCACAUUUGGAGGUAAUUCUACUACAUGAACACCACCUCAAUAUCAAUGAUUGUGUUCAAUGCAUCAAUUAAUCUUAAUUUAAGUAAAAAAAAACUUUUGAAACAAUGCUACCUAUAUAAUAGAUAGCGGCUCCUUAAUAAGAUACAUAUCUAUAUUAUUGUCAUAUAAAAUGGUAUUAUGGAUUCUCUUGUUUGGCACCAUAAUUGAAGUAAGAGCCAAAUUUGUGAUUAUGGACAUCAACGGUAUCUUGAUAGGCAGCUUCAAUAUAUAUAUGUAUCAAAUACUAGAGACCAACGAGCUAAGUUCUAGAAUACUUUCUUUUAACACUAUUUCAAUCCAAUUUCAUAUAUCAUUAUUAGAGAUUUUAAUAUGACAAAAAUAUACAACAAUAGAAGUUUGAGCUUCAACAAUUAAAUGAUGGCAUAUUAUGAAUAAGCUUCUUAGACAAACUUCUUUAUUUAAUUUAGCAUCUCAAAUACAUUCUAUCUAGAAUAUUAUUAUAAAAUUGACCUAAAAUAUUUUACCUAAUAAAAGAAAAAUUUCAUAUCUUGUUAGUUUAGAAUCGAUAAUUUUUACAUUAACAAAGAAUUACACCACUUUAGAGUCAUAUAGUCAAAAGUCUCCUAUUUCUUUGACUAUUAAAUUACCUUUCUCUCAAUCCAACUUAAUCCACUCAAACAUAAGAAGUUACUACAAUUCAAUUAUAAACUUGUCAUUAAUUCUAAGGCCAAAAUUGACUUUAUUCAAGCAUGGCAAGAUAUUUUUCUAUAGUAAUAUUGAAAUCAGGUGAAAGAAGAAAGAAAAUAUUUUGUUAUAGAAGAGCUUAAUAAAAGAGAUAUAGUAAAAAAUAUAGAUAAAAGAUAAGUAGGUAGUAAAACCUUACAGUGUUAAAACUACCUUUUAUGAAAAUAGAUUCUAUUUAUUUUAUAAGGCCAUAAAUAAAUAAAAAAUAAGGUAGAUUAAAAAAAUAAAGGCUAUAAGCAUAUAUAUGAAAGAGUUAGGAGUUGAUUUUAGCAAAAAAUAUCACAAAAAAUAAGAAUUGAUACCUAGAAAGGAUUAAUUAUCAAAUAAGGUCGAAAUCAAAUCUCAAGGCAUAAAACUAUCCACUUAUGAUGUUUUUAAGAUUCUUUUGUUAAUCAAAGAAUGGAUUUUGAGGAAAAAAUAUAUUAAAAUUUUUUGAGCAUUAUAUUUGAGAUAUUGAAGCUUGUAAUGACUUUAUAAGAGCUUUACAAAGUCAAGGUGAUUUUGGAUAACUAUGGAUUUUGUGAAAUAAAAUAAGAUUAAUAUUUUGGAUGAUUUUGUAAGUUUUAUAAUAGAUCUAUAAGUAAAAAUUUGUAAAUUUGUAAAUAUAGAUGUGUUUAAUGUAUAUUAUAAACUUAAAUUUAAUCAAAUAAUUAGAUUAAAGAUUAUUGAAGUUCAAGUGGAUUGAAGUUUCAGAAAUUAGAGUUUGAGAGUCAAUGAGAGUUUCUAAGAUCUUCAAGAAUUUGUUCAUUGGAUUAUAGUAAAAACAAUUCUAUAUAUAGUAGACUUAAUUUCCUAUAUUUUUUAAAAUUUUGAGAGCAAUUCAAUGAUUUAAGAAGGAGAUAUUUGUACUAGAAAUUUAGUAUUUAGGUUGAAAAAAGAAACCACCUAAUAUUUAAAUAGAUUAUCUUAUAUUUUUUUCAAUUGAUAAAUAUAGUUUAUUUUAUUUUUCUUAUGCUUUUUUUUAAUCAAGUUUUUGAGAAGUAUACAAAUUUUGAGUUAAUAUCAAUGAUUCAAUCAUUAUUUGUUGAAAUUUCAAUCUAUUGUAGGAUUUUUUAAGAAUUUGUUUAAAAUUUAGAUUUUGAUUAGAAUUUGGUUUAAGAUAUGGAAUAAAUUAAGUUUGAUCUAAGAUUUAGGAUUUCAUUGGAAUUUAGUUGAGGAUUAGGAUUUAAGAUUUUAUUAGAGUUUGGUUCAAGGUUAGAAUUUAAGAUUUGAUUAGGAUUUGAUUUAAGAUUAGGAUUUAGGAAUUUAUUAGGAUUUUUUUAGAACUUAGUUAGGAUUGGUUUAAGAUUUCAUUAAAAAAAAUUAAAAGUUAUAUUAGGAUUUGAUUAAGAUUAAAUUAAAAUUUCUAUUUUUUAUAUUUUUAAAGAUUUUUUAUUAUAUAUAAUUUCUUAAGAUUAAUUUAUAAUUAUUUAUGUUUUUUUAUAAGUUAUUGAAAAUUCUUUUGGAAUUUAAAUAAAGAUCUAUUAGCAUUAUUAUAAUUUAAUUAGAGUUUUUUUGGGAUUAUAUUAAAAUUAUUAGGAUCAUCUUAUUGCAAGUUCUAUUUUACUUUCUACAAUCAAGUGCCAAGUUCAUUUUCAAGCAAAUUUCACGAAAUACAACAAUGCCUUCUCAAAUAAUACCAUACAAUCUUUAAAUAAGAAGAUUGCUAUGAUCUUCGAGUAAGCACAUUAAGUUAGUAACACAAUCUACAAAGAGAAGAAAUAAAAGUAUUAAAAAUUUAUUAGAAAAAAUUUUAAGAAAUAGAAAAGGCCAUAAAGACAUUCUAAAUUAAAAGAGCAAACUUAUAAGGUUAGAAAUGCUACAAUCAAGCACAAUUUUUACAUAAAGAUAUUUGACUAAUCAAAUCUAAAGCCACCAAAAAUGCCAAUGUAAUCAAAUAGUCUCACAUAGACAAAACAUGUUUAAAAGAAUUUUUAAAAUUCCACAAGAUCAAAUUCAAAUGAUUAAGUAUAUAAGAAAUCAUAAACAAUGGCUAUUACUCAAAUAUGCAAAAAAACAUCUUCUAAUAUAUCUACUAUUUUUAUAAAACCUUAUAUACAAAUGACCUCACUAUACAAAAGAAUCAAAUUAAUUGUAGCUAAUGUCUAAAUAGUAUUUCUAUUUGUAUCAAGAGAGAAUAAAAUAUAAUACUUACAUCACCUUUCAUCUUAAAGAAGAUUCAAUAUACAAAAAAAGACUUAUCAAAAUACAAGGCAAUUAGCAAAGAUACCAUUCACAUGAAAUUUAUCCAACUACAAUAGAAACUAUGUGAUAUUUUUUUUUAAGAUUUUUUACGUUAUUUUUCAAUAGAAGUUUGUUUAAGACCAAAGAAUCACAAAGUUUUAACCUUGGAUUUACAAGGCUCAAUUUAUUUUACAAACAAAGACUUUGUUAAAAAAUAAGAUAUAUCUUUAAUUAAAAAAAUAAAAAAUGUACAUGUAGAAGUAAUAAAUGGUCGUUCAUUAUCUUUUAGAGAUGUUAUACAUGAAAUUAUUUAUAUAGAAGUAGCUAUUAGUGGUGAUGAUAGUUUAAUAAUAUUUAAUAUAAGUAGAUAUCUUCUUAAUUCAAUUAUUUUAAGAUUAUUGUGGUUAAAAAGGUAUAAUAUUUAGAUAGACUAAAUUUCUUGCAAUCUUAAUUUUUUCUAUAGCUUAAUGCAAGAUUUUUCUAGAUAAGUAAAAAUCUAUAAGAUCAAUAUAUCCAAAUUAUUAUUGAUAGGUGCAAAAACUUUAAUGCAUAUUGCAAAAGAAGGAUCAACUUUUGUUAUAUAUGCCAUAUCUAUUAUUUCUGGAAAAAAUAUUUUAAGUUAUAUUCCAAAUUAAUAUCAAGAUUACAAAGAUAUCUUUGAAAAAAAAAUGCAAAUAUUCUUUCAAAAUAUUAUCUUUAUGAUUGUUCUAUUGAUCUUCAAGAAGGAGGUCAACCACUAUUUGAACCAAUCUAUAGCUUAUUACUAAAUGAGUUGGUUGCACUCAAGGAAAUUAUUGAUGAGAAUUUAGCUAAAAACUUCAUAUAUCAUUCAAAACCUCCAAUUGAGGCUCCUAUCUUAUUUGUAAAGAAAAAAGAUAGAUCUCUAUGGAUAUAUAUGGAUUAUCAAGGAUUCAACAAAAUCACCAUCAAGAAUAAGUAUCCACUAUCUUUAAUUUAAAAUUUUUUUGAUUAACUAAAUCAAACAAAGAUCCAUAGAAAAAUAGAUUUAUAAAGAACUUUCAAUCUGCUAUGCAUUAAAAAAAGAGACAAAUAAAAAAGUACAUUUCAAAUCAAAUAUAGGCAUUUUGAAUAUAAUGUCAUGCUUUUAGGACUUACAAAUGCACCAACUACUUUUUAACAUCUAAUAAAUGAUGUCUUUUGUGAAUUUCUUAAUAAUUUUGUUGUCUAUUAUUAAAAAGAUAUCUUAUUGUACUCUAAGAAUAUAGAAGAAGAUGAAGUUCAUGUUUGUCAUGUACUACAAAAACUAAGAGAUGUAGGAUGAUAUGCCAAGAUGGAAAAGUGUAUAUUUCACAUUACUCAAGUUAACUUUCUAGAAUAUAUCAUUUCAAAUGAUGGACUUAUGAUUGAUCCUAAGAAGGUCCAAAUUAUCAUAGAUUAGACAUGACAUGUAAAGAAAAACUCAAGUAGAGUAAAGAACCUAAGCAUCUUUUGAAGCUUUGAAGACAACAUUUAUUUUUGCAUCAAUCUUAUAUCAUAUUGACUUUUUGAAGAUUUCUUUAUAAAAACAAAUACAUUAGACUAUGCUAUAAAUACUAUUUUGUUACAAAUGGAAGUAGAUAAAAAAAACUCUAUCUAAUAGUUUUUUAUUUCAAGAAAUUUUUAGCAGUCAAGAUUAAUUAUGAAAUCCAUAAUAAAGAGCUUUUUAUAAUCAUAGAUUCAUUUUAUGAAUGGUAUCAUUAUAUAGGAGGCACUUUUAAUUCAGUUAUUAUAUAUGGAUCAAAAGAAUCUCAAGUACUUCAUAUCAAUAUGUGUUUUGAAUUGUUGCUAAAUCCAUUUGAAGAUAUCUUUAUCAAGAUUUGAUUUCAAGAUUACUUAUUAAUCCAAAAAAUAGCAAGGUUUGUUAGACAUUCUUUCUAAACAUUCUUAUCUUGUAUCAAAAAAAGAAAAUGUAAUUUUUUAUUAAGAAAGAAUGAUUUUUUUGAAUCUAGAGCAUUUUUAUCUUUAAGCAAUAAAAUCAACAUUGAUUGCUGAUUUAACCUUUAUUAAGAAAAUUUGAUCAAGUAUGUCUUUUGAUCUUCUUGAUCAUGAUAUCAAGAAUAUUUUUUCUAAAUUUCAUGAUACUUCUAAGUUCAAGUUCAAGAAUAAUCUACUUUAUUUUAAUAAAUAAUUAUAUAUUCUAAAAGAAAAAGCACAAUUAUAUGUUCUUUAAGCUUUUCAUGACUUUUCAAUAGCUAGAUAUUUUGGAUACAAUAAGACUUUGGAGCUAAUAUUAAGAGAUUUUUGAUGGCUUCAAAUGUAAAAGAUAAUUAAAGAUUUUGUAUCAUAAUGUGAUAUUUUUUCAAGAUCAAAAACUCUUCUUCAUUAUUCUUAUAGACUUUUUCAAUCAUUACUUAUUCCAAAAUAAUUAUAAUCUUUUAUUUCUAUUGAUUUUUAUUACAGAUCUUUCAUUCUUAGAUUUAUAUGAUUUUAUAUUUGUAAUAGUAGAUUAUUUUAUUAAAAUGAUAUAUAUUGUACUAUGUACAAAAUUUAUUACAUAAGAAGAAAUAGCUAAUUUUUUUCUUAACAAAAUCUAUCACUAUCAUGAAUUAUCUAAAAUUAUUAUAUUAAAUAGGAUGACUAAAUUUGUAUUAAGAUUUUAAAAAAUAUUUUUAAGAUUCUAAAAGUAGACAUAAAGUUCUCUUUGACUUUUCAUCCUCAAACUAAUCGAAAAAUGGAUUAGAUAAAUCAAAUUUUAGAGCAAUAUUUGAAGUAUACCAUCAACUAUCAUCAAGAUGAUUAAACAAUUCUUUUAUCAUUGAUAGAGUUUACAUAUAAUAAUUUGGUAUAUUUUUCUAUUCAAAAAUUACUUUUCUUCAUCAAUUAUGGUUAUCAUCCAUGAAUUGAUACUUUUGACUUUUCAAAAGUUGAUAAUCUUGUGGUAGAAGAUUUGAUAAAUAGUUUAUCAAAGCUACAUGUAAUAAUGAAGGUACAAUUAAAAGAAGCCCAAGAACGAUCAUAGCUUGAUACAUAUGCCUAUUACAAGGAAUAAUUAUAAUUCAUUGUAAGUGACAAGAUAUGGUUACUUCAUUGCAAUAUAAAGACUAUUCAUCUUUGUGACAAGUUAGACUAUUGUGGGCUUAGACCUUUUUGUAUUUGUGAACAUGUUAAUUCUAUUUUUUAUAAAUUACAUCUAUUAGAAUCUAUGAAGAUCUAUUCUAUAUUUCAUAUAUUUAUUUUUAAGCCAUGUAAGAUAGUAAAUAUUUUAAAAAGAAGACAAAUGCUACUUCUUUUUAUGAAAAGAAAUAAUAAUCAAGAAUUCAAGGUAGAAGAAGUCUUAAAUUCAAGGUGGUCAAAAAUAGAUUAAAACAUCUUGUUCAUUGGUGUAGAUAUGAUAUUAAUAAAUGUUCAUGGAAGCUAGAAAAAAAUCUUACAAAUGUAACAAAGAAAGUUGAGUCUUUUCAUCAAUAACAUCUAUCAAAACCAAGAUGAAGAAUAGCAAAUCUUUGCUGUAAAAGAAACAACAUCCAAAAAAGAUAGCAUUCUACUUUCUAUUAUUUUAUAUAUUUGUGAUGCUAACGAGAUAAAAAAAUCAAUAAUCAAUACAUUCAACUUAAGAACUAUUACUUAUUAAUUUAUUAAAUAAGAUAUUGUGAUUGUUAAAACCUUCAAGAUGAUGUAAUCAAGAUGAAGAUCAUCAAAAAUAACAUGUCUUUUUUCAAAUAAAUAGCAAAUUAUAACGUAUUUGAUAUCACAACCUUAGAAAAGACUCUCAAUGUUUGGUGAUUUUAUUAGAGAUAGAAGCAACCCUUAAAAAUAUUUCAAAUCUUUUAUUUAAAAAGAAUUAUGAAGGCCUCAACAAUGAUCAAAUAAUAGGAUAGUCUUUUGGUCUUCUUAUCGAAUAUUAUCAAUAACUAAAAGGAUCUACCAAAAAUCUUUGAAGAGAAUAAAGAUCACAGUAUGUAGCAAAUAUAAUUUGCCACAUCUUACAUUUCUUCAACAUAUGAUGACCUCUAUUUUUAUAACUUACCUUUAAAAGGAGAAGUAAUAUCAAAAAUAUAUAUAUAUAUAUAUAUAUAUAUAUAUAUAUAUAUAUAUUUUAAUAAUUAUCUAUAUAAUUAAAUAGAAAUAAAUAAAAGUAGAUUUAUUUUAUAAUAUUUUUUAAAUGAGCUUCAUAGACGUUGCUUUGAUUUUAUAUAUGUUUAUAGUUAAUUCAUAGAUAAUAUAUUUUAUCAACAAGUUAACCACAUGUGGUAGCUUGUAGAAUAAGUUAAUUAUGUAGUACACAUUUAUUGUCAAGGACAAGAGUUUCAAAAAAAGAAAACCUUCAAUGCACUCUGGUGUCACUUAAAAGAACUAGAAAGUCACUCAAAAAUGAUAUAUUAUUGAACUAGAAUGACUAUUGCCAAAGAUAACAAGAUUAGAAAGUCUUAGAAUAAGACUAAAGACUAGGAAUGUGCUGACAAGAGUGAAGAAGGCUUCACUCUUGCCUCCAUGUAUACUAUCUCACUAAGAGCUAUGUGGCGAUGUCCUAUAAGAUCUCCAAUAUGUAUUGACUUUGCUAACCACAUAUCUUAUCUUGCAAGGCAAGUUAUCUAUGUAUGCGUCAUAUAGUUGGCUUGUUCCACAAGCUACUACACGGAGAUAACUUGUUCUACAAACUACUAAUACAUGGUUAGCUUUUUGGCCAAGUUUCUAACCUACAAACUUAUCUAAAAUCAAAACUGCAUCUAUGAAGCAGUUAAGAAGCUUCUCUGUAAGAUUUUAUGAAAUUAUUCUAUAUUUACCUAUUUCUACUUAAUCAUAUAAGUAACUAUUGAGAUAAAUAUAUAUGUCUAUGACAUUAUCCUCCCUUCUAGGGACGAGUUCCAUAAGGAGCGGUCUUCAUAUGUUGAGAAAGUCCAAGAUGCGGAGAAUUAUAUUUGCUACAUACUCCAAUCUUUGCUCUCUUUGAAGAUGGUUGAUAGGUCCUCUCAACCAUCUAUAAUCUCACAUAUUAGGACAAGAAGACUACCCUAUUAUUUCGUCAUUAUUGAGGCCUUCAUAACUUCUUUCAAAUAAAAUAUUUAGAACAUCAUCAAGAGUUGUUCCUACUUCUAAUAAAAUCACUAAAUAUUAGGAGUUUCUUCCAAGGUCAUGAUACCAAAUACAUUAUAUCUCGCCAUCUUUUUGAGGAAGGACAUGUCAUUCUUGAGGAUCUUUAUCUCAAUUUAGUUGUCUUGAAGGUUGUGACAAUCGCAAGGUCUCGUCUAAUAAGUUCGUAAUGAAAGCUCUUGAGUUGAAUCUGCUAGUUGUUAGUGCUCUAUCUCAUCACAAAUAUACAGAAACUACAAUGAAAGAUAGAAGGCAGAAUGUUAUUUUUCUUUGAUCUUGUUUCUUUUGUAGCAAAAGUUUGCUAUUCUUCAUCUUGGUUUUGAUAGAUGUGGUUGAUGAAAGACUUCAACUUUCUUUGCUAUAUUUACAAGAUUCUUUGAUGGCUUCCAUGUGCGUUCACUAAUAUCAUAUCCAUGCCAAUGAAUAAGAUAUUUCAACCUAUUUUGGUGCCACCUUGAGUCUAAGACUUCUUCCACUUCAAACUCUUGGUUAUUAUCCACUUCUAUAGGAAGAGGUGGCAUUUGUCUUCUUCACAAGAUAUUCACUGUCUUAUACGGCUCUAGAAGAGAUACAUGAAAUACAAAGUGAAUCUUUAUAGACUCCGGUAGAUGUAAUCGAUAGGCAAUAGGAUUGAUUUGUUCACAAAUAGGAAAAGGUACCAGCCUAUGAUAAUCUAAUUUAUUACAAGGACGAGUAGUCUUGAUAUUACGACAAAGUAAUCAUACCUUAUCACCCAUAGUAUAUUGUAGUUGUUCCUUGUGAUAGGCAUCCGCAUUGAUCUUUUGUCAUUCUUGAGCUUCUUUUAAUUAUAUCUUUAUUGUUAUAUGUAGCUCUGACAAGUGAUUUGCUAAAUCUUUCGUCGCAAGAUUAUCAAUUUUUAAAAAGUCAAAAGUAUCAAGACAUGGAUGAUAACCAUAAUUGGUAAAGAAAGGUAUUUGUUGAGUGGAAGAAUGUAUCAAAUUAUUAUAUGCAAAUUCUACCAAUGGUAAAAGAGUUGUUUAAUCAUCUUGAUGAUAGUUGAUGGUACAUUUCAAAUAUUACUCUAGAACUUAAUUUACCCAUUUGAUUUGUCCAUCAGUUUGAGGAUGAAAAGUUGAAGAAAGAUUUAUAUCCACCUUUAAAAACUUGAAUAGGAUUUUCUAAAAUCUUGAUACAAAUUGAAUUUUUCUAUCCAAUAUAAUAUUCUUUGGCAAUCCAUGAUAGCGAUAGAUAUUGUCAAUAAAAAACUUAGCUAUUUCUUCACCUGUGAUAGAUUUUGUAUAUAGUAUAAAAUGUAUCAUCUUGGUAAAGUGAUCUACUAUCAUGAAUAUAGAGUCAUAAGAACCUAAGAUUGGAAGAUCUAUGAUGAAAUCCAUAGAAACAAAAGACCAUGAUUGUUCUGGAAUGGAUAACGACUAAAGAAGUCCUUAAGAUCGAUGACAAGGAGUUUUUGAUCUUGAGUAAACAUCAUAAGAUUGUACAAAAUCUUUGUUUGCCUUCCUUAUUUGCUGCCACCAAAAAUCCCUGGAUAUUAGUUCCAAAGUUUUAUUGUAUCCAAAAUGUCCUGCUAUUGAAAAGUCAUGAUAAGCUUAAAGAACACGUAAUCGAGCUUCAUCUUUUGGAACAUAUAGGCAUCCUUCA
rnacentral:lncRNA from 1 species